rnacentral:lncRNA from 1 species
GCAGUUUCAGCAUGCAUAGAGAGCAAGGUAACAAAAAGUAGUACUUUUUUUGCUAGUAGUGAUUUUCCUAGUAACAGAGGCUAAACCGAGAGCAAGUACAGAGAGAGAAAAUCCAUAUUUUAAACACAGAAUGAAUGUGCAGAUUUUGAAACAAUGCAUACCAUGGCAUGAGCAUCAGGUUGCACACAUGUUUCAUAGUACUUAAGCCUCACAUUUUAGAUAGGUUUCCAAAUCAAAAGGGGCACAUACAUGUCUCUAACAUGAACGCUUCACCUCGUAGUUUUGCAUAAGUUUGCAAAUCAAAAGGGACACGUACAUGUAUCUAUCAACAAUGCCUCACCAACUUAGAGCAAUGGCUGUAGCUAGUUCUUGCCUAAACACAUCCAUGUCUUCACCAUUUUCCGCUGUAGUUGAUGUAUCUGAUGCAUGAGAAGGAACAACAAAUCUCUUGUAUUGUUCCGGAAUUGUUGGCACAUAGUCCGGGUCCCUGUCACAUCGAUAGAAGUGAAUAUCUUCUUCAUCAUGGAAGCGAACAUAGUUGUGCAAAGUCAUAGUAGCGGCAACAAUCAUCUUUUGAGUUUCAAUGGAUUAGCUUGGCAUCUUCAAAAGAAUCUGCCAUUUCAUCUUCCACACUCCAAAGGCACUCUCUAUGCAACUGCGUUUGGACGAGUGGAGCCUAUUGAGCUCCUCUUUAGGAGUAUUGGGUGGAACACCUCUAUGAAAGUCAGGCACAUGAUAUCUUUCACCUUUGUACGGUGCGAGAUAUCCCUUUCUAUUAGGAUAGCCAGCAUCCACAAGGUAGUACUUGUCUAUGAAUGAAUGUUAGAAUUGGCAUACAUGAAAUGAGUUCUAACAUUCUGACUCAUGGGGGAAGGGGGCCUAGGCUGCAUGCUCACCCUUUGGAGGAUGGGGGAAGGUGGCCUUGUCCGCAUGCAUUGCAUGAAAUAGCACACUUGUGUCAUGCAUAGAACCAGGUUGUCCAAUUGAAGCAUAAGUGAAAUGCAUAUCAACGUCACAUAUUGCCAUCACAUUCUGAGUGACUGCGCCUGUCCUUCCAAUAUAUAGGAUUUGCUUGUCUUCUGGAAUCGAAGCUCUAAUGUGAGUCCCAUCUAUUGCACCAAUGCAGUCUUUCAUGUGUGGAUAUGCUCGUUUAUCACCAAGGAUCCUUUGAUGCACAGUGUGAAAAUUGGGGUCUUUCGGCUUGAGGUAGUGAGAAGACAUCCAAUCGGGUUCUCAUUUUGAAUUGCAAUGCCACUUCGUCGAAUGCACUAGGGGUCAAGAUUUUGUUUGGCAUAUUUCCAGCCCGCACUUGCGUGACCAUCAAGUUGGUAACGAUCCUAGUGUUCUCUUCAUCCCACUCGGCAGUCAUGCUCGAAGACAUGCUCUGAACUUGACUAUAAAAAAUAUGUGAGUGCUUAACUAUAAAAAAACAUGUACAAGCGUUGUUGUUAUCAUUAUGUACUAGCAGGAAAAUGCAAUGAAGAUAUAUAGCAGCAGAACAUGCACUCGUCAAUCAACUUGUAGCAAUACUGCAAUAGCAAUAUUCAUGUCUUUUCUAAACAUAUAGGAGCAGAGCAUGUACUGAACAUAUAGCAGCAUAGCGUAUACUGAACAUAUACAUAUAUUUUCUGAACAUAUAGCACCAGAGCAUAUAGCAGCAGAGCAUGUACUGAACAUCCACAUCUCUUUUCUGAACAUAUAGCAGCAAAGCAUGUUCUGCAUCUCUUUUCUGAACAUAUAGCAGCAGAGCAUAUAGCAACAGAGCAUGAACAUGUGUAGGGAGAGGUAGUUGGGCAGCAAAGAGAGCAUCACCUUCGAAAAAUUGGAAGAGGUGGUCGGGGAGGCAGAGAAUCGACACAGCCGUCGGGUUCUUCGGCGGAAGACGGCGAGCGGGACGGGGAUGACUUGUCGGGGACGGAGGAGCCAGUCGGUGACGGAGGCAGACGAGGGUGGGGAUGGGUGGUCGGGGACGGAGGAGACAGUCCGCGACAGCGGCGGAUGAGAGCGAGCAGGGCGGGAUGGCUUCACAGCAUGGACGAGUGAUACGUCUCCAACGUAUCUAUAAUUUUUGAUUGCUCCAUGCUACUUUAUCUAUUGUUUUGGACGAUAAUGGGCUUUAUUUUCCACUUUUAUAUUAUUUUUGGGACUAACCUAUUAACCGGAGGCCCAGCCCAGAAUUGCUGUUUUUUUGCCUUUUUCAGUAUUUCGAAGAAACAGAAUAUCAAACGGAGUCCAAACGGAAUGAAAUCUUCGGAAACGUGAUUUUCUCAUCAGACAAGACCCAGGAGACUUGGACCCUCCGUCAAGAAAGCCACCAGGCGGUCACGAGGGUAGAGGGCGCGCCCCCUGCCUCGUGGGCCCCUCAAAGCUCCACCGACGUACUCCUUCCUCCCAUAUAUACCUACGUACCCCCAAACGAUCAGAACAGGAGACAAAAACCUAAUUCCACCACCGCAACUUCCUGUAUCCACGAGAUCCCAUCUUGGGGCCUGUUCCGGAGCUCCGCUGGAGGGGGCAUCCACCACGGAGGGCUUCUACAUCAUCAUCAAAGCCUCUCCGAUGAAGUGUGAGUAGUUUACUUCAGACCUUCGGGUCCAUAGUUAGUAGCUAGAUGGCUUCUUCUCUCUUUUUGGAUCUCAAUACAAUGUUAUCCCCCUCUCUCGUGGAGAUCUAUUCGAUGUAAUCUUCUUUUUGCGGUGUGUUUGUUGAGACCGAUGAAUUGUGGGUUUAUGAUCCAUCUUAGCUAUGAAUAAUAUUUGAAUCUUCUCUGAAUUCUUUUAUGUAUGAUUGAGUUAUCUUUGUAAGUCUCUUCGAAUUAUCCGUUUGGUUUGGCCAACUAGAUUGGUAGUUCUUGCAAUGGGAGAAGUGCUUGGCUUUGGGUUCAAUCUUGCGGUGUCCUUACCCAGUGACAGAAAGGGUUGCAAAGCACGUAUUGUAUUGGUGCCAUCGAGGAUAACAAGAUGGGGUAUUUAUCAUAUUGCAUGAAUUUAUUCCUUUACAUCAUGUCAUCUUGCUUAAGGUGUUACUCUGUUUUUAACUUAAUACUCUAGAUGCAUGUUGGAUAGCGGUCGAUGAGUGGAGUAAUAGUAGUAGAUGCAGAAUCGUUCGAUCUACUUGUCACGGACGUGAUGCCUAUAUACAUGAUCAUACCUAGAUAACCUCAUAACUAUGCUCAAUUCUGUCAAUUGCUCAACAGUAAUUUGUUCACCCACCGUAGAAUACUUAUGCUCUUGAGAGAAGCCACUAGUGAAACCUAUGGCCCCCGGGUCUAUUCUCAUCAUAUCAAUCUCCAUCACUUUUAUACUUGCUUUGUUUUACUUUUCCUUCUACCUUUCACUUUGCAUCUUUAUACCGAAAAUACCAAAAAUAUUAUCUCUAUCAGAUCUCACUCUCGUCAGUGACCAUGAAGGGAUUGACAACCCUAAUUGUGUUGGUUGCGAGUAGCUAUCAUUUUGUGCAGGUACGAGGGACUUGCGCGUGGCCUCCUACUGGAUUGAUAUCUUGGUUCUUAAAAACUGAGGGAAAUACUUACGCUACUGUGCUGCAUCAUCCUCUCCUCUUCGGGGAGAACCAACGCAAGCUCAAGAUGUAGCAAGAAGGAUUUCUGGCGCCGUUGCCGGGGAGUCUAUGCAAAAGUCAGCAUACCAAGUACCCAUCAUAAUCCCUAUCUCUCGCAUUACAUUAUUUGCCAUUUGCCUCUCAUUUUCCUCUCCCCCACUUCACCCUUGCCGUUUUAUCCGCCCUCUCUUUCCCAAUCUCCUCCUCUCUUUUUUGCUCUUUUUCUUCCGCCUUGCUUGCCACUAUGUCUGAAACUGGGGAGAUUAUCGUCGAUAUGGACAAUAGUGAUAACACAGAAAAUCCCGAGGCUCCGGCCGAUGAACCCCCUAUCUUGCAUACCAAAAAGUUUCGAAUCGGUAGUGGUAACAUCAUUAGCAAAGGUGUUAUUCAAGAUUUAUUUACUUGUGCCGGUGCUUUACCUUUGAUGGGUUGCUCUAUUCUUCAUAGAACAAGUAGUCUCGCAGAUGCUAUCGCUCUGCUUGUAGUUGAACUUGAAAGACAAUUUAUGCAUAUGCAUCCUUGCAUACAAAGGAUUUUCCUAGAAUUCUCUAAUAUUGAGCAUUCUUCGGUUAAGCGUGCUGUUACUAUUUUUUUGGCUCACGAGUUUAGAUUUAUUAUAAGAGAGGCCAAAGAAAUCUUUGCGCACUAUGGGGUGGACGCCGAUCGUCCUCCCAUAGAAGCGAUCCUCUAUGAUCAAGAGGAAUUUAGACAUUUUCAAUCUUCAGACUAUGUUGCUUUUAAUGAAAAUCUUAGAAAAAAGGUCCCUACCAAUGUCUUGGUUGAUUGCUUUAACGAGCUUAAUAAUGAAUUUUCCCUUCACAACAAUGAGCUAGGAUACUCUCUUGAGUAUAGGCUCACAAGAUUUUGCCAAAAGAAUGCUUUUAGUGAUGAAAUAGUUGUGCACUAUGAGGGGCCAAAGGAGGAACCUGUUCCUCCUGUGAUUGAUCUUGGGAACCUUUGCCCCACUAAAUUUAGCCCUUUCGAUUACUUUUGCUUGCCACAAAGGAAACUUGCUGCCGAACGUAAAGAAUAUGAAAUGAGCUUUCAAGAUCUAUCUUAUUAUUACGGCACCACUUAGAUUUAUCCUUGCUUUUAUGCCUAGCUAGGGGCGUUAAACGAUAGCGCUUGUUGGGAGGCAACCCAAUUUUUUUUGUUUUUGCUCCUGUUUAGGAAUAAAUAAUCCAUCUAGCCUCCAUUUAGAUGUGGUUUUAUCUUUUAAUUAGUGUUUGUACCAAGCUAGACCUAUUGGAUCUUCUUGGAUGAUAGUUAUUUGAUCUUGCUGUAAUUUCCAGAAACUUUGCGCUCAGUGCCCGAAUUGUUAAAAAUCACCAGAACGUGAUAAAAUACUGAUUCCAAUUGCUGCUGAUUAAUAAACAAAUUGUCCAGGUCGUCCAAUUUUGGUAGAAUUGUUUAAGUUCCAGAAGUUUGCGUUAGUUACAGAUUACUACAGACUGUUCUGUUUUUGACAGAUUCUGUUUUGCGUGUGUUGUUUGCUUAUUUUGAUGAAUCUAUGGCUAGUAAAAUAAUUUAUAAUCAAUAGAGAAGUUGGAAUACAGUAGGUUUAACACCAAUAUAAAUAAAGAAUGAGUUCAUUACAGUACCUUAAAGUAGUCUUUUGUUUUCUUUCUCUAACGGUGCUCACGAGAUUCUAUUGAGUUUUGUGUUGUGAAGUUUUCAAGUUUUGGGUGAAUUCUUUUGAUAGAUUAUGGAACAAGGAGUGGCAAGAGCCUAAGAUUGGGGAUGCCCAUGGCACCUCCAAUAUAAUCCAAGGACACCAAAAAUUCAAAUCUUGGGGAUGCCCCGGAAGGCAUCCCCUCUUUCGUCCACUUCCAUCGGUAAUUUACUUGGAGCUAUAUUUUUAUUCACCACAUGAUAAGUGUUUUGCUUGGAGCGUCUUGUAUUAUUUGCAUCUUUGCUUGUUAGUUUACCACAAUCAUCCUUGCUGUACACACCUUUUGAGAGAGCCAUACAUGAAUUGGAAUUUUAUAGAAUGCUCAUAGUGCUUCACUUAUAUUUUUUGAGUUUGAUAGUUAUGCUCAUAGUGCUUCACUUAUAUCUUUUGAGCGUGAUAAUUUUUGCUCUAGUGCUUCACUUAGAUCUUUUAGAGCACGGUGGUGGAUUUGUUUUAAAGAAACUAUUGAUCUCUCAUGCUUCACUUAGAUUAUUUUGAGAGUCGUUAAUAGCAUGGUAAUUUGCUUAAAGUUAAUAUACUUGGUAUUCAAGAUAUGUGGAACUUUCUUUUGAGUGUGUUGAAUACUAAGAUAAGUUUGAUGCUCGAUAAUAGUUUUGAGGUAUGGAGGUGAUAAUAUCAAAUUCAUGCUAGUUGAGUAGUUGUGAAUUUGAGAAAUGCUUGUGUUGAAGUUAGCAAAUCCCGUAGCAUGCACGUAUGGUUAAAGUUGUGUAACAAAUUUGAAACAUGAAGUGUACCUGGCUUGUGCAUCCUUAUGAGUGGCGGUCGGGGACGAGCGAUGGUCUUUUCCUACCAAUCUAUCCCCCUAAGAGCAUGCGCGUAGUACUUGAUUUUUGAUGACUUCUAAAUUUUUGCAAUAAGUAUAUGAGUUCUUUUGACUAAUGUUGAGUCCAUGGAUUAUACGCACUUUUACCUUUCCGCCUUUGCUAGCCUCUUCGGUACCGUGCAUUUCCCUUUCUCACCUUGAGAGUUGGUGCAAACUUCGCCCGUGCAUCCAAGCCCCGUGAUAUGAUACGCUCUUUCACACAUAAACCUCCUUAUAUCUUCCUCAAAACAGCCACCAUACCUACCUAUUAUGGCAUUUCCAUAGCCAUCCGAGAUAUAUUGCCAUGAAACUUUCCACCGUUCUGUUCAUCAUCAUCAUGGCAUACCUUACUUUUGUCAUAUUGCCAUUGCAUGAUCAUGUAGUUGACAUCGUAUUUGUGGCAAAGCCACCAUGCAUUAUUUUCAUACAUGUCACUCUUGAUUCAUCGCACCAUCCCGGUACACCGCCGGAGGCAUUCAUAUAGAGUCAUAUCUUGUUCUAGUUUCGAAUUGUAAUCCUUAUGUUGUAAUCAAUAGAAGUGUGAUGAUCAUCAUUAUUAGAGCAUUGCCCAAAUGAAAAAAGGAGAAAGGCCAAAAAGAAAAAAAGAAAGGCCAAAAAAAGAAAAUAAAUAAAAAAGGCAAUGCUACUAUCUCUUUUUCCACACUUGUGCUUCAAAGUAGCACCUUAUUCUUCAUGUAGUGAGUCUCAUAUAUUGUGCUUCAAAGUAGCACCAUGUUUUUCAUAUAGUGAGUCUCAUAAGUUGUCUUUUUCAUACUAGUGGGAAUUUUUCAUUAUAGAACUUGGCUUGUAUAUUCCUACGAUGGGCUUCCUCAAAAUGCCCUAGGUCUUCAUGAGCAAGCAAGUUGGAUGCAGACCCACUAGUUUUCUUUUGUUGAGCAUUCAUAGCUCUAGUGCAUCCGUUGCAUGGCAAUCCCUACUCCUCAUGUUGACAUCAAUUGAUGGGCAUUUGCAUAGCCCGUUGAUUAUCCUCGUCAAUGUGAGACUUUCUCCUUUUUUGUCUUCUCGACACAAUCCCCAUCAUCAUAUUCUAUUCCACCCAUAGUGCUAUAUCCAUGGCUCACGCUCAUGUAUUGCGUGAAGGUUGAAAAAGUUUGAGAUUAUUUAAGUAUGAAACAAUUGCUUGGCUUGUCAUCGGGGGUAUAGAAGUUGGGAACAUCUUUGUGUGACGAAAAUGAAGCAUAGGCUAACUAUAUGAUUUUUUUAGGGAUGAACUUUCUUUUGCCAUGCUAUUUUGAGAAGACAUAAUUACUUUGAUUAGUAUGCUUGAAGUAUUAUUAUUUUUAUGUCAAUAUGAACUUUUGUCUUGAAUCUUUCGGAUCUGAAUAUUCAUACCAUGAUUAAGAAGAUUUACAUUGAAAUUAUGCCAAAGUAUCACUCCGCAUCAAAAAUUCUCUUUUUAUCAUUUACCUACUCGAGGACGAGCAGGAAUUAAGCUUGGGGAUGCCUGAUACGUCUCCAACGUAUCUAUAAUUUUUGAUUGCUCCAUGCUACUAUAUCUAUUGUUUUGGACUAUAAUGGGCUUUAUUUUCCACUUUUAUAAUAUUUUUGGGACUAACCUAUUAACCGGAGGCCCAGCCCAGAAUUGCUAUUUUUUGCCUUUUUUAGUAUUUCGAAGAAACAUAAUAUCAAACGGAGUCCAAACAGAAUGAAAUCUUUGGAAACGUGAUUUUCUCAUCAGAUAAGACCCAGGAGACUUGGACCCUCCGUCAAGAAAGCCACGAGGCGGUCACGAGGGUGGAGGGCGCCCCCCUAGGGCGCGCCCCCUACCUCGUGGGCCCCUCGAAGCUCCACCGACGUACUCCUUCCUCCUAUAUAUACCUACGUACCCCCAAACGAUCAGAACAGGAGCCAAAAACCUAAUUCCACCGCCGCAACUUCCUGAUCCACGAGAUCCCAUCUUGGGGCCUGUUUCGGAGCUCCGCCGGAGGGAGCAUCCACCAUGGAGGGCUUCUACAUCAUCAUCAAAGCCUCUCCGAUGAAGUGUGAGUAGUUUACUUCAGACCUUCGGGUCCAUAGUUAGUAGCUAGAUGGCUUCUUCUCUCUUUUCGGAUCUCAAUACAAUGUUCUCCCCCUCUCUCGUGGAGAUCUAUUCGAUGUAAUCUUCUUUUUGCGGUGUGUUUGUUGAGACCGAUGAAUUGUGGGUUUAUGAUCCAGCUUAUCUAUGAAUAAUAUUUGAAUCUUCUCUGAAUUCUUUUAUGUAUGAUUGAGUUAUCUUUGCAAGUCUCUUCGAAUUAUCCGUUUGGUUUGGCUAACUAGAUUGGUAGUUCUUGCCAUGGGAGAAGUGCUUGGCUUUGGGUUCAAUCUUGCGGUGUCCUUACCCAGUGACAGAAAGGGUUGUAAGGCACGUAUUGUAUUGUUGCCAUCGAGGAUAACAAGAUGGGGUAUUUAUCAUACUGCAUGAAUUUAUUCCUCUACAUCAUGUCAUCUUGCUUAAGGCGUUACUCUGUUUUUAACUUAAUACUCUAGAUGCAUGUUGGAUAGCGAUCGAUGAUUGGAGUAAUAGUAGUAGAUGCAGAAUCGUUUCGAUCUACUUGUCAUGAACGUGAUGCCUAUAUACAUGAUCAUACCUAGAUAACCUCAUAACUAUGCUCAAUUCUGUCAAUUGCUCAACAGUAAUUUGUUCACCCAUCGUAGAAUACUUAUGCUCUUGAGAGAAGCCACUAGUGAAACCUAUGCCCCCCGGGUCUAUUCUCAUCAUAUCAAUCUCCAUCACUUUUAUACUUGCUUUGUUUUACUUUUCCUUUUACCUUUCACUUUGCAUCUUUAUACCGAAGAUACCAAAAAUAUUAUCUCUAUCAGAGCUCACUCUCGUAAGAGACCGUGAAGGGAUUGACAACCCCUAAUUGCGUUGGUUGCAAGUAGCUAUCGUUUUGUGCAGGUACGAGGGACUUGCGUGUGGCCUCCUACUGGAUUGAUACCUUGGUUCUCAAAAACUGAGGGAAAUACUUACGCUACUGUGCUGCAUCAUCCUCUCCUCUUCGGGGAAAACCAACGCAAGCUCAAGACGUAGCAACGAACAGUGGCCGCCGACGCUGAAGGUGCAGUCCGGCAUGGCUUGGGUUGCGGGAAGGGGAAAGAGGAGUUGUGCGUCUGGUGGAGUGGCCUCGAGGGAACGGUCAAUCAAUCACUUGGCGGUGGCACUCUUCCAUAAUUCUUUACGAAUCUAGCUUCUCAAUUUCCUUGGAGCCAGGUUUUUCCAGCUCCACGACUCCGUCUAAUUUGUACGCAGGUUCGAGACAGCUUCUUGGUCCGAGUCUGGAUUCAAGGAUUUCAGAAGCGAGAGAGUUCCCGAACACGCCCUAAGUCGAAGUGCGGCACCUUAGCGCUAGGCGCUACACUUUGUAGCAUAGCGCAUGUCAGCUAGGCACUGCACCACCAGGUGCGGGGCCGGACAAACUUGGUAAUUCGACCAGGCGCUGCACGACCAGGUGCAGCGCCUUAGUGCUAGGCGCUACACUUCGGAGCAUAGCGCCUGUCAGCUAGGCGCUGCACGACCAGGUGCGGGCUUGGGAAAACAUCGUAGGUGCGAGCACGACUAUGUGCGAGGGCAACACAUAUGGCCGGUGAGACUCUGGAGGGCUACAAACUUCAAACAGUUGUGGCAUGGCACGCAUGCAAUUCGGCAUCAACCUCUACUGAUCAAACUUACAUCAGGCUACGAACAACAGUAAAAACAAUGAGGGGAAAUCAGCUUUGUCCUUGAUGGGCGAAUUGAUGCAUUCUAUCCACUGUCAGUUGGAGAUUCUAGUAAAAUUGAAUCUACCGACUGGAACAUACAACAGAAAUAAACAGCAUUUCCACAACAUGAGAACAAGAUCUUUCAAAAUAAACAACAUGAGAACAACUAGAUCUGGCUGAACGAUUUCUCCAAUUAUGAGUAAUUUUUGAUCUGAUGUUAUUGUUCAAUCGUGUCAAACAUCAGCUGCCAGUACCGUUACAACCCCUGCCCUUAUGUAUCUGCACAUAUCAAAUUUGAGAUGCAAAUUCAGAGGUUGUAUCUGCAGAGACCUCUAUUUCUAAUAUUCCUUCCGCUCCUUUAUAUAAGGUGUAUAUUUUUUGGCACGGUGACCAAGGCAUGGUUGUUGACACACGAACACGUCACGUGUACCCUCGACGCCGGGGGUGAUGCACCGCAGCUCACGUCGAAGGAGACCCGACCGACAGCGCGAUACGCAAGACAGUCGGCGGGCGCUUUUGCAGACCCGAAAACCCCACACCCCCGGGAGGGACCCCGUCAGGGAGUGCGGCGGCUAUGGGCUGCCCUAGGUCGAUUCGCUCGCCCCUAGAGCCUCGGGAUUCGCAGCUCUCAAACACGAAGAACAGCGAAGAACGAGAGAGAAAAACGGUGGAGAGAUAAAACGUAGAUGAAAAAGUAGUAUAUUGAUUUGUUCGAUUGUGUGUUGUUCAAUCGGCCAUCACCCCCAACAUAUUUAAGAGGCGGCUGGACUUCCCGUACAAGUAAAGGAUUCAUCUAGGCUUUCCUUACAAGAAAAAUUACAUAAAUUCGCGUCCUAGAGUCCUAGUUCUAUUCCAACUCGGAUUCAGUCUGAAUCUGGCCCAACUUCUGUCUUCCUCCUUGUGCAGGCCGCCGAGCCUCCAUAUGACCUCCGAUCGAGAUGGCCCAAAUAUCAAACUUGUGCGCCUCGACGAUGCGAACAACUCUCAUGUUGAUCACUUUUUCAAAUAAGGCCAUCUUGAAUACUUUUCGAGGUCAUCUUUACCUUCCAGUCGGACUUGGUCUUGAAGUAGACUGAAUUAUCCGAGUCUUGUAGAGAAUUUGCAGGCCAUAUACUAUCUUUGAUGAUGAUGACUCCAAAACCAAAGUUUACCGUAUUGAUGACACGCACAACUUCUGUAUUGAACACUUCUUCAUCCGAGGCCAUCUUGAUAAACUUUUAGGCACAUGUUCAGUUUCACUCGGAUCCGAGCUCAUCCACUCGGAUAUUAGAGACUUCCACUCGGACCAUCCGACUCGACCUUUUCACUCGGAAAACAAUCUUUCACUCGGAUGACUAUAUUUUCACUCGGAAGACAAACUUUUACUCGAUCGAUUAAUUUUCACUCGACCUUUUACUCGAUCGGUAGGUUUUCACUCGACCUUUUACUCGAUCAGUAGGUUUUCACUCGACUUUUUACUCGAUCGGUAGGUUUUCACGAACUUUUACUCGAUCGGUAGUUUUUCACUCGGAUGGUAAGCUUUUCACUCGACCAAAAACAUAGCCUGAUCUUGAUUUGCCUCCCCAAGUCUCAUACGACCUCGGAUUGAGAUGAAUUAUAUAUGAAAAUCGAUCGGCUCGACAAGACGAAACUUUUCUGUGUUGAAGGUUUUUCAAUUAAAGGCCGUCUUGAAGGCCGAAUUGCUCACGCUUUGCAUCAGACACUCAUCAACGUGUGUCUGGUGUCAAGCGUAACAUUUUGGUCUCUGGCCUGUCCAGACCGUAUUGACUAUAACUUUUGCAUAUGAACUCGGAUUGAGAUGAUUUACAUAUGAGAAUCAAUUGUCUUGACGAGACGAAGACAAUUCCUUUAGCGCACUCCUUCAUCUGAGGUCAUAUUGAGGGCGUAAUCGGCUGAAAAAACACUCAGAACAUUAAAUUUUGUCACUCGGAGUAUAGCUUCGGCCACUGAGAUGAGGUCGAAUGGCGAUAGCCUAAACAUCAAAGUUUGUUCCACUCGACGGUAUGAAACUUUCUCAUGCUGAAAACCCCUUUCACUCUGUAUUUUGCCAAAAUCAGUUGUCAACACAUGCCCCCCUGUUUUUCGGCAAAGCUUGCAUGCCGAAAAAUAAUAUGCAUAGUGUUCAUUCUAAGGAUGAUGUCAACACUCCAUCGGCCAUUUAUUUUUCUCAGGGCAAUAAUUAUGUAUCGGCCAUGUUUGUGCUAAGGGCGAUAAUCGUAUAUCGGCUAUUGCCUACUUAGGCUUCCUGCUAUACACUCGGGUGGUACUUUUUCAAAUAUUUGCCAUUGAGAGCUCGAGGUAACAAUGCCCCUUGUAUUGACUCCACCAAAUAUGAAUUUCCGGGAACAACUCUCGUAAUCCUAAAAGGACCUUCCCAACUUGGAGACCAUUUCCCAAAUUUUCUAUCUCUUGAACCAAUUGGCAGAAUCACUUUCCAGACGAGAUCACCAACUUGAAAAUUCUUCAACUUGACUUUCUUAUUGUAAGCUCUUGCCACCCUCAACUUAUCUCUCUCUAUGGCCUUUAAAGCAACCAAUCGUUUAUCGGCAACCUCAUCAAUAUUGUCCAUCAUUAGGUUAUAAAAGUCUACUGCCGAUAAAUUAUUUUGUUUGGCUAUUCUCAAAGCAUUCAAAUUUACUUCUACUGGUAAAACGGCCUCUUGACCAUAUACUAGCUCAUAUGGAGUUACCUUCGUAGCACCAUGCCUUGAAAUUCUAUGUGCCCAUAAAGCUUCAGACAACAACUCAUGCCAUCUCCUCGAAUUAUCCUUAAUCUUCUUCUUAAUGAGCUUGAUUAAGAUUUUAUUGCUAGACUCGGCUUGUCCAUUAGCUUGGGCAUAAUACGGAGAUGAAUUGAGCAACUUUAUAUUAUAAGAUUCGGCAAACUCUCUGACUUGGUGUGACAUAAAAGAUGAACCUUGAUCUGUAGUUAACGUUUGAGGAAUACCAAAUCUAUGAAUAAUGUGUUCGGUUAUGAAUCGAAUUACCUCCGUAUGUGUCAUGUUCUUGAGAGGUACUGCUUCAGACCAUUUAGUGAAAUAAUCAGUUGCCACCAGUACGAACCGAUGCCCUUUUGAGGAAGACGGGUGGAUUUGUCCAAUGAAAUCUAAACCCCAUCCUCUGAAAGGCCACGGUUUGAUAAUAGGAUGUAACAUAGCAGCAAGAGCCAAUUGAAUAUCACCAAACUUUUGACAAGCUUCACAUCCUUUAUAAUAUCUGAAGCAAUCAUUAAUCAUAGUCGGCCAAUAAAACCCAGCACGUCGCAAUAACCAUCUCAUCUUGGGAGCCGACUGGUGAGUGCCACAAAUACCUUCAUGUACUUCUCCCAUAGCAACUCUUGCCUGGUCCUCAUCCAAACACUUUAGAAGAACAUCAUCGACUGUUCGGCGAUAAAGACCAUCAUCUCUCAUUAUAUACUUGAAAGCCAUACGCCGAACAGCCCUGUCCACCCUUUCACUCGGAUUGCACAAGUAAUCAACAAUGGGCUUUCUCCAGUCGGAAUUAUCGCCUGCACUAGAUUUUUUGUUAAUGGCCGAAUCAGUGGGUUUAGGUUCGACCUCUCCCAUAUUGGCAAGACAAGACAUCGGUCUUUGAGAGAUAUGAAACAUGCCAUGAUCAACAUGAUAUCCAGAUGCUUGCUGUGCCAACUCAUUUGCUUUCCAGUUGUCAUGUCUAGAUAUAUGUGCAAUGCUAAAACAAUCCAAAGUAGAAAUUAUAUCUAGACAUUUAUCAAGAUAAACAUUAAGUGAUUCAUCCAAACACUGAAAGACUCUGGAUAUUUGCUGCACCACUAGUAACGAAUCACCGGAAGCCUCAAUAUGUGUAACACCUAUAGCAAGUAGCAUCUCUAAACCGAAUAACAAUGCUUCAUAUUCGGCUUGAUUGUUUGUGCAAGAAUAUUCUAAGCGGCAUGAGGCUUCAAAAACAGCACCAUGAGGAGAUAUAUAAACAAUACCAACACCUUGGCCAUUGCUACAAACUGAACCAUCAAAGUACAAUCUCCAUGGCACUAAUGAAACAAGGUUUAUAUCGACAUCAUGCUUGUCAUUAAUCCGAUGUUCAACAAUGAAAUUAGCAAAAAUUUGGCCUUUCAUGGAUUUUAGAGAUUCAUAAGCCAAAUCAUAUUCAAUUAAAGCAUAAGCCCACUUGCCAAUUCUACCACUAAGAAUUGGCCUAUGCAACAUGUAUUUAAUGACAUCGGUUUGACAAGCUACUACACAAGCACUCGGCACUAGGUAAUGUCUCAAUUUUGUGCAAGCGUAAUAUAAGCAUAGACAUAGUUUUUCAAUAAAUGUAUACCUUGUCUCCGCGUCCAAUAAACGUCUACUCAAAUAUGUAAUGGCAUGCUCUUUUCCUUCGGUAUCUUGAGUCAAAACAGCACCAAUAACACCUUCCUCUGCUGCGAUAUAAAGUUUAAAAGGCUCUCUAUGCUUGGGUGCUUUCAUCACCGGAGGAGUGCACAAAUAAUUCUUGAUCAUAUCAAAGGCUUCUUGCUGUUUUGCCCCCCAAGUGAAAUCAACAUCAUUCUUUAACCGAAGGAUAGGAGUAAAUGCAUCAACUUUCCCUGACAGAUUAGCUAUGAACCUUCUCAAAUAAUUGAUCUUGCCAAGGAACUUUUGCAUAUCUCUCUUGCAUGUUGGAACCUCCACUUUCUGUAUAGCUUCUAUCUUUUUGGGAUCAAUCUCUAUGCCAUCUUUGUGAAUAACAAAACCCAAAAACUUGCCAGCUGAUACGCCGAAAGCACACUUCAAAGGAUUCAUCUUCAGUCCAUACUUUCUCAUUCUUUCAAAAGCUAAACGCAAAUCGGCCAAGUGAGAUUCAAAAGCAUCCGAUUUGACAACAAUAUCAUCAAUAUAAACUUCAAGUAUGAUACCGAGUAAAUCAUGAAAGAUCAAAUUCAUAGCCCUUUGAUAUGUGGCUCCAGCAUUUUUUAAUCCGAAUGUCAUCACUGUCCACUCGAAUAAACCAAGGAAACCAGGACAUCGGAAAGCCGUUUUGUACAUGUCCUCUUCGGCCAUAAAAAUUUGAUUGUAUCCGGCAUUACCAUCUAGAAAGCUAAUAACCUUAUGUCCAGAAGCAUCAUUAAUAAGCAUAUCGGCUAUUGGCAUAGGAUACUCAUCUUUGGGUGUAGCCCUAUUCAAAUCUCUGAAGUCAAUGCACACCCUCAACUUGCCGGAUCCCUUCUUCUCCACUGGGAAAAUGUUAGAAAUCCACUCGGCAUACCUGCAAGGUCGAAUGAAAUUAGCUUCAAGUAGUUGACCGAUCUCUUCCUUGAUCCGGUCAUAUGUUUUCGGAUUAAACUUUCUGGCCGACUGUUUAUAAGGUCUAAAACCGGCUUUUAUAGGCAAACGAUGCUCCACUAGCUCUCGGCUCAACCCUGGCAUCUCAUGAUAUUCCCAUGCAAAGCAACAAACAUAUUCUUUCAAUAGCUCGAUUAAUUUAGCCUUACAAUCGGCUUUCAAAUUUUUGUUUAUAAACGCCGGUCGAGUGACUGAACCAUCUCCAAUAUCUAUCUCUUCUAAUGGAUCAGCCGAUGUAAAACCUUGUCCAAGUUUAUCCAUGUCAUCCAACUCCUCUAUAGACUCAUACAUAUCGUCCUCACUGGACCCAUAUUUUACAAGACGUUUUUGUAACCACUCGGAAUUAGGAUCCAUUUAAACAUAUCAUACCUUGGAGCCGAUUGCAUUCAGUCGGCUUUAAAGACACGGGCACAAAACCAUUUUUGGUCGCACUGAGAAAAUCGAACUCUGAUAAGUCACGUCCCGUUAAGCAAGUAGCAUUGGGAUGUUGCCAAUCCACGGAUGCAUCUGCCAAAGCAACACAAGCCGAAUUAUCCGCAUGAAUGACUUCCACUUCGUCAUCAACCCACUGAAUCAAAAACUGGUGCAUAGUGGACGGCACACACUGGUUUGCAUGAACCCAAUCACGGCCUAAUAUGACGUUGUAGUUACCUUGCACAUCAGCGACAAAGAAUGCGGUAGCCAAAGUUUUGCUUCCGACUGUAAGCUCCACAUACAUCACACCUUUGGCUUCAGUUUUUUCUUUGCCUUCAAAUCCGUUGAGCACCAUAUUGGUCUUGAUCAAUUCUUCAUCAGGCAAACCCAAUUUCUUGAAGACCGGAUAGGGCAUAAGAUUUACCACAGCGCCACCAUCAACAAGCAUCCGACUGAGUGGCGAUCCAUUGAUAUGACCUCUAAGAUACAACGGUUUCAAAUGUGUUACUGGUUCUUUUGGCUUCUCGAAUAUUGCGUUUUUAGGGUCAAAAUCCAGCUGAGCCACUUCCCCUUCCUCAUCUAUAGCACGAAACUCAGCAGGUAAGUAAUAUACCAUAUUGAUAUCCAUACCUUCAUGAAUCGGUGUAGACUCAUAGUCCAACAUAUCAGCCUCUUCUUCAAGUGGAUCGACCGAUUCUGAAAUCUGGUCGAGUGAAGGAGAAGUAGGAAGUGUUGUAGACGAUGUAAUAGAUGUCGCAUCGUCCUCCUUUGGGUGGUGUAGGCACUUCUGUGAUAGAUGUAGAAGCUGAUGUAUCUUGUAUUUGUUUAGGCCUCCACACUUGUUUUGCUGGAACCAUGGGCCGAGUGUCAUUGAACAACUUAUCUCUUUGCUUCUCGGCCUCCUGCUCUGCCAUCUCUUGACUCCUUAACCUCUGUAGUUUCCUCUUCUGUGUCUUUGUUAGCCCUGGAGGACACCACUUUGGUCCAGUGUACUUAGCAUCUCUCACCUUUACUUGGCUGGUGCUUGCCUCAUGGUCAUUAGCCGAGUGUUUUGGCACGAUAGCAAGUAUCGGCUCAAUCGAGUGUUUAUGCAAAGUCGGCUGCUGUAUGGGGAAUGUUUCGGUGCCCAAGAUAAGUGAGUCAACAUCCAUUUUCUCCUUGCCUUUUCCCAACUCAACUGAUGCAACACUUGGUGACUUAACACGCCAUUCUUUUCGAUUUUCCAGAUGCAUGAAAUUUCUAUUCGGGCGCACCUUUUUACUCGGAUGGAAUCCACUCGGAUGGGCGUCACUCUGAUGGAAUCCACUCGGAUGGAACUCACUCGGAUGGAUUUCACUCGGAUGAAAUCUACCCAUCCAUAUUUUUUUAUUUGGAUAGCUUCCAUCUGGGUGCAUUCUUACACUAGGAUAAUUUCCAUCCGGUCGCAUAUUUUGACCAGCCGACUGAUAGUCACCGAUGUUGAGUCGGCCAUUAUAUAAGUAAUCAAGUCGAUCCCACAUAGAUUGCCUCUGCUCUUCUGAAAACUGCGCCCUUGGUCCACUCGGUUUUGUAUACCGACUGAACAUAUCAACUGAUGGUGAUCUUGGUCGUUUCAAAUGAGUCGGUCGACUGAAACUAGAACCGGCCGACUGGUUAGCAUACUUGGAUAGCAACAUAUCAAAAGUUGGCUUGACCCGCUUGCGCUGCACUUUAACCUCAUUCUUCUUCCACUUGCCAACUUCUGGACUCUUGGGCUUAACAAAUUUAACACGAGUAUUUUCUUGCACUUGAGGUUGCCCCCCGAGUGUAGGAUUCUUGAUGGUGAUUUUGAUCACUUCCUUGCCAUCGGGUUGCUUAUCAAGCACAACCUGUCUCCCCAAGACCUUGUUGUCCUCCUUGUCUUUCCUGGGCUCACCAACAAUGACAUUAGCUUUAUUAGCAGAUUCGGCUACCUCCGGCCGAAUGAGUAGCUUCUUUCCCUCCAAAUUGAUGGUAUUCAUUGCAAAAGGUUGUUUAUCAACUUGCAUCUCAGAAAAGUUCAAUCGUCCGUCAUUAAUGGCCGAUUGUAUCUGUCGUCGAAAAACAUUGCAAUCGUUAGUAGCAUGAGAAAAAGAGUUAUGAUACUUGCAAUAAGCACGCCGUUUUAGCUCUUCAAACGGCGGUAAAGUAUGAGAUAUUCUAAUAAUCUUAGCCUGCAGCAAAGUAUCAAAUAUUCUAUCACACUUAGCAAUGUUAAAAGUAAACUUCAUCUCUUCAUCACGAUUCUUAUGAAUCGGUUUCAGAUCAUUGCAAGUAAAGGGUUUGGCCUUGGAUGGCCAAACAAAUUCAGUAGCAAAAACAUCACCCUCAUCGUCCGAGUGAUCACUGUCAUAUUCCACCAUAUUCAUCUUUGGACGAUCGGCUUUGUAUCUAUGCACUUCUUUGAGGUCUUUGCUUCGGCUUUCCUGAGCCAAAGCCCUUUGUAAGACUUGGUUGAUAUUUAAAAACUCAUAGCCUUCUAGUUUUUCUCUAAUGGGAGUUCUCAAACCACUCAGCACUAGGUCUGCCAAGUCUCUCUCGGUUAUCACCAAACUAAAACACCGGUUUUUCGUUUCUCUGAAUCUCUUGACGUAAUCGGAGACCGAUUCAUCAUGCUUCUGCUUAACCGAUGUUAGAUGUGACAACUUGAGUUCAUUGUCUUCGCUAUAAAAGUGAUCAUGAAAUUUCUGCUCUAACUGCGACCAAACUCGAAUGGAACCAUGUGGUAAAGAGGAAAACCAUGAAAAUGCGGUACCAGUUAAUGACAAAGGAAAUAAACGCACUUUCAACUCAUUUAGUGAGCCUGCCUCACCCAGUUGUGCCAAGUAUUGACUAACAUGCUCCCAUGUGGUUUUUGUGCCCUCUCCAUUGAACUUAACAAAAUCUGGAAUUUUAUAUCCUGGAGGGCACUGGAUGGCAUCAAAGUACUCGGGGUACGGCUUUUGGUAAAUCCGAUUCCGAGGUAACUCAACUCCAAAAUUCUCUCGAAGCAUCUUAGCCAUCUCCUCUCUAAGAUUAGCUAAACCAUCAUCCAUAGUAGACGAUGAAGCUGGUGGCAGUGGCAUAGGAGGAGUAGGAUUACUAGCUGUAGGUAGGAAUUGUGGCAGGUAUGUCGACCCAUAAUUUGCUAGUGGUCGAGUGGUUGUAGCUGUAGGUAAGGUUGGGUUCGGCGUUGCCACCGAACCUGGCGUGCUCAUAAUAGGAUUAAUGGGUGCAGCCACAAUCUGAUUUGUUUGGGUAGGAUAAUAAGUCAUCGGCACGGGAGGCGCCGAUGAGAUAGGUAAAGCCAGAUUAGGGUUUUGCACACUAUCAGCUACACCAUUAUUACCACUAGUCGAUUGAGAUGUAUUCUUCUGAGCAUUAGUAUUUUCUAUGAAAGUUUGAUAGACUAGAUUGUUACCAUCAGCAAUACGACUUUCAAUCUCAGCCCACUGCUCAGGAGAAAAGGUAGUACUCACAGAAGGUUUAACCUGCUCGGCUUGAAGAGGAGGGAACUUGAUUUCUUCAAUCGGAGUGAUGUUGCCUUGGCGAUCCUUCUUGAACAUUGCAAGGAACUCCUGCAAAUCCUUCUCUUCGCGCGCCUUCUUGUACUCCUCAUAGACUUGGCGAUGAUCAGCCGAUAUCUCAUCAAGACUGGGCUUAAUGAUGUUGUCGGCGUCUACCUCGGAUGGCUUGGGAAGAUCGGACAUGGUGGAUGAUGAUGAUUGAUCUUCGAUUCCCCAGCGGAGUCGCCAAAAAGUGUGUUGACACACGAACACGUCACGUGUACCCUCGACGCCGGGGGUGAUGCACCGCAGCUCACGUCGAAGGAGACCCGACCGACAGCGCGAUACGCAAGACAGUCGGCGGGCGCUUUUGCAGACCCGAAAACCCCACACCCCCGGGAGGGACCCCGUCAGGGAGUGCGGCGGCUAUGGGCUGCCCUAGGUCGAUUCACUCGCCCCUAGAGCCUCGGGAUUCGCAGCUCUCAAACACGAAGAACAGCGAAGAACGAGAGAGAAAAACGGUGGAGAGAUAAAACGUAGAUGAAAAAGUAGUAUAUUGAUUUGUUCGAUUGUGUGUUGUUCAAUCGGCCAUCACCCCCAACAUAUUUAAGAGGCGGCUGGACUUCCCGUACAAGUAAAGGAUUCAUCUAGGCUUUCCUUACAAGAAAAAUUACAUAAAUUCGCGUCCUAGAGUCCUAGUUCUAUUCCAACUCGGAUUCAGUCUGAAUCUGGCCCAACUUCUGUCUUCCUCCUUGUGCAGGCCGCCGAGCCUCCAUAUGACCUCCGAUCGAGAUGGCCCAAAUAUCAAACUUGUGCGCCUCGACGAUGCGAACAACUCUCAUGUUGAUCACUUUUUCAAAUAAGGCCAUCUUGAAUACUUUUCGAGGUCAUCUUUACCUUCCAGUCGGACUUGGUCUUGAAGUAGACUGAAUUAUCCGAGUCUUGUAGAGAAUUUGCAGGCCAUGUACUAUCUUUGAUGAUGAUGACUCCAAAACCAAAGUUUACCGUAUUGAUGACACGCACAACUUCUGUAUUGAACACUUCUUCAUCCGAGGCCAUCUUGAUAAACUUUUAGGCACAUGUUCAGUUUCACUCGGAUCCGAGCUCAUCCACUCGGAUAUUAGAGACUUCCACUCGGACCAUCCGACUCGACCUUUUCACUCGGAAAACAAUCUUUCACUCGGAUGACUAUAUUUUCACUCGGAAGACAAACUUUUACUCGAUCGAUUAAUUUUCACUCGACCUUUUACUCGAUCGGUAGGUUUUCACUCGACCUUUUACUCGAUCGGUAGGUUUUCACUCGACUUUUUACUCGAUCGGUAGGUUUUCACGAACUUUUACUCGAUCGGUAGUUUUUCACUCGGAUGGUAAGCUUUUCACUCGACCAAAAACAUAGCAUGAUCUUGAUUUGCCUCCCCAAGUCUCAUACGACCUCGGAUUGAGAUGAAUUAUAUAUGAAAAUCGAUCGGCUCGACGAGACGGAACUUUUCUGUGUUGAAGGUUUUUCAAUUAAAGGCCGUCUUGAAGGCCGAAUUGCUCACGCUUUGCAUCAGACACUCAUCAACGUGUGUCUGGUGUCAAGCGUAACAUUUUGGUCUCUGGCCUGUCCAGACCGUAUUGACUAUAACUUUUGCAUAUGAACUCGGAUUGAGAUGAUUUACAUAUGAGAAUCAAUUGUCUUGACGAGACGAAGACAAUUCCUUUAGCGCACUCCAUCUGAGGUCAUAUUGAGGGCGUAAUCGGCUGAAAAAACACUCAGACCAUUAAAUUUUGUCACUCGGAGUAUAGCUUCGGCCACUGAGAUGAGGUCGAAUGGCGAUAGCCUAAACAUCAAAGUUUGUUCCACUCGACGAUAUGAAACUUUCUCAUGCUGAAAACCCCUUUCACUCUGUAUUUUGCCAAAAUCAGUUGUCAACAAUGGUAUUAUAGUUUCUGCAUAUAGAUACCUUAUAUAAAGGAACGGAAGCAGUAUUAAAAAUACAGGUCUAUCUGCAGAUACAUAAGGCCACAGUGACCAAGGCAGAGACCGACAAGGACCAGAACAAAGACAGCUAGAAUCUGAGGUGAAAUUCAGGCAUACCCCGAACAUUCAAGCACCAACAUGACUUUCUUUGAACCAAAAUGACCACAAUCCUUACAUGGUCAGAACACAGUCCAGACCUAAAUACAAGAGAGCACCACCGUUAUAUCGAACAAGGCAGCAACCUAGUAUGAGGUGAACUUAGUGACUGCAUUGAUGCCAUUGGAGACGGCACGCUUGCAGCUCGACGGGGAGGACCAGGGAGAAAGAGUUCUGAAUCUCGCGGGCUUCUUGUUGUAGCAUGGGAGCUUGACAGGCUCACCAACGAGUUCACGAGUUAUAAUGUCAAGCCAUGCAUGGCCAGAUUGCAAUGGUCCUACGGAGGGAACUAGACAAAUAUCCAAGUCCAGUGUUAUCCAUGAAUAACAUCUAUCUUGACUAUUCCCCGAGAAAAAAUCUAUCUCAACUAGAGUGUCUUGUGAUGAUAACCCACCAAUGCCAGCAUACAAACCAAGACUAUUCUCUUACCAGACAGGAAAACAAGUGCAUUAGCACACAUGCAUGGACACCCACGAUUUCUGGGUGGUGAAAUCGAACAAGAAACACAUGCACAAAAACUAUAAUUCUACUAACCACACAAUUCAGUUAUAUAUUUGUGAUCUAACGACAACACGGGACAGUGUAGUGGCUUGGGAUCUGGUGUGUGCACCGUUCGCUCAUGGGGGUCUAGGAUUCUACAAGCUCAAACACAUGAACCUUUGUCUUCUUGUAAAACACCUCUCUAAACUUCAUGACUCUGGAACCACCGAGCCUACUAGCUACUUCAUCUCAAACUAUGGGUGGACUCCUGCACGGGACUUGGGUAAUUGCAGCUCCAGGAUUACUCCAGUAUGGCAUGAUAUUUUCAAAGGUUUGGACUUCUUCCGCUCGAUUACUAGAGUCUCUGUUGGAAAAGGCUCUACCACAUCCUUCUGGUAUGACCUGUGGCUACCUAAUGAAAACAUCCCCCUCUCCCAACAAUUCACGACUCUGCUCUCCCACUCCAAGCGGCCGACGGCCUCGGUCGCGUGGGUGCUGGAUUCUCCCCAGCUCAACCUUGACCUUACACCCCGGCUCUUGUAUGCAGCAGAGAACGAACUAGCUAACCUGCGCGCUAUUUUGGCAACGAUAAACUUGAAUAUGCAGGUGACCGACGUGAGGACUAACAGGUGGGAUGGUAAGCCUCUAACCAACCGUAGGGCCUACAUGGCGCAUUGGUCGGCAGCCCCGGCUGACCCUAUUGCAACACCUCUCUGGAAGAACUAUUCACCAAACAAAUGUAGGAUGUUUGUCUGGCUUGCGCAUAAAGAUCAUGUGUUUACCAAUGAGAGACGGCUCAAACACUCUUUUGAAAAGUCUGAUCAGUGCCCUCUCUGCAGUUGUCGAGAGAGCAUUGAUCACCUGCUGUUCCAGUGCCAGCUGCUCCGUCCACUCUGGGACGAGCUUCAGAGUCAACACUUCGGGAGUCACCAAUCUAUGCUGGAUAUUUGGAAUGCUGACAGGGCUAAUAAAGUUCGGUCCACCGUCAUUAUAGCUCUGCUUUGCAACAUUUGGAAACGGCGCAACGCGAAAGUAUUCCGCAAUGACACUCUGGGGGUGUACCACAUUGCUCGCUCAGCUGCGGAUGAUUUGAUGUUGUGGUCUCACAGAUGUAAAAAUGUUCAGAAGAAAAACCUGCUUCGAGACUGGAGCUCUAUGUUGUUUCAUUUAGCUGGGAGAAUAUAGCCUUCUACCCAUUUUUGUUUUUCCUCUAGUUUGCUCCUUCAUCUCCUUCCUCCUUGUACCUCUGGUCUCUAUGUAAUUGGUACUUCUGGUAAUACUAGCAAAAGAGCCCGUGCGUUGCAACGGGAGAAAAAACACAACACACCCUCUUAACCGAACAACCAUCACUCAAGACCACAAUAGGUUGAUCUCCUUUAUUUUAGCGACACAUAAUAUUUGUGUUGCCGCUUAUCCUUCUUGUCACCCUCACUGGCGAUGGCCUUAGUGUUCACACAAACCAAAAUGUGUUUGAAUGUGGUUAAUCCUAAGCCGUCUCUCUCUCUCCUCCCUCUCCCUCUCUCUCUCUCUCGCUUUCUCGCACACUUGCGAUGAGAAAUCUGUUGUUUUCCCCUGUGAUGUAUUCAGAGGUAUGCAUGUGUAGUUCUCGAUGUUUUCUAUUCCCUAUAUGACUAUAGUGGGUGUUUAUUUGCAACCCGGAUCGCCGCAUGUACGAAGGAAAAAUGGAUCGUGCGCUAUAGUUAUAAGUGUGCUUCCAAAACAAUAUCUAAAAAAUAUUUAACAGGUAAAAUUAACAUCAUAUUCAGAUUUCACACAUUUUUCUAUUCAAAUUUCAUGUAUAACACGUUAAAAUCGGAGUUAUGGUUUGAAAGAUACGUAUAAUUUAGAAAACCAUUUGUUUGACUUAAAUAUCUUUCAAAAUAAUAUGUAUAAAUACUUAACAAGUUAAAAUAAUCUUAUAUUCAUAUUCUACAUAUUUUUCUAAUCAAAUUUUAUAUAUAACAUGUUUAAAUCGGAGUUACGGUUUAAAAGAUAUGGAUGGUUUAGAAAAGCAUUUGUUUAACUUAAAUAUGAUCCGCGGAUGGAAUACCUAAAAAGUCAGAGGUUUUUCGAAAAACUGUAAAAUAACGGUUCGGUGUGACUUAAAUCCGGACUGCGUGUUGAUUUCAUGAAAAUGCAGGGGCUUUUUUGCAAAACGGUGCGACGGACGGGCAGAAACCUUACGUGCUUUAUUAUUAGGUAGAGAUAAGGUUCAGGCAGGCGUAAGCCCGCCGUUGACGCGUCAAAAAAAAGCCAAGCCUAAUACAUGCUGUUUUCAGUAAUGGCAUCAUUCCAAGCGAAGGCGCCAAGCCACCAUCACUGUGAAUUUCAUCUAGUAGCAGCGAGAUAGAGAUAAGACACGGGGCAUCAAUGUGAAUGCGAACAUCCUGAAGGAAGAAACAAGUCCCAACUAACUGCAGAUGCUUCAGUGAUUUGGAAGAUAUGUUACCGCCGUAAAUGACGCUAUCUUGCAUCGUUAGCUUCUCUAAUACUGGACAGUCCGAAAAAUCCAGUGAGCAACCUUCAAAGUGAACUUGAUCAAAUUCUAAUAUCCUCAAGUGCGAGGAGACAAGACGCCUGAGUGAAAACCAUUCGUCAUAAAGAAAAACGUCUGAAACUGAGAGCUUCUCAACCCCGCACUCUAGAACUUCACCGCGCAACGACCAAGUGAGGAGGCAACCACAACCCCGAGACCAAGGCGGACUCGGUGGGGAAAAAUGCACAAGUUGAGUGGUCCCUGCUACUUGUGAGUUUGCGUUGGUAUUUUCCCCGGAGAGGAAAUGUGAAGUAAGAAGCUUCGGGAGGAGACCAGACACCAAGCGAGGAGAUGGCAAGGCAACAGGGCGCGCCCUGAUGCUUUGUGGGCCCCAUGUGGCUCCGUCUGACCUAAUUCCACUUCUAUAAAUUUUCAAAUAUUGGGAAAACCUAGAGAGCCACACGAAACAAUUUUUCCGCACCACAAGCCUCUGUUCUUCCGCGAUCCCAUCUAGAGGCCUUUUCCGGUACUCUACAGAAGGGGAAUCGAUCCGAAGGGCGUCUACAUCAACCUUGUUGCCCCUACCAAUGAUGUGUGAGUAGUCCACUACAGACCUAUGGGUCCAUAGCUAGAUGGCUUCUCUCUCUCUCUCUCUCUCUCUCUCUCUCUCUCUCUCUCUCUCCCCCCUGUGAUCUUCAAUACAAUGGUCUCCUGGUCUUCUUGGAGUUCUAUCAAAUGUAAUCUUCUUUUGCGGUGUGUUUCUUGGGAUCCGAUGAAUUGUGGAUUUAUGAUCAGAUUAUUCAUUGAAAGUAAUUGGUUAUUUUUUGAACUUUAUUAUGCAUGAUUAUUGUAGCUUCGUAUUUCUCUUUGAUCUAUCUGUUUGGUUUGCCCAACUAGAAUUAUUUAUCUUCAGCAGGAGAGGUGCUUUGUGGUAGGUUCAAUCUUGCAGUGUUCUCACCCAGUGACGAAAAGGAUAGCGAGACAUGUAUUUGUGUUGUUGCCAUUAAGGUAAAACGACGAGGUUUAACCAUAUGGUUUUAUUCUGUCUACAUCAUGUCAUCUUGUUUAAAGCGUUACUCUGUUUGUCAUGGACUUAAUACCAUAGAUGCAGGCAGGAGUCGGUCGAUUGGUGGAGUAAUAUUAGAGAUGCAGGUAGGAGUCGGUCUACUUGUCACAGACGUGAUGUCUAUAUAUGUAAUCAUUGCCAUGAAUGAUAUCAUAACUAUGCGUCUUUUUAUCAGUUGCCCAACAGUAAUUUUUCUACCCACCGUAUGGUAUUGUUUCGAGAGAGAAGCCUCUAGUGAAAACUAUGGCCCCUGAGUCUACUUUAAUCAUAUUACUAAAACAAAAUAUCUUCCUGCAAUUUUCUAUUUUUAUUUUACUUUUCAGUUUAUAUAUCUACUACUACCAGAUUUAAUCCUUGCAAGUAACGAGUUCAGGGGGUUGAUGACUCUCUUUCCCGUGUUUAGUGCGAGUAUUUGAUCUUGUGUGUGCAGGUGUUGUUCACUAGGAUUUGCGUGAUUCUCUUAUUGAUUCGAUAACCCUGGUUCUCACUGAGAAGAAUACUUAUCAGCUACUAUAUUGCUUCACCCUUCCUCUUCAUGGAAAAUUCUAACGCAACUCACAUGUAGCAGCUCCCACGAACAACGGGGAGAGGCAUUGGUAGCGAGAGCGUGAUGGUAAGGUCGGGUGCGAGGAUGCCAUGAUGCUACAUAGCCCAUCCCAAUAAAUCCACGUAUGUGACAUUGGCUCCCAUAACCUACCAGGAUAGGCACGAUGGAGUGGGCGAGGUCAGGGGCAUGUGGUGCCCUGCUGCCAUAGGGAGAGGCGGUGCGUCGUUUGACGGCCAUGGGAUAGUCAACACUUCUGAUGCAUAGGAAGGGGUGGUUCUGGACUGGGAGGAGGAAGAAUAGAAGAAGACACAGUUGUGCCAGACCGAUGUGAGAGAAUAAAGCGCUAUGGUGGGACUUGCGCAACUUAUGGAGUCCAUGAGAAAUAUCUAAUCUAGUCUAAACCAAUCAAAAAAAAAAGUGUGUUAUAGCAAAAUAGCGCCACCUUUAAAAUACACUAUUAGCGAGACAUUAAACACUAAUUUAUUUCCAUUGCUCAGAAUGCUAUGGCAUUGCUAUUUUUCCCGUGGUCUAAACACACUACAAAAUCAGAAGUGAACUGUGUUCAAAAAUCAACAGUGAACCAGAGAAAAAACCUGACACGCAUGUUGCUCAUGUACACUGAUUUAUUUAUUGAGGCAAGUGGGGUAUUGCACAAAACACUAUAGCAUACUAUUCGUGGUGCUAUAGUGUGCUAUUUUUUCCAGUGGUCUAUGCAUAAUAUAAAACAGGGAGUGAAUUGUGUUAAAAGACCAAACUAAAUGGGACACAUGUGUCAUUCAUAGAAGAGCUUAUGGCUAUAGCUCCAAACUCACCAAAGGCGCCGAAGCUUAACAGCUUUAAUUCUCUUACUAUCACAGUUAGUUUUUUUAAAAAUUUGUUUGUAUUUUUGUUUUCAAAAAUACAUUUCAUAUGGAAAUAAUGUUAACAGGAAGCUUCUCGGAUGUCAUCUCAGCGUGAAAACUUACACAAACCUAGAAGGGUCUCUUGUCUUUGAUGUGUAAAAAUCUCAGUUUUUCUAAAAUUUUGUUUAUAUUUUUUGUUUUCAAAAUUACUUUUCAUAUGGAAAUAAUGUUAACAGAAAAUUACUAUUCACCCAUAAUUACUAUUUAACCACAAACCUUUACAUUAUUAAUUAAUUGACACAAUCACUGUUCAGGGCAUUGUUCAUUGGCUGCCUUAUGUUAAACUAGAUCAUUGAUGGCGCGCGUUGCAGUUCCCAUCUGUUUAGAAUUUUCUUAAAAAUAGAAAGACAUGGCUCAUGAUCUUUAAUUACAUUUGUAAAGAUGACCCAUAUAUUUGUUAGCAAAAGAGAGGUGGUGGAUAUAAUUGUUUUGUAAAGAAAGUAUUGGGUAGUUUGGCACUACAUGUUUCUUUUUGUCUAAUGGGCUUCAUUGGUGAGAGCGAUUGCAUAACAUAACAACAUGUGAAGAGCUGGACAAAAUGAAGUUACUCAACAACCCAUUUACAUCAAAAUUUGCAUAAAAAUCUACAUUCUAAGCCUGAGUAAUAAUACAACAAGAAGCUUCCCGAAAGCAUCCACACAUAGAAUUAUACAAUGUUAUCCGUCUAUCCAAAAGAACCAAAAGAAAGAACUUGCAGCCAAAAUGAUGACUGCAUUCCAGAUCGUGUAGGGGUGCAACGGGCAUCCUGCUUUAUCUGCAAAAGUCAUCAAUUAGCUUAUCACGUAUUGGCUGUAAAAUUAACAUUAUGUUUGUAUUGUGUUAUUGUCCGCGAACCUGGCCUUCUUGCAUCCGUAGGUUCAUGCACAUUAAAUCAAAUUCAAAAUGUAUAGGAUGGAUUGCAAUGUGUAAAGAUAAGAAGAAUAAAAUCUCUACUAUAAAUGCCACGUAACAGUAAAGCAGAUGCUACCAUUUCUUUCCCAAUUUAUAACCUUCUACAGAAACAUUCCAUUGUAUGUACCUUUCUUCUAUGUCCAUCUAAUCAUGCUAAGCAUAAAUUCAUACUAAGAUAUUAGUGCAUGAAUUUAUGCAAAAACUUUGGGCUAGUCGAUCCUGGUCAUAACCUGAUUUUUUGUGGCUUAGGUCUGGUUGCUUUUAGUGCCAAUGUACAGUGUACCAUGUUGUGUUUUGGGCUAGCCGAUUAGGAGAAGGAAUUUUUGUUCUUUAGGCCACGCAAAAAAUGAGUGAUAAGGAUUAAUAUGGAAUUUGUUUCGAAGGAAGAGCAUAGAGCACAUCAUAAGGUUAGGAAGUGCUGCCUUGAUCACGUUUGAACACAUCGACAACGUUUUCUACCCAGAUAGUGACGCAAUGUAGUAGCUGAAAUAAAUAAAUAAUUAAAAGCACUAUUCCAUAGUCCAAGGAGUAUCUCUAUAAAAAAAGCAACCAGACCUAGGCCAUAGAAAAUCAGGUUAUGACCAGGAUCUCUGAUUUUUAUAUAUGCUAGAUUUGUUGAAGCAAGACAUAAAGAUUAUACGUGAGGGUGAAUGAUCUGAUUUGCCAACAUUUCAGUCCAAAUCAGAUUCAAUCAUGAAGCAUUAGAGCAAAUUGUAGUAAAGAGCAGUGGUGCGCGAGAGAUUUUGUCCAAUAAUAUUAUGUAGAGGCAGAUAAUAAGGCAUAUGACAUUAGAUCAUGACAAAUGAGAGGAGAGUACCUGAAUGUCUUUCAUGGUCGCACAGAGAUCAAUGUAGUCCUUUUGGUUGCACCAGCCACUUCAAGUUGUUCAACUAUGAAGUUGUCGAUGUGAAAAUGCUCAGUUGAAUCCAUAAACAUAGCUCAUAGUAAUUAAGCAAGUUAUCGUUUAUUUUAGCGCGGUGUUAAAAUUAAAGUUAAAGUUUAUGUUAGCACAAUGUGAAAAUUAAACUUAAAAGUAUACUUUUUAACUCGAAAACUAAAUUACGUUACAUACCUUUCCAAUCAGUGUUGGCCAACAAUACUAUUUACAUUGUUUAGAGCGUAGCAAAAAGAGAGAUUGCUCCUUAGUUAAUUGGGUUAUCCAAACAAUAAAGGGCACACAUACAUGUUGGAUGUUAAUAGAGAAACAUCAAGACACAAAUAGUCCUAAGAAAUUUCCGAUGGUACUUGAGGCAAUAAAUUUGUACCUGAAACAUAUAAUCUACGGUAAGCUUCACAAGAACACCAGUUGCAACGAUGGACUAUGCAGGUUAAUGACACCUACUAUAGUAAGUCCAUGCUAUGCUCCUGACUGACAGGAAAAAAUGCUGAUUAUUGAGUACAAUGAUUCUUCUUGUCCACUGCAAAUGACUCCUACAGAAUGUUAAACGGUGUGUUCUUUAUCUCCGAGGUCCUAGUAAUAUGAGAAAACGAGGGCGAGAGUGACUCCAUAGUAAUUACAUUAGAAUACAAAAAAACAGAAAAACAUUUUCAUUGCACAAUACAAACAACAAAUUCGUGUACACACAUGCAAUGUGGACUUACACGUUCAGCAAACAAACUCUCGGAAUAUUGAAAAGCGCCAGCCGGAAUUCUUCCUGCACCAUGCCAACGCACAAGCAUCACAACUCAGGUUAUUCAUAAGCCACCAUAUACACAAAAAUGUACCUACAGAGCAACAAUAUUUUUUCAGUUUUAAAUAAGGAGAUGGGUGUUUAUCCACUAACCUUGUUAACCAUCCCUCCAUGUAUCACAACAUUGUUGAUUUCUUCAACAGCUCGUACAAUGCUUACCGUGAGCAUCUGCAUAAAAGCUAAUCCGUAAGAGGAUUUAACAGAAAUGAUAAAGCCCACUGGUUUAGAUCCUGUCAGUGUGGAGACAAUUGAAUAGCCAGCAUGCACAGUUCCUACAAACCAAGCAUCAAAAUUCGUACAUGCCAAUGCAUCUUCAUGCCCAAAUCCACUACCACCAAACAACAAAACAUGGUGAUGUAGAUGGCAGUGGCUGUACCGACCAUGAAUCUGCCGCUGACCCAACUGUUGGUUGCUGGUAUCGAUGCCGUUGACAGGGAAAAAGGGGGUCAAGGCUUGUGUUAGAAUGGUGAUGGUCCCAUCUUGGAUAUAAAUACAUGCAGCUUCAGGUCAGAGGCGAAACAACAACGGCGGUGGUAAUUAACAAUUCCUGCACCAAAAAUGACUAUGAAGAGGCGAAAAUGUGACAUCCUAAAAAUAGCAGCAUAAUGAGUUUAUUUACGCAUAUCAUCCAAUGUAUACUAAAUAUAUAGCUUGUAAUUAACUACAAGCCUUGACGAAAAGCAUAAAUAACUGAAAAGUGGUAUAUGUUGGCAGACAUGAGAGUACACUUUUAUGCAGGAGCAAAUGACUGAAACACAUUGAUUGGAAUUACUUCUUCGCGACUAAAAUCAAGCCAUACAAAAAUACCAUGAGCGUAUCACAUAACAAGACCUUGACAAAAUAGCAUAUCAAGUUGGAUAAUAAAUCCAAUCCACGAACAGACUGGGUAGGCUGUGUUACUACCUGUGUUAGCUUUUGCAUCGAGUGCUAUAAGAUCAGAGGUGUGGACGCCCAGCUCGUAGUAGCUGCACCUUUCACAACCUGUAAGGCCGCCGUUUACAAACCAGGUGAAGGGUAGUAGGGUAAUGAAAGAAAAUUAAUGAAGGAGAUCAACCACGAUCUCUUAUUAUUUCUAGCUGUCGAGUAUCUCAAACUCUGAAUCCUGAAUGAGAUCCCAUAGUUCCUUCUUCGACAGCGACGCAGCCUGGGUAGGUUGCGGGAGGCCGGCGGCUGUAGUCAGGGGAGGACGUGGCGGGUUUCCUUCUUACUGAAUCAUUUCUCACAGAGGAGCUGGCGUACGAGAGGCCUCUCCGGUCUUGCAGGAGCGAGUCCAUGAAGGAGGAGGGUGUGCGCGCCGCUGCGGCGCUGACCCGCAUCGAAGCGAAGGGACAAAGCCGGGGUGUUGUUCCUCCUUGUCGCCGCCGCCGCCGCCUAGCAAUGGUAUGGAGGGGUUGCGCUCGACAGGGGAGGCGGCGUGGAAUGCAGUAGGCUGGGGAGUUACCUCUCUACCUGAUGGGCCGUCCUUCCCCUGACCGCUCGCUAGAAGGGCUUCCUAGCCCAAUCAACCAGAGAAGUCCAAAAAGUCCACCGGAGUAGCUGCCCCCAGGACAGCAGACCCAGGUUGCGGCAACAUUGCCCUAAAGUAGCGUUCCAUGUGCAUCCAACGGACAGAAACAACCAGAUCGCGGAAACGGACGAUUAAGAACGCAAAUCGCUGAGAGAGCUCGGUUUAGGUGCGGUUAUACUGUCCUUAAUUGGUAGAGCCCUUGGAAAAAAUUCAAAAAAAGAAAGGAGGUCCUAGCUUAUCCGGUUUAAUAUAGUAGUAUAUAUACAAUGUUUGGUAAAGCCCAAAAGAUCAAAGCACGGAAGACAAACUCAAAAAAAGAACCGCCAACGUCCGCCCGAGGGCCACACCUGCUAGGAUAAAAAAAUCGUGACCUAAACUUGUAGCCGGAGCGAAGACACAUCGAUUAUCCUCUCUGCCACCGGCCGCCGAAGCGGUAGCCAGAGGGAAGGCAAAUUCACGGAUUCACUAGUGAAGUAUGAAAGAAAAAGUUUGCCCUAGCCGCCUAAGAUUAGGGGAGGAAAGGAGAGUUAGUCCCAAUCUGGGAGACUGCUCACGAUUAUGACUGAUGCAAGUACUAUGCAAUGAUCAAAUACGAGCAAAUAAUAUGUAUUUUCCGUUUCUGUUUCUCCUCUAGUUUGUUAAUGCAACGACCGUUGGGGAUUCCCCCUCCUCCUUCAUUCUCAGGAAAAUAUUUAUUACUAUAAAUGUAUAAAUAUGUAGAGAACAUAUACAUGUGUAUGAGGGAUUAUUAUUUCCAGAUUUCUCUAUUCUGAAUAAUUCCGGUCUCCAUGAAUCCCGGGUGCCCACCAUGAAAAUUUUACUUGAUCAACAAAAGGCCAUAGAGCAACUCGCCAAACUGUCUCACUACGACGAAAAUGUUCUUACGUAAGUCUCUUCUACCUUCCGUACUGCCUACAUACAUUAGCGCAGACUAGCUAGCUUUGCAAAUCCUGAAACAACAGUAGGCAGUUCACUGAAACAUCUUAACAAAAUACAGGUAUUCAGAGGGCAAACAAGUUCUUCAAGUUUAGGAAAUGGGCAUAUGGCGACCCUUGAACAUGUCCUGACUGAAUCCAAGGCAACAACAACUAUCAGUACACGAAAAGCAGCAACCGCAUGGACCAUGGACAUAAAGACUGAACAACGAAGUACAACAUAGACUAGCUGAACUGAACACCUCCAGCUCGAAAAGGAACCCUGCAUAAACAGCAAAGGACAUAGUGAGCAUGGGGAAACGGGAAGAAAUGCAGGGAAUAUUAAAAUUCUGCUGGUUGGUCUAUCUAUCAGAGGAUGUGCUAUAAACAAGUUGGAACGGUCAGUUGGUUGAUCUAGAUAUUUGAUAGGCAUCAUCUUGGGUAGCACUUGCAUGAAACAACUUGUCGUCACUGUCACAUUACAGGAAAAAUAAUGUACACUUAAGUUCUCUACCUUCAGAACUCCCUACAUUAGCACAGACUAGCUAGCUUUGCUAAUAAGGCAUACAGUUCAGGAACUUAAUACUUUCUGUUGUAGUGCUAACUGCCAAGCUUCCUGCCCUUGCUCAUUGCCACCAUUGGAAUGCUGCUGCCUGUAGCUACAAAGCACUUGUUGCAGCUCUAGCUGUUUCCACAGUGUUGCUGUUGGGUGUCAUUUGCACCUAUUGUGAUGAUAAGCAGCAUCAAUGGCGCCAUUUAAGGCAAUGUUCUGGGGCCAGUUAUUGGGCCGUGUUAUGGUGGGCUGGAAGGAUGUAAAAAGUUGUGCACAAGGAUAUACCAUGCUAUUCUGCUUGGGUCUAAGCUUAUGAUUUUUAUCCAAGCAUGUUAUGUAUAGGUCGACUACUGAAAGAUAAUAAUCAUGAAGAAUGAUAACAAAUGCUUACAGGCGAGCAGAAGAUCUAUUCUACAUCGAUCCGCUCAGUGGGUACUCCAUGGUUACAUAGGAUGUUUAAAAUAUGGUUAACUACUUCCUAUGCAUAUUUCAAACAAUAAACAUAUAUGAUGAUUAUUUCAUAUCUGAGCAAACUACCAUCCUAUGCAUAGGAUAAAUAUUCAUAUGUGUCACCAUACUUCCUAUGCUAAUUACAAACGAACAAACUACUUCCUAUGCAUUACUUCAUAUGUGUUCAUCUAAAUAAUCUUUGAUAGGUACUAGAAAGCUUUAUAAAAAAAUUGACAUUGGUUUGACAAAUAUUUGCCAUGUACUUGAAUGAAAAUCUACCAUGUGAAAAGAAGGUGUUUUAUCACCUUUAUAUACAUGAUUAUUAAUUCAUAUGUACAUACAAAUUCCUAUGCAUGUGAUUUACAAUACAAAUCAACAACAAUAAUGUUUCCCAAUGUUCACAACUAAUCUACAUAGGCUAAAUCAACACACAUCCAUUCUAUUUCCCAUAGAAAUUUCAAAUAAAUCAUAAGCUAGGGUUUCACCACAAAAAUGAAGAAUGGGGAAGGUUUUUCGGAUAGAAAGAAGGGGGUCAGAGGAGAAUGCCUUCUAGGAUGGAUUGGGCAACAAAUCCAUGGACGAAAUCUUCAAAUCGGAAGGAAUUGGGAGAGAGGAUUGAGAGGGGGAGAGGAGAGAGCGGCCGCCGCUGCCGCUCUCUGUUUCAUCCCUUGGACGAAUGGGUGGGUGGGAUGGGGAAGGCCCGAUGCGCUGUAGUUACUAAGGGCGUGUUCGGUAGUUGCCCACAGCCACAAAAUCCUCUACUCCAGCGCCCGACUCCACCAGCCAGCUUCCCAUGUAAACUCCUGGAGCUAGCGAUCUGUUCGGUGCGGCAGCUCCUGGGAGCCAGCGAUCGGCCAGGCCAAAAGGCCAGAAACGGCGUAUUCAGCCCGUUUUGGUUGGCCAGGCCUGGGCAGUAGUGGGCUGCUGUGUAUGAAUUUUUUUCUUUACAUUGUGUACAAGAAUGGUAGGUGUCCGUGUCAAAACCGGCAGAUCUCGGGUAGGGGGUCCCGAUCUGUGCGUCAAGGCUGAUGGUAACAGGAAGCAAGGGACACAGAUGUUUACCCAGGUUCGGGCCCUCUCGAUGGAGGUAAAACCACGAGAUCUACCACGAGAUCGUGGAGGCUAAACCCUAAGAGCUAGCCUAUGAUGGUAUGAUUGUAAUUGUGAUCGGCCUUCUAAGGACCAACCUCUCUGGUUUAUAUAGACACCGGAGAGGGCUAGGGUUUACAUGGAGUCGGUUACAAGGAAGGAAAUAUAAUAUCCGGACCGCCAAGCUUGCCUUCCACGCCAAGGAAAGUCCCAUCCGGACACGGGUCGAAGUCUUGAGUCUUGUAUCUUCACGCAUCAAUAGUCCGGACGUUGUACACAGUCCGGCUGUCCGGAUACCCCCUAAUCCAGGACUCCCUCAGUAGCCCCUGAACCAGGCUUCAAUGACGAUGAGUCCGGCGCGCAGUAUUGUCUUCGGCAUUGCAAGGCGGGAUCCUUCUUCGAAUACUCCAAAAUACCUGUUACGACGAAUAGUGUCUGGCCUCCAAUCAAUGUAGUGCUCCUCGGCUUCAGUGCUUCAGUAAUGACCAUCUCCACGUGCCGAGGGAAUGCGAGGAGUCAAGGCAUUUUUGCGUUUGCCACCCCCGACCCUCCGGGCUAACCGUCUAUUUGAAGGGACGGGGAUUCUCAGAUCCAAACCUCAUUCUCCCUCCCAGGGCUAGCAUCCAACAGAGCGCUCCGCGAAAAGCCAUUCCAGCAUGGCCGACCGUCGCAACUCUUCUGCUCGCCCUUCUCGUUUCAAGUCGGGGGAUUGGGGAGAGUGCUCAGUUCCUCAUGGCCGUUUGAUAGAGUUACAAACCCAAGGGUUCCUCCCACCGGCGUUCAUGGUCUCCGUCCGGGCUGGAAUAGCCACUUAUGACGGAAGGGAACAAGCAGAGGGAUCUCCUAAUCCAUCUCUAGAGGAGCGUGUAUGCCUCAUCCCACAUCUGUUGAGGGGGGUCGGGUUUCCUAUCCAUCCAUUUCUUCGCGGGCUCUUGGAGUUCUACGGCCUCCAGUUACACCAUUUUACCCCGGCCUCUAUUCUGCACAUAGCGGGGUAUGUCGCCCUUUGCGAGCUGUUUUUAGGCUGCGAACCACACUUCGGAUUAUGGAGGAAGCUGUUCUGCCUCGUCCCCUGCACCCAGGGGGAGUCCCUAUGUCAAGUGGGCGGGGCCGAAGUAUGGUGCAUUGCCGAGACCGGAUACUUGUCUGGCACUCCGGAGAAGGCACCGGAAAACUGGCCUUCAGAGUGGUUCUAUAUAGACGAGGUUCCCCUUCCGGAUCCAGUCCGGAUAGGUCUCCCCAAGUUCAGCAAUGCCCCACCGAGGGCGCGCCUCAGCUGGCGCCCCCGAGGCCCUCAAGAAGAGGACACAAGGGAAAUACUCCUCCUGAUGAACAGGAUAAAGUUACUUGCCAAAUCCGGACUGACGAUAGUUGGGGUUAUGGCGAUAUGCAUAAGGCGAGGCGUGCAACUGCUCCAAUAUCGAGGGAAGCCCAUGUGGCAUUUCAACGGGGAAGACGACGCCUCCUGCUGCGGUCGUAAGGGUCCGGACUCCGCUACCGCCUUGGCAAGGAUAUUGUCCGAUUUGUACAAAGGGGAAGAGGAGGAAUUCCUUUGCAUCAAAACGCGCGAUGGAUUCUCCAUGUACAAUCCCCCAGAGUGGGUAAGUUGCCAUCCUCUUUCCCUGCUUUAGUUACUCCAGCGCUCUUCUGCUAAGAUUACUUGCAUAAAUGCUUCUGAGCAGGAACUGAGGAGGGCCGUAGAAGGAAUCUUCAGCCCCUCCCCGCAACCAGAGGACCCUGGAAGGGCCCUAGAUCCAGGACUUAAAGUGGAUCCGGAUAUCACCGUGGAGCUUGUCAACGGGGUAUUCUAUCAGGCGAGCUGGGAUGGCGCCCUAGUGGCCAUUACGGCCGACUACCCUGGAUUGCUCCCCGCGUCGCGUGUAAGCCGAACUAAAAACCCUGUCCUUCGAAGAGGACUCCUCCCAGGUAUUAUAAUUUACCCAUGAGGCGUCGUUCUAUUUGCAGAAACGACGGCCGGAGCAAGGGGCCGAGCCCAUAGGGACUCGUCAACAAUGGGCGUCCGGAUCGGGCAGGCUCAAGAGGAAGGUGGUGAGGGUUAACACGCCGCUACAGAGGUAAAGUAGUAAUCUGUCCUGUAAUUACAGAAUUUGAAAUCUGACAGCGCCCUUCGUGUCUGGCAGGAAGAGGAAUAACCGGACUGUAUCCGGAGACCCCACCAAUCACGCCUCUACCAGCCGGGUUCCAGAACCGGCUUUGGGGGCGGAGGCGGACACAGGGCGAGCACCGCGUAGUCCCCCGACAGAGGACGCGGAUAUGUGUUCGGCCACGAACUCCAAAGUGGAGAGUGCCAUGAACCACCGGCAUCGGAAGGCCGUGCUCCGGAACAACAUCUUUUCUGAAGAGGCUUUCAAUGCCUUCAAUUGGGCGGACGCAUACGUCCGAGCUGCUCGGGGCGGGCUUGCCCAAGCGACAAACCAGUAUACCAAAGACAUACGGGUAAGAAAUUUUGAUAAGUAUGUAUAGUAGUAGCCCUUGAGACUUGAAACCGUUGGAACAACAGUUUUAAGGAUCAAUCUAUGCACAGGUUUUUGUAGAGAAGAACGAGCAAUUGUCUCGGGAGCUGGAGGGAUGCAAGGCUGAACUGAGGGCCGCGGUUGCCAAAUUAGAGGAACCCCGAAAGCCCUCAUCUGGUAACAAUUGUCGUAAUUGCAUGAAGAUGCACCAGUUAGUAAAUGGCUGAUGUGACCAGUCUAAUAGAAAAUUUUGCAGACAAUUAUGGGGUGAAUCCGGAGGGCAUAAGAGAGGACGCAUCAUAGCUCAAAAAGUAGCUGGUGGCUGGUGAGCGCAUUCUUACGCGGGUUAGGCGGGAGAAGAAUGAUCUUCAAGAUGCCAAAGUCCAGCUGGACGUGGAGUUAAAAGAUCUCCGCACUCAGUUGGCGGACUCCGUGAAGGAGAACAAGAUCCUUCGGCGCGGGAUUUACGGUAAGUGCCUAGACGAACUAUAGUAUAGUUCGGCGAGGAAGUGUAUUGAAAGAAAUUUGCUUGCAGGAAUGUUAACGGGUAGCCCUGAGGAGGAGAUGCCCGUAUCUGCGGGUGAUUUACUGCAAGACCUUUCGCAACUGCACGAGCGAGCUUGGCAAGUUAUGCAGGGUAUUGCUCAGGCUUUAUGGCCAUCAAGCUUGCUACCAAAUGGCAUGGCGGAGCUUGUGAACAUGCUUCAAGGAGCACGGCGGCGCUUCCGACUCUGGAAGGUGUCUGCUUGCCGGCAAGGCGCAAGAGAAGCAUGGGCUAUGGUGAAGAUGCGCUACACCAAGCUGGACCCGAACCAUAUGGCCGAAGUUAGACCGGCAGGGCCCGAUGGGCAAAAAAAUUCCCGUGAGUCUAGUGUAUGACCAGGUAGCGUUAGCCGCUAAGUAUUCUCAAUAGGAUUGUAAGCUAGAUAGCCUGUUGGACGGUAUAGAGGAGGAAUAUAGUCAGUCAAAGUGACUGUGUAAUUUAAUGGGCAUGAUUAGCCCCUAGCCGGAUUAAAAUCAUUUGUCUUGGCGGACCUUUUCGCUUCAGCCCCCGUAUCCUAUAGUCCGGGGUGUGUCCGAAUACCCACUCAGUUAUACAAAAACGGGGUAUGCGUGGAAACAAGGCAUAGGGGUCAUGAGUGCUUGAACAGACAAGUACCCAACUAGUUAUGUUAUAUUACAUGGAUAGUAAGAAACAUCUUCCAGGGAGAAUAGUUCCGUUAGGGGUUCCUUUCCCUGGGUACGCACGAGACGACGCGUGUGCCCGGACUGCGUACGAUGGCGCAGGAUACAAGACUUCUGGGGAUUUACGUUGUAAUAAACGAACACAUCUUUUGUUCACCGACCGAAUAUUCUCUGAAGGAAGCUAGCUUUCGGCUUCACCGAGUCUGAGGUACACAUCCGGCUGAACCGGCAGUAACAAUCGCAGAGGUGCUCCCCUUAUGCCCUAGCCGAAUUAACGGGAAUGUAGGGCAUAAACACAAGAGCCAGGCAACCCAGCUUGGCAACAUCUUAAGUCAUAUCGAUGCAUAUAAUGGUGAACAAAAGGCACAUAUGGAAAAAGAAUGCAUAUGUGAUGGGCAGAACGCCAUGUGAGUAAUUAUUUUUAGCUUCCGUGUAGGAAGCCCCCAGGUAUUGCUUACACACCUAGUGCGGCCAGGGUGAUCCAGGAAUUGGCACUGGAUUGAAUACUUUGUGUGAAGAGAAAAAGGGUCGAAAAAGGGAAUAGGGAUGGAGCAUAAUUAAAAGGGAGGGGCUAGGAGACGAACAUUGAGUUCGGCCUUAGGCAUAGAAUCUCCGGAGUCUAGCCGCGUUCCAUGGGUUCGGCUCGAGUCUGUCAUCGGAUGCAUUACGUAAGCGGUACGCUCCUCCGGUGAGAACUUUAUCAAUGAUGAAGGGACCCUCCCACUUGGGUUUGAGCUUGUCCUUCUUCUUCUCCGGUAGGCGUAGAACGAGUUCGCCAAUAUUGUAAGUUUUGGCCCGCACUUCUCUGCUUUGAUAUCGUCGAGCCUGCUGCUGAUAGAAUGCGGAACGGGCUUUUGCGACAUCGCGCUCCUCCUCCAGGGCAUCCAAGUUAUCCUGCCGAUCUAACUCGGCUUCCUUCUCUUCGUACAUGCGUACACGCGGCGAAUCAUGUAUUAUGUCGCAGGGUAGUACUGCUUCCGCACCGUAUACCAUAAAAACUGGUGUAUAUCCAGUGGUGCGAUUCGGUGUGGUCCGCAGCCCCCAGAGUAUGGAGUCAAGCUCCUCCACCCAGUGCGUAUCCGAUUUUGUUAAAGACCGCACUAGUCUGGGUUUGAUGCCGCUCAUGAUGAGACCGUUUGCCCGUUCGACCUGACGUUUGUUUGGGGGUGGUAGACGGAAGCAUAGUCGAGCUUAAUGCCCAUUUUGAAGCACCAAGUUUUCACUUCAUCGGCUAUGAAAUUCGAGCCGUUAUCAGUGAUGAUGCUAUGGGGGACACCGUAUCGGUGUACGACCCCGGAUAUGAAGUCGAUUACUGGUCCGGAUUCGGCCAUUUUAACUGGCUUGGCUUCUAUCCAUUUGGUGAACUUGUCCACCAUGACCAAUAAGUAUUUUUUCUUAUGGCUUCCCCUUUUGAGGGGUCCAACCAUAUCCAGCCCCCAGACCACGAACGGCCAAGUUACGGGGAUUGUUUGGAGAGCGGUAGGGGGCAUAUGACUCUGAUUGGCAAAGAGGUGGCAACCGACGCGAUGUUGGACAAGGUCCUGUGCGUCUGCUCGGGCCGUCGGCCAAUAGAAGCUUGUGCGGAAGGCUUUGCUAACCAGCACUCGAGCCACGACGUGGUGUCCGCCCAGUCCGGCAUGGAUUUCGGCCAAGAGUUGCCGCCCCUCCUCUUCGGAGAUGCACCUUUGGAGCACUCCAGUCGCGCUUUUCUUAUAGAGUUAGAACGCCGGACUAUGCAGCGUGCUUCAUUUUGGUCUUCGGGUAGCUCCUGCCUAUUUAGAUAGGCCAAGAAAGGCUCGGUCCACGGGGCAAUAACGGCCAUGAUUUCGUGGGCUGAGGGCGUUAUUUCGGUGGCAGAGCCUCCGAUUGUGUCUGAUGGUCCGAGCUGGUAUUGCCGGACUCCCCUUCCCAUACUACGGAUGGCUUGAACAGCCUUUCCAGGAAUAUGUUAGGUGGGACAGGGUCGCGUUUGGCGCCGAUGCGGGCGAGAACAUCCGCCGCUUGAUUAUUUUCUUGAGCCACAUGGUUGAUCUCGAGCCCCUCAGACCGCGCUGACAUUUUUAGGACGGCGUUACGGUAGGCCGCCAUUUCCGGAUCCUUGGCACCGAAGUCUCCGUUUAUUUGUGAGAUUGCGAGGUUCGAAUCCCGUCGCACUUCCAGGCGUUGAAUGCCCAUAGAGACUGCCAUCCGAAGACCAUGCAACAGAGCCUCGUAUUCGGCUGCAUUGUUGGAGUCUGUGUAUAAUAUCUGGAGGACAUACUGGACCGUGUCUCCGGUGGGGGAUGUCAAGACUACACCUGCUCCCAAUCGGGCUAGCAUUUUAGAGCCGUCAAAGUGCAUGAUCCAGUUGGAGUAUGCGCCGUACUCUUUAGUUCGGCUUCCGUCCAUUCGGUGACAAAGUUGGCCAGUACUUGCGACUUGAUGGCCCGCCGUGGUUUGUACAUUAUGUCGAACGGGAGGAGCUCGAUGGCCCAUUUAGCAAUCCGGCCCGUAGCGUCGCGGUUGUUUAUUAUGUCGUUGAGUGGUACUUCAGAAGGUACUGUGAUCGAACACUCUUGAAAUUAGUGUCGCGGCUUCCGGGAUGCCAUGAAGACCGCGUAUGCUAUUUUUUGAUAGUGUGGGUAUCGGGAUUUGCAUGGGGUGAGGACUGUGGAUACGUAAUAGACCGGCUUUUGGAGCGGGAAUUUGUAUCCGUCAACCUCUCGUUCGACGACGAGUACUGCGCUUACAACUUGAUGUCUUGCCGCUAUGUAUAAUAGCAUAGGCUCGCCGGUGUUCGGCGCUGUUAGGACUGGAUUACUGGCCAGUAAGGUCUUUAUUUCAUCGAGUCCGGCCGCGGCUACAUCCGUCCAUGCGAAGUGUUCGGUGCGCCGCAGGAGGCGGUAAAGAGGCAAUGCCUUUUCUCCUAGCCUGGAGAUAAAGCGGCUCAAAGCGGCCACACACCCGGCUAGCUUCUGGAUGUUUGAGGUCUGUUGGUAUAGCCAACUAAGACAAAGCUCGGAUUUUUGCCGGGUUCGCUUCAAUUCCUGUAUUGGAAACAAUGAAGCCCAGCAGUUUCCCCGAUGGGACGCCGAAGACGCAUUUUUCCGGAUUCAACUAAAUGUCGUAUGUCCGGAGGUUUUGGAAUGUGAGCCUCAAGUCAUUUAUCAGGGUGUCGACGUGUCUAGUUUUUAUGACCACGUCGUCCACAUAUGCUUCCACUGUUUUGCCGAUUUGUUUGUCCAGGCAUGUUUGAAUCAUGCGUUGAUAGGUUGCUCUGGCAUUCUUGAGCCCGAAGGGAAUAGUGUUGAAGCAAAAAGGGCCAUAUGGCGUUAUAAAAUCUGUUGCAGCUUGGUCAGACUCCGCCAUCUUUAUUUGAUGGUAUCCAGAGUACGCGUCGAGAAAACACAGCGAGUCGUGUCCAGCUGUGGCAUCGAUGAUUUGGUCGAUGCGAGGGAGGGGAAAGGGAUCCUUGGGUCAAGCCUUGUUGAGGUCUUUGAAGUCGACGCAUAGGCGCCAGGAUUUGUCCUUCUUUGGUACCAUCACCAAAUUUGCCAGCCAAUCCGGAUGUUUAAUAUCUCUGAUGAAUCCGGCCUCGAGUAGCUUGGCUAACUCUUCCCCCAUUGCCUGUCAUUUGGGCUCUGAGAAUCGCCUUAGGGUCUGCUUGACUGGUUUAUAUCCUUUUAGGAUGUUGAGGCUGUGUUCGGCCAGUCUGCGUGGGAUGCCUAGCAUGUCCGAUUGGUGCCAGGCGAAAAUGUCCCAAUUCUCGCGCAAGAAAUCUCGUAGUGCGGCGUCAAUAGCGGGGCUCAACUGUGUCCUGAUAGAAGCUGUCUUCGUGGGGUCCGUUGGAUGGACCUGGAAUUUGACUAUCUUGUCCGCGGGUUUAAAUGAGGUGGACAUGGAUCGCUUGUCUAGUAUCACGUCGUCCCUGUCCAUGGUGGCCCGCAGUGUUGCUAAUUCUUCGGCUGCUAGGGCUUCAGAUAAUGCUUCCAAUGCUAGGGCUGCGGUUUUAUUUUCGGCGCGGAGUGCAACGUCCGGAUCACUAGCUAGAGUGAUGAUUCCAUUGGGUCCGGGCAAUUUAAGCUUCAUGUACCCAUAAUGGGGUACAACUUGAAAGCUUGAAAUGCGUCCCGCCCUAGAAGGGUGUGGUAUCCGCUGCUAAAAGGAGCCACCUGGAAUGUGAUUUAUUCGGACCUAUAAUUCUCCAGGGUGCCGAAUACCACAUCGAGUGUGAUUUUUUCCGUGCACCACGCUUCCCGAGUAGGGAUAAUUCCCCUGAAGGUCGUGCCUCUUUGUUCAAUGCGGCCUUUAUCAAUCUCCAUCUUGCUAAGUGUUUCUUCAUAAAUCAGAUUUAAUCCGCUUCCGCCGUCCAUGAGUACUUUCGUGAGCCGAAAGCCAUCUACGAUCGGACUAAGGACCAGUGCGGCUGGAGCCCGGACAGCCCAGAGUCGAGGUUCAUCACUGGCAUUAAAAGUUAUAGCAGUGUCGUUCCAAGGGUUUAUUUUUGCCACUUGGUAAAUUUCAGCGGAGCUUCGACGAGCUCGCUUGCGCCUAUUGUUCGAGGCGAAAGUCUCGAAGACUGUUAGUACCGUAUUGUGUUCGCUGGCAGGAGGUUGUUCCACUUUAUGGCCCACAAGAAGAUCCUCGACACUUUUUGCCACCUGCCGGAGUAUCCAACAUGCCUUGAGGCUAUGAGUAGGUGUUGUAUCCGGAGUACUGUGGAGCUUACAUGGCCCGUCGAUCCAUUCUUCCAAUACGGAUCCCCGCCCUGGGGUGGGCUUUGGUUUCUUGGGGGUUGGGUCGGACGACUUACGAGAGUUCGCCCGUUUAGUUCGGACAGAGGUUUCGGUGAGAGCGGUACUAUCCCAAAAUUUUGUUUGGGUCUUCUAAGUGCUCUCCAUCGCACAGUACUUCCGUACUAUGGUUGCCAAGUCCGCGAAGCGUACUAUGUCGCGGCGGCUUAUAGCAUUGAGGAGUCCCUCGUCCGUGCAGUUUUUGCAGAAAAGUGAGACCAAGUUCUCUUCGCGGCAGCCCCUGACCUUGUUAAGCGCAAGGAGGAAUCUGGCCCAGUAGUGAUGUACGGUUCCUGGGGCUCUUGCCUGAUGCGGGAGAGACAAUUUAGGUCUAGUUUAGGGUCCGGAUUUCGAUCCGAUCUAACGCCCGAAGGCGCGGGCGGUCCUGAGCUCAACAGCCCAAAAUCCGGAGUGCCCGAUUUUUUUGGCCCAACGCCCGAUUCUAAGUCCGGGGCCUGGGUCAGGUUUUCCUUUGAGCGGGUCUUUGGCACAAGGAGUUCGGUGAUCCGAACAUGACUCGUCCUCAAAGUUGAGGGGCAAUUCACGUGUGGUUCCUCCACUAUCGCUAUCUCAUGGGUGGCCGGCGGGGACCUGAUGUCCCUUUGGUCGGGUUUAAGCCCGACCCGGUCGUAGUCUGUAGCGACUCCCCGAGCGGCGAUGCGAUCCAAGAGUUUGUUAAGGGAGGAGAGCUCCAUUGGAUCCAUCUGUUCGGCAAGUUCUGAACUGACGCGAAGGUUAUGAUUGAUGACCGAGAAGUCAUCAUCGGCGCCAUCGCCGAUGGGGAGGUCAUGAUGAAACCACCGAGCCGGAGCGUCUGGCCUACAGCCAGAGCCCCCUCCGAGGUAAUGUCGUUCUUGACAAUGAGAUGAGCCAUCAAGCCUUGUGGCGACGUCACAGAGGAACUCUCAAUGAAAGCACCAAUGUCGGUGUCAAAACCGGCGGAUCUCGGGUAGGAGGUCCCGAUCUGUGCGUCAAGGCUGAUGGUAACAGGAAGCAAGGGACACAGAUGUUUACCCAGGUUCGGGCCCUCUUGAUAGAGGUAAAACCCUACUUCCUGCUUGAUUAAUAUUGAUGAUAUGGGUAGUACAAGAGUAGAUCUACCACGAGAUCGUGGAGACUAAACCCUAAGAGCUAGCCUAUGAUGGUAUGAUUGUAAUUGUGAUCGUCCUUCUAAGGACCAACCUCUCCGGUUUAUAUAGACACCAGAGAGGGCUAGGGUUUACAUGGAGUCGGUUAUAAGGAAGGAAAUAUAAUGUCCGGAUCGCCAAGCUUGCCUUCCACGCCAAGGAAAGUCCCAUCCGGACACGGGUCAAAGUCUUGAGUCUUGUAUCAUCACGCACCAAUAGUCCGGACGUUGUACACAGUCUGGCUGUCCGGAUACCCCCUAAUCCAGGACUCCCUCAGUUGGCAUGUUCGUUGGUGAUGUGUAUUGUCCCUUUUCUUUGUACUGUUCCAAUUUCGCUAUAUACAGAAGCAGUUUCAGCAUGCAUAGAGAGCAAGGUAACAAAAAGUAGUACUUUUUUUGCUAGUAGCAAUUUUCCUAGUAAUAGAGGCUAAACCGAGAGCAAGUACAAAGAGAGAAAAUCCAUAUUUUAAACACAGAAUGCAUUUGCAAAUUUUGAAACAACGCAUACCAUGGCAUGAGCAUCAGGUUGCACACAUGUUUCAUAGUACUUAAGCCUCACAUUUUGCAUAGGUUUGCAAAUCAAAAGGGGCACAUACAUUUCUCUAACAUGAAAUGAGACGAAUGAAUGUUAGAAUUGGCAUACUUGUCUACGAAAAAUAAAGAGACGAAUGAAUGUUAGAAUUGGCAUACAUGAAAUGAGUUCUAACAUUCUGACUCAUGGGGGAAGGGGGCCUAGUCUGCAUGCUCACCCUUUGGAGGAUGGGGGAAGGUGGCCUUGUCCGCAUGCAUUGCAUGAAAUAGCACACUUGUGUCAUGCAUAGAACUAGGUUGUCCAAUUGAAGCAUAAGUGAAAUGCAUAUCAACGUCACAUAUUGCCAUCACAUGCUGAGUGACUGCGCCUGUCCUUCCAAUAUAUCGGAUUUGCUUGUCUUCUGGAAUCGAAGCUCUAAUGUGAGUCCCAUCUAUUGCACCAAUGCAGUCUUUCAUGAUGCGCAGUGUGAAAAUUGGGGUCUUUCGGCUUGAGGUAGUGAGAAGAUAUCCAAUCCGGUUCUCACUUUGAAUUGGAAUGCCACUUCGUCGAAUGCACUAGGGGUCAAGAUUUUGUUUGGCAUAUUUCCAGCCCGCACUUGCGUGACCAUCAAGUUGGUAACGAUCCUAGUGUUCUCUUCAUCCCACUCGGCAGUCAUGCUCGAAGACAUGCUCUGAACUUGACUAUAAAAAAUAUGUGAGUGCUUAACUAUAAAAAAACAUGUACAAGUGUUGUUGCUAUCAUUAUGUACUAGCAGGAAAAUGCAAUGAAGAUAUAUAGCAGCAGAACAGGCACUCGUCAAUCAACUUGUAGCAAUACUGCAAUAGCAAUAUUCAUGUCUUUUCUAAACAUAUAGGAGCAGAGCAUGUACUGAACAUAUAGCAGCAUAGCGUAUACUGAACAUAUACAUAUCUUUUCUGAACAUAUAGCACCAGAGCAUAUAGCAGCAGAGCAUGUACUGAACAUCUACAUCUCUUUUAUGAACAUAUAGCAGCAGAGCAUAUAGCAGCAAAGCAUGUUCUGCAUCUCUUUUCUGAACAUAUAGCAGCAGAGCAUAUAUCAACAUAGCAUGAACAUGUGCAUGGAGAGGUAUUUGGGCAGCAAAGAGGGCAUCACCUUCGAAAAAUCGGAAGAGGUGGUCGGGGAGGCAGAGAAUCGACACAGCCACGGGGUUCUUCGGCGGAAGACAAUGAGAAGGACGGGGAUGACUUUUCGGGGACGGAGGAGCCGGUCAGUGACGGAGGCACACGAUGGCGGGGAUGGGUGGUCGGGGACAGAGGAGACAGUCCGCGACAGCGGCGGAUGAGAGCGAGCAGGGCGGGGAUGGCUUCACAGCAUGGACGAGCGGCGGCCGCUGGCGCUGAAGGUGCAGUCCACCAUGGCUAGGGUUGUGGGAAGGGGAAAGAGGAGUUGUGCGUCUUGUGGAGUGGCCUUGAGGGAACGGUCAAUCGAUCACUUGGUGGUGGCACUCUUCUGUAAUUCUUUAUGAAUCCAGCUUCUCAAUUUCCUUGGAGCCAGGUUUUUCCACCUCAGCGACUCCGUCUAAUUUGUACAUAGGUUCGAGUCAGCUUCUUGGUCCAAUAACCAGGAGUGGAACCGUUCGGCUGGAAUCCACGUCUGGAUUCGAGGAUUUCAGAAGCGAGAGAGUUCCCGAACACGCCCUAAGUCGAAGUGCGGUGCCUUAGCGUUAGGCGCUACACUUCGUAGCAUAGCGCAUGUCGGCUAGGCACUGCACCACCAGCUGCGGGGCCAGACAAACUUGGUAACUCGACCAGGCGCUGCACGACCAGGUGCAACGCCUUAGUGCUAGGUGCUACACUUCGGAGCAUAGCGCCUGUCAGCUAGGCGAUGCACGACCAGGUGCGGGCUUGGGCAAACUUCGUAGGUGCGAGCACGACCAGGUGCGAGGGCAACACAUAUGGCCGGUGAGACUCAGGAGGGCUAAAAACUUCAGCCAGUUGUGGCAUGGCACGCAUGCAAUUUGGCAUCAACCUCUGCUGAUCAAACUUACAUCAGGCUACGAACAACAGUAAAAACAAUGAGGGGAAAUCAACUUUGUCCUUGAUGGGCGAAUGGAUGCAUUCUAUCCACUGUCAGUUGGAGAUUCUAGUAAAAUGGAAUCUACCGACUGGAACAUACAACAGAAAUAAACUGCAUUUCCACAACAUGAGAACAAGAUCUUUCAAAAUAAACAACAUGAGAACAACUAGAUCUGGCUGAACGAUUUCUCCAAUUAUGAGUAAUUUUCGAUCUGAUGUUUUUGUUCAAUCGUGUCAAACAUCAGCUGCCAGUACCGUAAUAACCCCUGCCCUUAUGUAUCUGCAGAUAUCAAAUUUGAGAUGCAAAUUCAGAGGCAGUAUCUGAAGAGACCUCUAUUUCUAAUACUCCUUCCGCUCCUUUAUAUCAGGUGUAUAUUUUUUGGCAUGGUGACCAAGGCAUGGUAUUAUAGUUUCUGCAUAUACAUACCUUAUAUAAAGGAACGGAAGGAGUAUUAAAAAUAGAGGUCUAUCUGCAGAUACAUAAGGCCACAGUGAUCAAGGCAGAGACCGACAAGGACCAGAACAAAGACAACAAGAAUCUGAGGUGAAAUUCAGGCAUACCCCGAACAUUCAAGCACCAACAUGACUUUCUUCGAACCGAAAUGACCACAAUCCUUACAUGGUCAGAACACAGUCGAGACCUAAAUACAAGAGAGCACCACCGUUAUAUCGAACAAGGCAGCAGCCUAGUAUGAGGUGAACUUAGUGACUUCAUUGAUGCCAUCGGAGACGGCACGCUUGCAGCUCGAUGGGGAGGACCAGGGGGAAAGAGUUCUGAAUCUCGCGGGCUUCUUGUUGUAGCAUGGGAGCUUGACAGGCUCACCAACGAGUUCACGAGUUACAAUGUCAACCCAUGCAUGGCCAGAUUGCAAUGGUCCUACGGAGGGAACUAGACAAAUAUCCAAGUCCAGUGUUAUCCAUGAAUAACAUCUAUCUUGACUAUUCCCCGAGAAAAAAUCUAUCUCAACUAGAGUGUCUUGUGAUGAUGACCCACCAAUGCCAGUAUACACACCAAGACUAUUCUCUUAAUAGACAGGAAAACAAGUGCAUUAGCACACAUGCAUGGACACCCACGAUUUAUGGGUGGUGAAAUCAAACAAGAAACACAUGCACAAAAACUAUAAUUCUACUAACCACACAAUUCAGUUAUAUAUUUGUGAUCUAACGACAACAGGCGGACAGUGUAAAGUGGCUUGGGAUCUGGUGUGUGCACCGUUCGCUCAUGGGGGUCUAGGAUUCUACAACCUCCACAUGAACCUUUGUCUUCUUGUAAAACACCUCUCUAAACUUCAUGACUCUGGAACCACCGAGCCUACUAGCUACUUCAUCUCACACUAUGGGUGGACUCCUGCGCGGGACUUGGGUAAUUGCAGCUCCAGGAUUACUCCAGUAUGGCGCGAUAUUUUCAAAGGUUUGGACUUCUUCCGCUUGAUUACUAGAGUCUCUGUUGGAAACGGCUCUACCACAUCCUUCUGGUAUGACCUGUGUCUACCCAAUGAAAACAUCCCCCUCUCCCAACAAUUCAUGGCUCUGUUCUCCCACUCCAAUCGGCCGAUGGCCUCGGUCGCGUGGGUGCUGGAUUUUCCCCAGCUCAACCUUGACCUUACACCCCGGCUCUCGUAUGCAGCAGAGAACGAACUAGCUAACAUGCGCGCUAUUUUGGCAGCGAUAAACUUGAAUAUGCAGGUGACCGACGUGAGGACUAACAGGUGGGAUGGUAAGCCUCUAACAAACCGCAGGGCCUACAUGGUGCUUUGGUCGGCAGCCCCGGCUGACUCUCUUGCUACACUGAGGGAGUCCUGGAUUAGGGGGUAUCCAGACAGCCGGACUAUAUACAUCGUCCGGACUAUUGAAGCGUGAAGAUACAAGACUCAAGACUUCGACCCGUGUCUGGAUGGGACUUUCCUUGGCGUGGAAGGCAAGCUUGGCGAUCCGGAUAUUAUAUUUCCUUCCUUGUAACCGACUCCACGUAAACCCUAGCCCUCUCCGGUGCCUAUAUAAACCAGAAAGGUUGGUCCUUAGAAGGCCGAUCACAAUUACAAUCAUACCAUCAUAGGCUAGCUUAUAGUGUUUAGCCUCUGCGAUCUCGUGGUAGAUCUACUCUUGUACUACCCAUAUCUUCAAUAUUAAUCAAGUAGGAAGUAGGGUUUUACCUCCAUCUAGAGGGCCAGAACCUGGGUAAACAUCUGUGUCCCUUGCUUCCUGUUACCAUCAGCCUAAGACGCACAGAUUGGGACCCCCUACCCAAGAUCCGCUGGUUUUGACACCGACAUUGGUGCUUUCAUUGAGAGUUCCUCUGUGUCGUUGCUACAGGGCUCGAUGGAUCCUCCAGUCAUCGUCAACAACACGAUCCCGGGUGAGACCUUUCUCCCCGGACAGAUCUUCGUGUUCGGCGGCUUCGCCCUGCGGGCCAACUCGCUUGGCCAUCUGGAGCAGAUCGACAGCUACGCCCCUGGCCACCAGAUCAGGUUCGGAAACCUGAACUACACGGUGGACAUUCUCGGAGACUUGAUCUUCGACGGAUUCGGGCCUAUGCCAGGAGCGCCGGACAGUCACGACGAGCACGGCUUAGACCUGCUGUCGGACAAAGCUCGUGGUAUCACCCCCGCAGUAGCCCCGGACCUAAAUCCGGAGCAGGCUGCACUGCCUAAGGACGGAGGGAUGGACCCCGCCCCGCAGGUCGCACACUCAUUGGCGAUGGAGCCGAACACGGGCCUUACCUCUGUGGUGGCCUGUGACUCCAGACCCCCGGAUUCGUAUCCGGACGCCGGUUCCAAUCCGCGCACUCCCGAGCCAGUCGAGCCAGGUUGGGCUCUAGUAAUGGAGUUCAUCGCUGCGGAUAUCUUCCAGCACUCGCCCUUUGGCGACAUGCUGGACUCAUUAAAGUCUCUCUCUUUGUCAGGAGGCUCUUGGCCGAACUAUGUCCGGCUCGAGUGGGAAGCAGGCGAUGAAGGAAUUCGUUGCCCACCCACCACCCACUUCAUUGCCACAGUCGAUGAUUUAACCGGCGUACUGGACUUCAACUCUGAAGGCAUCGACGAUAUAGACGACGAUGCAGGAGAAGAACAUGAAGCACCGCUCACUGGGCGGUGGACCGCCGCCUAUCCCUAUGAUAUAUAUAUGGUGGACACUCCGAAAGAAACCAAUGGAGAUGAGGCAGCGGAGGUUAAUCCCUUAGGGAGAAAAGCAAAGCAUGGGCGUCGUCGACGCCGCUCCAGGCUCCGCCAUAGCAAUACAGGCCCAUAAGAUGAAAACAAUCCGGAUGGCGCCCAAGAUGAAUAUAACCCUAGUCGGCCUGCCUUUCAGAAGGCCGGACUGGCCACUGUGGGAUACUUGGAGACGGACAACUAUACGCCCCCCUCCGAGGAUGAGGCAGGCCUCGGCAAUGACGAAUUCGGCGUGCCUGAAGAUCCCGUGGAACAAUCUCGCUUCGAGCGACGGCUCAUGGCCACGGCAAAGAGCCUACAAAGGAAGCAACAGCAGCUUAAAGCUGACCAAGAUUUGCUGGUGGACAGAUGGACCAAGGUCCUGGCCACCGAAAGAUACGGACCUGACCGCCCCGACAAAGGGCACUCAGGGCACAACCGGCAUCCCCAACCUAAGCAGGAGAACCCAAGGCACAUGCCCCGACGUCAACACACCACUACGGUCCAAAACAAUACGAAGGACACAAGAAGAAGCAUCCUCAAGCCUCGGUGCAAUGGUCGUAGGCGUCAAGUCAGGAGAGCUAGUGCUAAUUCUAGCAACUCCAGUCCGGUUAGCAGACAAAGAACAGCUCAGACCUAUCCGACCCGAGCCACACACUCGAUCAACCAUGUGAAAUUCAUGGUACUCCUAGAAGGACGGCAAAGCAUACCAAUAGAGAAUGCCGGAUCCUCAAAACAAAGCGGCUGGUCAUGUGCCAGAAACAAUGAAGGGAGGCGUCUGGUCAGGAGACCCCCUCGCCCCAUAGCACAAAAGUACGGCCGAUCACCCCCGACCGCAUUAACCACAACAAUUCAAUUGCAGUACCUCUAGACAUAGCAAACCGGGGGCUCCAUAACACAUAAAGCCCCCGCAAGUGUGAAACCACAAACAACAUCUUCUAAAAGAUGCUAGGGGCAAAGGCCAAGUUUUACUGGCCCACCACUCUAACGGUUGUCUUCGGAUCACCAAAAAAUGCCACGCCAAAGAAUAAAUCUUCGGCACCUUCCCACCAUGCGGUAAUUUACCGUAUGCCAAUGAGAUGAACAACGUUGACUAGAUUCCACGUGGUAAAUCACUCAGGCCAACACCGUGUGAUGCAAUCACACCUAUGGGCAAGGCCGAACCCCGCCCUUAGAGCAGAAAUCAUACAGCUGCUGGGAUAGCGAGUCACACAUGCCUAUCAAAAUUUUGAUAUGACAGCCAACUAUCUGGACAUCAACUGAGGAGUCCGCGCUAUUUCACGAACAAGAUUGGCAGCAUGGAAUCAGUCUGGACACACAAUGGCAGGAACACGCAGUUAGAAGGCAGUUUGGAUUCACUCGUGAUCCAUCAACAACCCCUCCAGUCCGGCCAUCCCAGGUUCCGCCAAAAAACACCUCUUUUCAUAAUCAUACAUCGUACUCAUAUGUAUAGACACAUGAUCUUACUACAAAUGCGUAGACUUAAAUAACACUUAUCGGCCGUCGCUUUUCAUCGACACCUCGUGUUACGCCCGAUUAUGCUAGGGGCUUCAUAAUAUCGCAAUAAAGUCCGACCACCUUCUCGGUCGCUCGGUACCCCGAACUUAUAACGCUAUAUGCAUCAGCUCCGAAUCAUGUCUUGGGUCAUUGGUUGGGUUUGCCCGGCUCCCUUGUUUUGGUACCUUACGUUCCGUUAUAUCGGCUAAGGUAGCGCAGGGAGAACUACUGCGAUCGUGUGCCGGAUCUGCCGGACGAGCACCUCAGUAGAGAAAGCCAAAAACUGACUGUCAUGAUACAGCGAGAGCUAGUCAGCUGUUUGAGAGUUUGUAAAAUCCUUAAAGAUUUAUUCCGCACAACGCCAUUACAAAUGCAGAGUGCGACGGAUCGGUCUUCUGAUCAGGCGCCAAUAGAGCCCCUAGUUCGGCCUUCCGAACACUAGGGGCUGCACCGACCAUACUCGAAUUCCUAUGGCUAAGUGAGGGUAAUAAAGCCUUAUAGUCCGAUUGCCUGGUUCGUGGUGAGAAACCCUCCUUAAAAGGACACAACUAUGGGGUAAAGAGCGUUCAGAUAUAUCCCAAACACCCCCGUAUUCUUUUUACGUGGGGGCAGAAGCCGACGACUGGCCAACUCUCAGGAUUUACAUACAAUAAACAGCCGCACAAGAAGAACAUAUGUUCAAACAAAACAGGCAAUAUAUAAUAAAAAUGCCAUAAUUCCAUAUUACAAAAAGUGGCACGAAUGCCCUCAGGGAAAUAUAAUGUCUUUGGCACACUUAUCCGCCGCAAGGCGGGCUCCCUUCAGUACACCUUCAUAGUAAAGUUCGGGCUUGCGGUGCUCCUUACCCUCUGGCGGCCCCUCAGUCAUCAACUUCUCCGCGUCAAGCUUCCCCCAAUGCACUUUUGCAUGGGCAAACGCCAUACGCGCACCCUCUAUGCAGACCGAUUGCUUAACAGCAUCAAGCCGAGGACAGGCGCCCACAAUCCGCUUCACGAGCCCGAAGUAACUGGUCGGAAUUGGCUCCGCCGGCCACAGCCGGACAACCAAGUCCUUCAUGGCUAGUUCAGCCGCCUGGUGCAGUUCGACCAGCUGCUUCAGCUGUUCGAUAAAGGGCACUGGAUAGUUCGGUGCCAAAUACUGCAACCAGAAAUCCCUCUCUGCAGACUUCUUUUCCUCGGUUCGGCAGAAUUGGGUGGCAUCUGAUAUGCUGGGAGGAAGAUCCGCAAACGCCCCUGGAAAAAUAAGAAUUCAGCUUGCCGCUUAGAAUUCUUCCCAUUAUCAUGAACAAAUGGCUAAGAAUACAGAAGGCCUUACCAGCCGCAACUUUCCGGGCCUCUUGAAUGUCCCGUACAACACCUCGGGCUUCUUCCCGAGCAUCUUCCACGGCUUGGAGCGCUUGGGCGAGUUCGGAUUCUUUCCCUAUUAGAUUCUUCUCCAAGCCCUCGCUUUUCUUCACGGCCUCCUGGAGCUCCCGCUUAGCUGUGACAACCCUGGCCUCGUGUUUUUCACGAAGUGCCUGUUCGGCGGCAUCCUUCUCGUCGGCAUCAGCCACAGCCUGCUUCAGUGCCUCGUAUUCGGCACUCACUCCUAGGGCAUAGAAGACAAAUACUUUUGAAUAAGCACAAUUACUUAUUCGUGCCUAAUGCAAGACAAUGUUUCAACAUACCUUGCUUAUCCUCUAAUUUCUUCCUCACGCGGCCAAGUUCUUCCUCGGCCCGUUCCAGGCUCCGCUUCAGUUCGGACACUUCCGCAUUAUGAGCGGCCGUCUUCUCCGCAGACGCCUAUUUUCAAACAAAGAGGUACACGUCAUUAACAUAAGUCCCCACGACAAGAGAGGAUUUGAUCCCCUGCCCAGCUCUCUUUCUUCCGCCGGACAGUGUAUCAGGGGCUACUACUCAUAUUGUGACGAUUCCUCAAAGGUUUCUUAGGAAACAAGCCUCAAAGGCCUUUAUAAGGCCAAGGCAGGACUUGUUCAGUCCGCUCUCGGUGGACUGAAUCUUUUCAACCACCGCACCCAUAAGGGUCCGUUGUUCAUCGACGAUAGACGCGUUCUUUAACACUGUCGAUAGACCGCCUGGCAACUUUGCUUGAACAGAGGUUGCCGGUGGAGUAGGCAGGCCUCCCACCGUUGAAGGUGGCCGCUUGCCCGAUCCGGGAGCCUUAGAGGUCUCCUGGACCUUGUCCGGCUGUGGGCCGAACCGAAGAUCGCCCCCGCUGACGGCACACUCAGAGGCCAUCGCUCCCGUGUGUCCGGCUCCAGUGAUAUGCCCACCCUGGUCAGGACCCCGUUGAGACGACACCUCAGUGUUGCGCCGAGACUUUGGGGAAGGGGCCUCUGGAGGCGUCUCGCUCGCCAAGGCGUCCGAGCUCAGCGAAUCCUCGGAUGAGGACUGUCCGGCGCGAGACCUUGCCGGACUGUGCAAAAUAUAGCAACAGUUAAAACUACUAUACUCAAAAACAAUCCCGGACGCAUAUGCGUGUUCGAAUUUUGUAUACUUACGACUUCUCCAGGGGCUGGGCCCUGGGAUCCCACUCCGGGCUGCUGUCGGUAGCUGUUGAUGCCUCUAGGAGAUAGCCUUUUCUCCUCUUGGGCGAUUCGGCCUCCAGGGACGAGGAAGCUACAUGCUUCUUCCCACCUUCAGAGUGAGGCGCGUCCUCCUCUGCUUCUUCCUCUUCGUCUUCCGAAGAGGGAGCGUCGCUUGAGUCUUCGGAUUUUGCGUCCGAAGCCUCGCGAUGACAGAGGCCACUCCGGGUCUUCUUGACCUUAUUGGAGGCCUCCUUCUUUGGCGCCUCGUAAGGCGGCGGGACCAGCAUCUUCGUCAGAAGAGGUCCAGCCGGUUCCUCCGGCAGCGGGGCCGGACAAUGAAUCCGCUCCACCUUCUUUAUCCAUCCCCGAGGUCACGACGAAACACGAUUAAGAUGUCUCCCUCAUGACAUGCCAACCGAAGCAUGGAUGGACAGAGCAUGGCUGUAACUUACCAGGCUUGCAUCAUGGGAUAAUUGAUACCCAUGGUCCUCGGCGGAGCCCAGCCACAAUUUGACGGACUUCAAGAGCACCUUCCAGAUAUCCUUGUGGGAGGAGUCGUAGAGCUCCUGAAGGGUUUGGUGCUCGGUUGGGUCUAACUCCCACAGAGUGCAGGCUCGGCGCUGACAAGGGAGAACUAGGCGAACUAGCAUCACCUGAACCACAUCGAUGAGUUUGACGUCCUUGUCCACCACACUCUGGAUGCGCGUCUGGAGCAAUUACAGCUCAUCGGACGAGGACCAGUUCAGGCCCUUCUUGGUCCAGGACGUGAGCCGCAGUGGAGCUCCGGAUCUGAACUCAGGAGUUGCAGCCCACUUUUUGCCGCGUGGUUCGGCGAUAUAAAACCACUGCUGCUGCCACUCCUUGACGGAGUCGUUGAAAGCGCCCUUCGGCCAGACGGCCUUGGGCAUCUUGCUUACCAUGGUGCCGCUGCACUCGGCGUGUUCGCCACUCACCACCUUGGGCUUCACAUUAAAAAUCUUCAGCCACAGGCCGAAGUGAGGUGAGAUCUGAAGAAAAGCCUCGCACACGACGAUGAACGUCGAGAUAUUGAGGAAGGAGUUGGGGGAAAGAUCAUGAAAAUCAAUCCCGUAGUAAUACAUGACUCCGCGAACAAAUGGGUGCAGGGGAAACCCAAGCCCGCGGACAAAAUGGGGAAGGAACACGGCUCUCUCGUGAGGUUCCGGAGUAGGGACGGCCUAUCCUGCCGGUGGGAGACGAUGGCCGAUCUUCUGGGCCAGAUACCCGGUGUCCCGGAGCUUCUUGAUAUCCUUCUCCUGGACAGUAGAGGCCAUCCAUCUACCUCCUGCUCCGGAUCCGGACAUCUUCGGAAAACCUCUCUUCGGUGGAAAAGAAGAGUGCUUGGGCGUUAGGGCUCUAAAAGAGGGGAAUGAGCUAGCGGAAGGAGAAAGGCAUGGGAAAAGAGAAAGAGGCCUUGUCUCUUUAUAGGGGCGGUAAAUGCUUUUUGCGCCUCCCCACUUGCCUGGUGGAACCCGUUUGCCUCCCGCUCGCCGCGAUUAGCGGUGCGGUUGGAUUACGCACACCCGUAUUGAUGAGAAUCCCGUGAUAAGGGGACAUGAUGUCUGCUUUGACAAGACGCGUCAAGGAAACCGCCUCGCAAUAUGCGCUGUGGCUGGUUGUGGGAAAACGGUUCGAAUAAUGACCCGACCGUAAUGACAAGUCACGUUGCAUAAAAAGUUGUCAGCAGAUUGCAUUUGUGAAAUACCAUUCUCUCUACGGUGGCAUGUGAAGAUCAUUUUGUGGAUCCGGACACGGUUCAAGUGUUCGAUAAUUACCUUGGAGUACUCGGAGGAGGAACCCGCCAUGCAAUGCCGAAGACAAGACUGCGCGCCGGACUCAUCGUCAUUGAAGCCUGGUUCAGGGGCUACUGAGGGAGUCCUGGAUUAGGGGUAUCCGGACAGCCGGACUAUAUACAUCGUCCGGACUAUUGAAGCGUGAAGAUACAAGACUCAAGACUUCGACCCGUGUCCGGAUGGGACUUUCCUUGGCGUGGAAGGCAAGCUUGGCGAUCCGGAUAUUAUAUUUCCUUCCUUGUAACCGACUCCAUGUAAACCCUAGCCCUCUCCGGUGCCUAUAUAAACCGGAGAGGUUGGUCCUUAGAAGGCCGAUCACAAUUACAAUCAUACCAUCAUAGGCUAGCUUCUAGGGUUUAUCCUCUGCGAUCUCGUGGUAGAUCUACUCUUGUACUACCCAUAUCUUCAAUAUUAAUCAAGCAGGAAGUAGGGUUUUACCUCCAUCGAGAGGGCCCGUACCUGGGUAAACAUCUGUGUCCCUUGCUUCCUGUUACCAUCAGCCUAAGACGCACAGAUCAGGACCCCCUACCCGAGAUCCGCCGGUUUUGACACCGACAAACACCUUUCUGGAAGAACUAUUCACCAAACAAAUGUAGGAUGUUUGUCUGGCUUGCGCAUAAAGAUCGUGUGUUUACCAACGAGAGACGGUUCAAACACUCUAUUGCAACCUCUGAUCAGUGCCCUCUCUGCGGUGGUUGAGAGAGCAUUGAUCACCUGCUGUAACAGUGUCAGCUGCUCCGUCCACUCUGGGACAAGCUUCAGAGUCUACACUUCGGGAGUCACCCAUCUUUGCUGGAUAUUUGGAAUGCUGACAGGGCUAAGAAAGUUCGGUCCACCGUCAUUAUAGCUCUGCUUUGGAACUUUUGGAAACGGUGCAACGCGAAAGUAUUCUGCAAUGACACUAUGGGGGUGUACCACAUUGCUCGCUUGGCUGCGGAUGAUUUGAUGAUGUGGUCUCACAUAUGUAAAAAUGUUCAGAAGCAAAACCUGCUUCGAGACUGGAGCUCUAUGUUGUUUCAUUUAGCGGGAAGAAUAUAGCCUUCUACCCGUUUUUGUUUUUCCUCUAAUUUGCUCCUUCAUGUCCUUCCUCCUUGUACCUCUGAUCUCUAUGUAAUUGGUACUUCUGGUAAUACUAGCAAAAGAGCCCGUGCGUUGCAACGGGAGAAAAAACACAACACACACUCUUAACGGAACAACCAUCACUCAAGACCACAAUAGGUUGCUCUCCUUUAUUUUAGCGACGCAUAAUAUUUGUGUUGCCGCUUAUCCUUCUUCUCACCCUCUCCGGCGAUGGCCUUAGUGUUCACACAAACCAAAACGUGUUAGAAUGUGGUUAAUCCUAAGCCGUCACUCUCUCUCCUCCCUCUCCCUCUCUCUCUCUCGCUUUCUCGCACACUCGCGAUGAGAAAUCUGUUGUUUUCCCCUGCGAUGUAUUCAGAGGUAUGCAUGUGUAGUUCUCAAUGUUUUCUAUUCCCUAUAUGACUAUAGUGGGUGUUUAUUUGCAACCCGGAUCACCGCAUGUACGAAGGAAAAAUGGAUCGUGCGCUAUAGUUAUAAGUUUGCUUCGAAAACAAUAUCUAAAAAAUAUUUAACAGGUAAAAUUAACAUCAUAUUCAGAUUUCACACAUUUUUCUAAUCAAAUUUCAUAUAUAACAUGUUAAAAUAGGAGUUACGGUUUGAAAGAUACGUAUAAUUUGGAAAACCAUUUGUUUGACUUAAGUAUCUUUCAAAAUAAUAUUUAAAAAUACUUAACAAGUUAAAAUAAUCUUAUAUUCAUAUUCUACAUAUUUUUCUAAUCAAAUUUUAUAUAUAACAUGUUUAAAUCGGUGUCACAUCCCUAGCUUCUGGCAUUGCACUAGGCUAACUUCAUGUGUGCAUCAUGUUUAAAUUCCUCAGAAACUUGAAAUGGGGAUGACAGAACCCCAGCACCCCCCCUUAAACCAACUAGGGUUUACUAAAAUCAUUUUCAAUGAACCCAAAAUGCCCUUCUAAAAUGUUCAUCAUCUUUGCCUUGGUCUAGAACCUCUGACAAAAAUGGUGCACAAAUUUCUAGGUAAUCCAAAGGUAACUGGAUUAAAUCAUAUGUUAUUUGAAUUUGGGCAUUUAAAUGCUAGUAAAUAUUUAAAAUGCCCAAAUAAUCCUAAACUGAAGUGUUCCAUGUUGGAUAUAUUCUAUACAAUGGUCAUGUAUAGUUUGGUGAUUUUUGAAAGGGUCUAGGUAUUUUUAGAAAAGCCACAGAGAUUACAAAAAAUAGAAAACUGAAACAAAAGAAGAGAGAGAGAAAGGAUACCUACUUGGGCUUACCUCUUGUGCAGCUCACCUGGACGGCCUAGCUGGCUGGCCCAGCCCACUAGGGGCAUGAUUGUCUUCUUCCCCAUGCCAGCGCACGAAGCAGCUCGGUGGCGAGCGCCGACGUCGCGCCUGGCCACCUCCUGCUUGCUGCCGCCUCCCUGACGUCGCCCUGGAGACGCCACGCACCCCCCCGACCUCUCUCUCACUCUCCCCGAGCUCCUCUCCUCCUCUGGCUCUCUCGCACGCAACCACCGAGCGUUGUCGUCGCCGCCUCCAAACACCACCACAGCCAUCGCCUCUCCCUCGCCUCUCGUGCUGUCCAGAGGCUCCGCCUCAACGCUACGGAGCCCCAAAACGAAGCACGCUCUCGCGGGACGCCCGAAGCGACGCCAUCAUCCUCAUCCUUGCCGCUGGCCGCCGGAGAUCCCUCUCGCCGCCCCGCUCGCUUCAGACCUCCCCGAGCUCGCCAACGACGCCAUAGAGAUCUCUGUGAGGCCCUGAAUGUUUCCCUUCCUUCAAUUUCCUCGCUCCCGCGCCGUAGCACCCUCUCCCGCACUUGACCGAGCUUCGGUCGCCGAUGAUGAUGUCGUCGCCGUGGCUAGAGCUCACGCGCGUCACGCCCGAGCACGCUCCCAUGCUCAGCACGUCCCCAGCAACCCGCUGACACCACCCCCUCGCCCAGAGACGCCCAGUAGCGCCAGACCGAGCUCGCCCGAGCUCCGGCCGCCGCCAAACACGUCGCCGUCGCCAUUUCCGGCGACCCCGAGCCCAACCACCUGCACCACCCGCCGCGGCUCGCUCCCAGCUACCCAUAGAGCCCAACGGCGCCCCGAACGGUGCCCUGUAGGUGAAACCCGCACCUGCACCGCCGCGUUUAGCCUCGCCGGCGGCUAAACACCGGCGAGUUGGCCCCGCUGCCCCCGUUUAACCAUGGGUGGCCCCAGUUUGACCCCCCUGGGUCAAUGACAGGUGGGGCCCAGCCCUGUUAAUUAAUUAGGGUUAGUACUAAUUGAAUUUAGUUAAACUAAUUACACUGACACGCGAGACCCACUGUCAGGUUUGACCUGGACCGUCCCGUUGACCACUGACGUCACCCUGACGUAAUGCUGACACAGUAAUUUAUUUACUGGAAUUAUUCUUACACAGGAAAUUCCAGAAAAUACCACAAACUUCAAAAAAUCAUAGAAUUUAAUCUCUAGCUCCAAAUGAAAAGAUUUAUAUAUGAAAAAUGAUCAGAAAAAUCCAAUCUAUCCAUCUGUACUGGUUUCAUGCAUGUUGAAACAAGUUAAAUUGCUGUUUAGUGCAAAACAUGAUAAAGCACUAUUUAAGAUCACAAAUGAGUUUGAACUUUGAAUCUUUGGUUCAAAAUAGCUCAUACCCAUCUGAUUGUAGUUGCAUUAGCCCAACACACUCAUUUUACCAUGUCAUGAUCAUGCAUCAUAUUGUGCAUUGCAUUGAUUGUGUUUCUUUCUCUGUUGCCGAUAUUUGUUCCCUCUCGAUAGACGUGAUUCGACGAUGAGUUUGAUGACACUGAUGAAGAACUAUAUUAUCUUCAGAAGUGCCAGGCAAGCAAAACCCCCUUGUUCAUUCCGAUACAAACCCACUCUCUCGCUCCUGCUCUCUUUUACUGCAUUAGGGCAACAAUGACUCAUGUGUUACUUGCUGCGGUAGUUGAACCCCUUAUCCCCUGCAUGACCUGUCUUUGCCACAGUAAAUAGAUGAAACCCACUAGCAUGAGUAGGAGUUGUUUGAGCCCUGAUUUGCCUACUCAUUCAUGCUUGUUUAUCGUGCCUGCUAUUGCUUAGAGUUGUGUCAGGUCUGAUUUAUCGGGAAUGAAUCGGAGGUGUGUGAACAUGUCCUACUGUUGAGAGCUAAGUGUGUGAACACGAUUUGGUAAAGGUAGCGGUGAGAGGCCAUGUAGGAGUACAUGGUGGGUUGUCUCAUUGAAACCAUCCUCAGGAACUGAGUUCUGUGUUUGUGAUCCAUGAACAGCUACUACCACACAUUGGGAUCCUUAAUUGACUCUCUCGACUUAUUAACUGCCCUUGCCCUCUGUCCAGGAGUUGCAACUAGUUUCUGGUGUUUGUAGGAUAUGUGUUGGAGGCCGUGCAUAGCGCUGACCCUAGGGGUGGGCUAUGAUGUGGUAGAUACACCGUGGCACGGUGUACCAAGCGUAGAUCCACCCGUCGAGGUGGGCUUGGGAACCCUACACACAUCGUUUGGGGCCGUGAGCGACACCCCGGCCGGAUCUCCUCGCGGAUGGAACCCGAAUAGGCGAUAAACCUGGACUAGAGACUUGUGUGGUUAGUCAGGUCGUGGCCGACUCCCUCGCCAGGCUUCCGCUUGAAGGUUGCCGAGAUACACGACGUGUACAUGGUGGUAAGUGGCGAGAGCGCGUGUGAAGAAGUACACCCCUGCAGGGUUAUAAAUGAUCUAUUCGAAUAGCCGUGUCCGCGGUAAAGGACUUCUAGGUUGCCUAUAUCAGUUCAUAGACAAGUGAAAGUGGAUACUCUAAAAUGCGCAAGAUCAGCGUGAGUGCUAUGGAUGGCAUUCUCGUAGGUAGACGGGAGCGGAUCCAUAGUGGUGUAUUGAUUGGUGAAUAUGUGGACUCGUGUGCGCCACCUCAAAAGAGUUACUUGCAGUCAUAGUUUAGGAUAGCCACCGAGUCAAAGCUGGCUUGUUGCAGUUAAACUCCACCACCCCUUUUUUGAUACCGAUGCAUAUGUAGCUAGUUCUGAUGUAAGUCUUGCUGGGUACAUUUGUACUCACAUUUGCCUAUUUUAUGUUUUGCAGAGAGAUGUCAGUCUCGCUAGUAGUUCCGUGUGGACUUCAACGUUUAGCUUGAUACCUCAGCUACGAUCUUGUGCCCUCGGCAGGAUCUUGUAGAUAGUCAGGCUUCUCAGCCUUUUUCAUUUAUAGUUGUCUUUACUCACACAUGUUAAGCUUCCGCAUGUGUUUGAGUUGUAUGCUCUGAAUGCUGGGUCGAGAGACCCAUGUUUGUAUUAUCUCGCUCCUCGGAGCCUAAUGAAUAAAUACUUGAGUCGUAGAGUUAUGUUGUGAUGCCAUGUUGUAUUUACACAUAUCGAGCAUAUUGUGCGUAUGAUUGAAAUGCUUGGUAUGUGUGGGAUCCGACAACCUAGUUGUUUAUCCUUGGUAGCCUCUCUUAUGGGGAAAUGUAGUCUUGUGCUUCCAUGAGCCAUAGUAGUCCGCUACAGCCCGGUUCACCGGAGUCCUGCUAGCCCAGCACUACUGCUCCGGAACACUUGACUGGCCGGCAUGUGAGUCACUUCGUUCCUGUGUCUGUCCCUUCGGGGAAAUGUCACGCGGUGACAUCCGGAGUCCUGCCUAGCCUGCUACAGCCCGGAUUCCCGGAGUCCUGUUAGCCCAGUGCUACAGCUCGAAUUCACACGCUGCUGACCGACAUGCUCGAUGUUGAUUCAUGUACGCCUGUCCCUAUAAGUUAGUGCCACUUUGGGUUCACGACUAGUCAUGUCGGCCCGGGUUCUCUGUCAUAUGGAUGCUAGGGACACUGUCAUAUACGUGAGCCAAAAGGCGCAAACGGUCCUGGGCCAUGGUAAGGCGACACCUGUGGGAAUACCGUGCGUGAGGCCGCAAAGUGAUAUGAGGUGUUACCGGCUGGAUCAAUGUGACUUGGAAUCGGGGUCCUGACAGUUUUGGUAUCAGAGCCUGACUGCCUGGUGGAUUACCAAGCCAAACUGGUCGAAGUUGAGUCUAGAAAUGCUUUAGUUAUAUAAGGAAAUUCAUUGUGGAAGGGAACGUAAGGCUCUUUUUACUCCUUUAUCUUAUGCCCUUCUGAUCUGAGUCAUCCGCUUCUCUUCUACGGGGAUUAAGAACUAGGAUUUCUCAUCUAUCUAUCAGGAUCACAUGUUACUAAUCCGUAGACUUAUAAGAUUGCUGGAUUUAAGCCCCAGUUCUGUUUCUACCACUUCCGUGUGUUGUUAGUUAAUCUCAGAACUUUGAUAUUGUGAUGUCAAGUGGUUAUGCCACCAUUUUGCAGGAUGUCUCAAAUCAUUUUGAGCAUCUACAGCUGUUAUGUUGUCCGAGUCAUCCCAGGUUUCUAAAUUGUCUGAUGCAUUUGCAAAUCUUUACUUUCCGUUCCCGAUGUCCUUUAUGGUCAGAAUAAGCACACUAAUCGGUGCGUUGAGGUAAUUUAUUGCCUCGACAUAUAUGUUGGAGUUAUUAUUAGGACCCUAUGUGUCUUAGAAGAUUACCUAGUAAACUAGCCAUGUUUUGUGUUCCCCGUGUGAUGAUUCUGGCCGUCAUUCUCGAAAGCAUCUCGUGAUGUUAUUAGUUAGUAGGUAUUUUAUUCCUGGGUUCCCGAACCCGAGAUUCACCCUACUUACCUCAUGUUGAUAGUGUUUGCUAGUUCCUUUAGGAUAUUAGUAACUUUGCGAUAUUCCUCGAGGUCCGUGGUAUUUCCUUCUUCCUAAUACCAUGAACCAUUAAUGUAGAAGUUUUUUGAACCAAAAUACCACAAUCAGAGUACUCUGGAGGAGUUCUCCAUUCAUAAUUGUGAUUCUGCCGGUUCUACCUUUCUGCAUGGGUUAUCCUGAAGAAAUGUUGAGCUUCGCUCGACAUACUAACCUAUGCAUCCACAACUCAGAAAAAAAGACAUAUGUUCCUUUGAGUUGUCCCUCUUUAGUUGUUUUAUGACCUCCAUCUAUCAAUUGAUAAUCAAGAGUAUGCGUGCAUUCGUUCAUCGAUGCCUGUUAUUCUUGUGGUCCGUCGAGCCAUUCUAUUCUGGAAUGACUAGGAGAAACAAACUCCAGAACCUUGUCCAUUUCUAGGAUUGGGUCAAAGCAGUUGUAUUCCGCAGGUCAAAUGCAAUCAAGCUCUUGGUCUGUUCUUCCCUGAAGUAUUACCCACUUUAUGUUGAGAAUAUGAUAGGAAUUGCACCACCUCUUAUGAAAUCUUGAUGCAGUGAUCCUUCUUGCCAUCAUUUUUCAUUCCUCGGUCCCGUGUUGUCGCAACCGGAAUGCCGAAAGUGAACCAUGAUGUGUGAAAUCAAUACUCCUAGCAACUCCGUUGCUUGGUAGUUAAUGGGCAAUAUUCUCAUUCUUAGCGUGUUGGUUAUUAAAUCAUCAUCCUAAGAUUGAUUGUGCUACCUAGUCCUUAUUUCCGGUGCACUCUUCGAUCAAUGAGUUAGGAUUAUUCAAUCCCUUGCUUAUUUGAUCAUAUCGUCUUGCUCUGAAAAGCAAGAUUGUUCUCGAGCUUAGUAACAUAUCGGUGGUUCGUGAUGUUCCGAAUAUCUUCUCGGAAGUAUUACCAGGUUGUCACCUGACCGCUAUGUUGAGUUCGUGAUCAUGUUGGUUUUCCUCCAAACCACCCAUUCUCCAAGAAUUUGUGUUGGAUACCCCUGAGCUAGUUGGUUAAGCUAAACAACAACUUGGAGAGUUGGAAGAUAAAAGCUUUGCCGAAUUUGGUUCGUUCUGAAGGGAUAUGUUUGUGUUUGUGUGUGUGUUGAAGAAAGAUGAUAUCUUCACCAAUUGGUCCUCAUGAUCAGUUGUUGGAUCUGUUGUCUUGUCAAAACUUUGACUUGAGUAUGGGCUAUCAUCAAGUCAAAUCAGAACCAGCGAUAUUCGUAAUGUUGUCUUACUCGUGGUUGAUCCCUCAAGCAUACACCAUUAAAUCAUUUGGUCUGACCAAUGCUAUCACCGUGUUCACAUGAUGGUGGAAGUCCAGUGAUAUGGAAAUUCCGAUGAAUUGCUGUUGAGCCCAUCAGCAGUAUUUUGUCUCCCCCAUGAUUCAUUUUGAACAUCAACCUAGUGUUGAAAACUUUGUAAGCAAUGUCUUCGUGUUCUGUUCAUGAAGCUUAUGCUUGGAUGGAAGAAGUGACUUCCUAGAAUUCAUGUGCAUUUGGUGCAAGUUGUCGCCGUGAGUUGAGAAAGAUUAGUUUUGCUUUCCCUGGAAUCGUCCCAAGUCAGUCAUGCAUGUGCGAAGUAUUCAGUGGUUUGGUAGAUUAAUUACCUCCAUUCCAUAUGUAUUCCAUAGCACACCAAGCCACUGGCUGAUUUGUUCAGGGAAAAGAAGUUUCUUCAUAAGAGCUAAUCAUAUGACUUAUGCAAGGACUUCGAUAUCCUUGAUGAUGGUUCCCAAACAGGACUCGGUAGUGUUUUAUUAUAAGACCACUACGUGGUCAUGCUUGUCUGGGACAACCUGUUCACAUGUAUGUAGCAGAACCAGCUCAUGUUUUGGAGCUUACUACCAUAGUUCAUUUCCUGAGAAUCUCGCAACAUCCUCUCGUCGGUUUGUGUUGCAAACUUCCCUUUUCCGGACAUGUUGUCUGAAACAUCCUGUUACCAACCAGAUCUGAAUCUCAGGCGGAUAUGAUGGUUGGAACUUCUCCAAGAUCUGUGAUGUAGGUCCCGACAAGGUUGAUGUUCUGGCCGACACACCUAGCCGGAGGGUCUAUCACUAUAGUAUCUUGAUUGGGCAAUUUGUCCAUCUUCUCCAUGAGUUUUCAUGCGGCUUAUUCUAUAAGUUGUUCUCUAGGGAUUCUUGUGCUCUUGGUUACUCAAUUAAGCUAUAACCAUUCAAAGGGAGGAAUUGCUCUCGACUGUUGAGUUAUCCCCCAGUUACCAGAAUCAUUCCUAGCAUUUGCAUUUUGUUCCCAGCUUGCACCGCCAUUGUGCCAUUCUACUUUGGGUCCCAUUCAUUUCCGAUGAUAAGCAAAAUCAUUCCCUGCGUUGCCUUCAACAAGGUAGUCCACAUCAUCCAUUCUAGUCCGGGAAUGUCAUUUCUCUGGACUCCUUCAAAUGAUCGAUUAUGAUUUGCCUUAAGCUGGUAUAAAGAGUUUCAAUGAUCUCCGAAUCAAAAGUAAUUCUUUUUGCCACUUAAGGGAAUAGUUCCGCGAGUCACCUUCCCUAAGAUGUCUCGUAAUGGUAUCGUGGCAACUCAACUCCUCGCUACGUUGACAACCGUUCACCACCUUCUUAAGUGUGGAAUUGUGUCUACGUAGUGAACCUUCGUCGUCUGUUACACCCCAUCCCUCUGGAUGUAUGCUUCAUGUCUCAACUCGAGAAAUGUUCAACGUCUCAUUCCGUGAGUUGAUCGUCGGUUGUCCGAUCUUCGAGAAGAUCGAUCCUUCUAGAGUUUUCCCUUUCCUCUCGUUGUCAUGAUAGCUGGAGUUCUCAGAGCAGGAAGUCGAGACAAAGAUGGUGAUCGCAUCAACGUUCUUAUGAGACGCAACCUAGAUGGUGAAGAUUGUGUUAGUUUGCGUUCCCCCUUCAUCUUACCCUACGCUUGAAUCUCGGGACGAGAUUCUUGUUUUGUGGGGGUGAGUUGUCACAUCCCUAGCUUCUGGCAUUGCACUAGGCUAACUUCAUGUGUGCAUCAUGUUUAAAUUCCUCAGAAACUUGAAAUGGGGAUGACAGAACCCCCAUCACCCCCCUUAAACCAACUAGGGUUUACUAAAAUCAUUUCCAAUGAACCCAAAAUGCCCUUCUAAAAGGUUCAUCAUCUUUGCCUUGGUCUAGAACCUCUGACAAAAAUGGUGCACAAAUUUCUAGGUCAUCCAAAGGUCACUGGAUUAAAUCAUAUGUUAUUUGAAUUUCGGCAUUUAAAUGCUAGUAAAUAUUUAAAAUGCCCAAAUAAUCCUAAACUAAAAUGUUCCAUGUUGGAUAUAUUCUAUACAGUGGGCAUGUACAGUUUGGUGAUUUUUGAAAGGGUCUAGGUAUUUUUAGAAAAGCCACAGAGAUUACAGAAAAAUAGAAAACUGAAACAAAAGAAGAGAGAGAGAGAAAGGAUACCUACCUGGCCUUACCUCUUGUGCAGCCCACCUGGACGGCCCAGCCCACCAGGGGCAUGCCUGUCUUCUUCCCCAUGCCAGCGCACGAAGCAGCUCGGUGGUGAGCGCUGACGUCAUGCCCGGCCACCUCCUGCUUGUUGCCGCCUCCCCGACGUCGCCCUGGAGACGCCACGCACCCACCGACCUCUCUCUCACUCUCCCCGAUCUCCUCUCCUCCUCUGGCUCUCUUGCACGCAACCACCGAGCGCUGUCGUCGCCACCGACGAACACCACCACGGCCAUCGCCUCUCCCUCGCCUCUUCGUGCUGUCCAGAGGCUCCCCCUCGACGCCACGGAGCCCCAAGACGAAGCACGCGCUCGCGGGACGCCCGAAGCAACACCAUCAUCCUCAUCCUCGCCGCCGGCCACCGGAGAUCCCUCUCGCCGCCCCGCUCGCUUCAGCCCUCCCCGAGCUCACCGACGAUGCUAUAGAGAUCUCUGUGAGGCCCUGACUGUUUCCCCUCCUUCAAUUUUCUCGCUCCCGCACCGUAGCACCCUCGCCCGCACUUGACCAAGCUUCGGUCGCCGCCGAUGAUGUCGCCUCCGUGGCUAGAGCUCACGCGCGUCGCGCCCGAGCACGCUCCCAUGCUCAGCACGUCCCUAGCAACUCGCUGACACCACCCCCUCGCCCAGAGACGCCCAGUAGGGCCAGACCGAGCUCGCCUGAGCUCCGGCCGCCGCCAAACACGUCGCCGGCGCCAUUUCCAGCGACCCCGAGCCCAACCACCUGCACCACCCGCCGCGGCUCGCUCCCAGCUACCCACAGAGCCCAACGGCGCCCCGAACGGUGCCCUAUAGGUGAAACCCGCACCUGCACCGCCGCGUUUGGCCUCGCCGGCGGCUAAACGCCGGCGAGUUGACCCCGCUGCCCCCGUUUGAGCACAGAUGGGCCCAGUUUGACCCCCCUGGGUCAAUGACAGGUGGGGCCCAGCCCUGUUAAUUAAUUAGGGUUAGUACUAAUUGAAUUUUGUUAAACUAAUUACACUGACAUGCGGGACCCACUGUCAGGUUUGACCUGGACCAUCUCGUUGACCACUGAUGUCACCCUGACGUAAUGCUGACACAGUAAUUUAUUUACUGGAAUUAUUCUUACACAGGAAAUUCCAGAAAAUACCACAAACUUCAAAAAAUCAUAGAAUUUAAUCUGUAGCUCCAAAUGCAAAGAUUUAUAUAUGAAAAAUGAUCAAAAAAAUCCAAUCUAUCCAUCUGUACUGGUUUCAUGCAUGUUUAAACAAGUUAACUUGCUGUUUAGUGAAAACAUGAUAAAGCACUAUUUAAGAUCACAAAUGAGUUUGAACUUUGAAUCUUUGGUUCAAAAUAGCUCAUACCCAUCUGAUUGUAGUUGCAUUAGCCCAACACACUCAUUUUACCAUGUCGUGAUCAUGCAUCAUAUUGUGCAUUGCAUUGUUGUGUUUCUUUCUCUGUUGCCGGUAUUUGUUCCCUCUCGAUAGACGUGAUUCGACGAUGAGUUCGAUCACACCGAUGAAGAACUAUAUCAUCUUCAGAAGUGCCAGGCAAGCAAAACCCCCUUGUUCAUUCCGAUACAAACCCACUCUCUCGCUCCUGCUCUCUUUUACUGCAUUAGGGCAACAAUGACUCAUGUGUUACUUGCUGUGGUAGUUGAACCCCUUAUCCUCUGCAUGACCUGUGUUUGCCACAAUAAAUAGAUGAAACCCACUAGCAUGAGUAGGAGUUGUUUGAGCCCUGAUGUGCCUACUCAUUCAUGCUUGUUUGUCGUGCCUGCUAUUACUUAGAGUUGUGUCAGGUCUGAUUCAUCGGGAAUGAAUCGGAGGUGUGUGAACAUGUCCUACUGUUGAGAGCUAAGUGUGUGAACACGAUUUGGUAAAGGUAGCGGUGAGAGGCCAUGUAGGAGUACAUGGUGGGAUGUCUCAUUGAAACCGUCCUCAGGAACUGAGUUCUAUAUUUGUGAUCCAUGAACUACUACCACACAUUGGGAUCCUUAAUUGACUCUCUCGACUUAUUAACUGCCCUUGCCCUCUGUCCAGGAGUUGCAACUAGUUUCUGGUGUUUGUAGGAUAUGUGUUGGAGGCCGUGCAUAGCGGUGAUCCUAGGGGUGGGCUAUGAUGUGGUAGAUACACCGUGGCACGGUGUACCAAGCGUAGAUCCACCCAUCGAGGUGGGCUUGGGAACCCUGCACACAUCGUUUGGGGCCGUGAGCGACACCCCGGCCGGAUCUCCUCGCGGAUGGAACCGGAAUGGGCGAUAAACCUGGACUAGAGACUUGUGUGUAUAGUUAGGUCAAGGCCGACUCCCUCACCAGGCUUCCGCUUGAAGGUUGCGCAGAUACACGAUGUGUACAUGGUGGUAAGUGGCGAGAGCGUGUGUGAAGAAGUACACCCCUGCAGGGUUAUAAAUGAUCUAUUCGAAUAGCCGUGUCCGCGAUAAAGGACUUCUGGGUUGCCUAUAUCAAUUCAUAGACAAGUGAAAGUGGAUACUCUAAAAUGCGCAAGAUAAGCGUGAGUGCUAUGGAUGGCAUUCUCGUAGGUAGAUGGGAUCGUAUCCAUAGUGGUGUAUUGAUUGGUGAAUAUGUGGACUCGUGUGCGCCACCUCAAAAGAGUUACUUAUAGUCGUAGUUCAGGAUAGCCACCGAGUCAACGCUGGCUUGCUGUAGUUAAACUCCACCACCCCCUUUUUGAUACCGAUGCAUAUGUAGCUAGUUCUGAUGUAGGUCUGGCUGGGUACAUUUGUACUCACGUUUGCCUCUUUUAUGUUUUGCAGAGAGAUGUCAGUCUCGCUAGUAGUUCCGUGUGGACUUCGACAUUUAGCUCGAUACCUCAGCUACGAUCUUGUGCCCUCGGCAGGAUCUUGUAGAUAGUCAGGCUUCUCAGCCUUAUUCAUUUAUAGUUGUCUUUACUCACACAUGUUAAGCUAACGCAUGUGUUUGAGUUGUAUGCUUUGAAUGCUGGGUCGAGAGACCCAUGUUUGUAUUAUCUCGCUCCUCGGAGCCUAAUGAAUAAAUACUUGAGUCGUAGAGUUUUGUUGUGAUGCCAUGUUGUAUUUACACAUAUCGAGCAUAUUGUGUGUAUGAUUGAAAUGCUUGGUAUGUGUGGGAUCCGACAAUCUAGUUGUUUAUCCUUGGUAGCCUCUCUUAUGGGGAAAUUUAGUCUUGUGCUUCCAUGAGCCAUAGUAGUCCGCUACAGCCUGGUUCACCGGAGUCCUGCUAGCCCAGCACUACUGCUCCGGAACACUUGACUGGCCGACAUGUGAGUCACUUCGUUGCUGUGUCUGUCCCUUCGGGGAAAUGUCACGCGGUGACAUCCGGAGUCCUGCCUAGACUGCUACAGCCCGGAUUCCCGGAGUCCUGUUAGCCAGUGCUACAGCCCGGAUUCACACGCUGCUGACCGACAUGCUCGAUGUUGAUUCAUGUAUGCCUUUCCCUAUAAGUUAGUGCCACUUUGGGUUCAUGACUAGUCAUGUCGGCCUGGGUUCUCUGUCAUAUGUAUGCUAGCGACACUGUCAUAUACGUGAGCCAAAAGGCGCAAACGGUCCUGGGCCAUGGUAAGGCAACACCCGUGGGAAUACCACGCGUGAGGCCGCAAAGUGAUAUGAGGUGUUACCGGCUGGAUUGAUGUGACUUCGAAUCGGGGUCCUGACAAUCAGAGUUACAGUUUAAAAGAUAUGGAUGGUUCAGAAAAACAUUUGUUUGACUUAAAAAUGAUCCUCGGAUGGAAUACCUAAAAAGUCAGGGGGUUUUCGAAAAACUAUAAAAUAACGGUUCGGUGUGACUUAAAUCCGAACUGCGGGUUGAUUUCAUGAAAAUGCAGGGGCUUUUUUGCAAAAUGGUGCGGCGGACAGGCAGAAACCCUACGUGCUUUAUUAUUAGGUAGAGAUAAGGUUCAGUCAGGCGUAAGCCCGCCGUUGACGCGUCAAAAAAAAGCCAAGCCUAAAACAUGCUGUUUUCAGUAAUGGCAUCAUUCCAAGCGAAGGCGCCAAGCCACCAUCACUGUGAAUUUCAUCUAGUAGCAGCGAGAUAGAGAUAAGAAACGGGGCAUCAAUGUGAAUGCGAACAUCCUGAAGGAAGAAACAAAUCCCAACUAACUGCAGAUGCUUCAGUGAUUUGGAAGAUAUGUUUCCGCCGUAAAUGACACAAUCUUGCAUCGUUAGCUUCUCUAAUACUUGACAGUCCGAAAAAUCCAGUGAGCAACCUUCAAAGUGAACUUGCUCAAAUUCUAAUAUCCUCAAGUGCGGGGAGACAAGACGCCUGAGUGAAAACCAUUCUCCAUAAAGAAAAAACGUCUGUAACUGAGAGCUUCUCAACCCCGCACUCUCGAACGUCACCGAGCAGCGACCAAAUGAGGAGGCAACCACAACCCCGAGACCAAGGCGGACUCGGAGGGGAAAAAAUUCACAAGUUGAGUGGUCUCUACUACUUGUGAGUUUGUGUCGGGAUUUUCCCCGGAGAGGAAAUGUGAAGUAAGAAGCUUCGGGAGGAGACCAGACACCAAGCGAGGAGACGACAAGGCAACAUGGCGUGCCCUGAUGCUUUGUGGGCGCCAUGUGGCUCCGUCUGACCUAAUUCCACUUCUAUAAAUUUUCAAAUAUUGAAAAAACCUAGAGAGCCACGCGAAACAAUUUUUCCGCACCACAAGCCUCUGUUCUUCCAUGAUCCCAUCUAGAGGCCUUUUCCGGUACUCUGCAGAAGGGGAAUCGAUCCGAAGGGCGUCUACAUCAACCUUGUUGCCCCUACCAAUGAUGUGUGAGUAGUUCACUACAGACCUAUGGGUCCAUAGCUAGAUGGCUUCUCUCUCUCUCUCUCUCUCUCUCUCUCUCUCUCCCUCUGUGAUCUUCAAUACAAUGUUCUCCUGGUCUUCUUGGAGUUCUAUCAAAUGUAAUCUUCUUUUGCGGUGUGUUUGUUGGGAUCCGAUGAAUUGUGGAUUUAUGAUCAGAUUAUUCAUUGAAAGUAAUUGGUUAUUUUUUGAACUUUAUCAUGCAUGAUUAUUGUAGCUUUGUAUUUCACUUUGAUCUAUCUGUUUGGUUUGCCCAACUAGAAUUAUUUAUCUUCAGCAGGAGAGGUGCUUUGUAUUAGGUUCAAUCUUGCAUUGUCCUCACCCAGUGACGAAAAGGAUAGCGUAUUUGUGUUGUUGCCAUUAAGGUAAAAUGACGAGGUUUAACCAUAUUGCUUGGUUUUAUUUUGUCUACAUCAUGUCAUCUUGUUUAAAGCGUAACUCUGUUUGUCAUGGACUUAAUACCAUAGUUGCAGGCAGGAGUUGGUCGAUUGGUGGAGUAAUAUUAGUAGAUGCAGAUAGGAGUUGGUCUAAUUGUCACGGACGUGAUGCCUAUAUAUGUAAUCAUUGCCAUGAAUCAUAUCAUAACUAUGCGUCUCUCUAUCAGUUGCCCAACAGUAAUUUGUCUACCCACCGUAUGGUAUUGUUUUGAGAGAGAAGCCUCUAGUGAAAACUAUGGCCCCUGAGUCUACUUUAAUCAUAUUACUAAAACAAAAUAUCUUCCUGCAAUUUUCUAUUUUUAUUUUACUUUUCAAUUUAUAUAUCUACUACUACCAGAUUUAAUCCUUGCAAGUAACGAGUUCAAGGGGUUGAUGACUCGCUUUCCCGUGUUGAGUGCGAGUAUUUGAUCUUGUGUGUGCAGGUGUUAUUCACUAGGAUUUGCGUGAUUCUCUUAUUGAUUCGAUAACCCUGGUUCUCAUUGAGAAGAAUACUUAUCAGCUACUAUAUUGCUUCACCCUUCCUCUUCAGGGAAAAUUCUAACGCAACUCACAAGUAACAGCUCCCACGAACAACAGGGAGAGGCAUUGGCAGCGAGAGCGUGAUGGUAAGGUCGGGUGCGAGGAUGCCAUGAUGCUACAUAGCCCAUCCCAAUAAAUCCACGUAUGUGACAUUGGCUCCCAUAACCUACCAGGAUAGGCACGAUGGAGUGGGCGAGGUCAGGGGCAUGUGGUGCCCUACUGCCAUAGGGAGAGGCGGUGCAUCGUUUGACGGCCAUGGGAUAGUCAACACUUCUGAUGCAUAGGAAGGGGUGGUUCUGGACUGGGAGGAGGAAGAAUAGAAGAAGACAUAGUCGUGCCAGACCGAUGUGAGAGAAUAAAGCGCUAUGGUGGGACUUGCGCAACUUAUGGAGUCCAUGAGAAAUAUCUAAUCUAGUCUAAACCAAUGAAAAAAAAAUAGUGUGCUAUAGCAAAAUAGCGCCACCUUAAAAUACACUUUUAGCGAGACAUUAAACACUAAUUUAUUUCCAUUGCUCAGAAUGCUAUGGCAUUGCUAUUUUUCCCGUGGUCUAAACACACUACAAAAUCAGAAGUGAACUGUGUUCAAAAAUCAACAGUGAACCAGAGAAAAAACCUGACACGCAUGUUGCUCAUGUACACUGAUUUACUUAUUGAGGCAAGUGGGGUAUUGCACAAAACACUAUAGCAUACUAUUCGUGGUGCUAUAAUGUGCUAUUUUUUCCAGUGGUCUAUGCAUAAUAUAAAACAGGGAGUGAAUUGUGUUAAAAGACCAAACUAAAUGGGACACAUGUGUCAUUUAUAGAAGAGCUUAUGGCUAUAGCUCCAAACUCACCAAAGGCGCCGAAGCUUAACAGCUUUAAUUCUCUUACUAUCACAGUUAGUUUUUAAAAAAAAUUGUUCGUAUUUUUGAUUUCAAAAAUACAUUUCAUAUGGAAAUAAUGUUAACAGGAAGCUUCUCAGAUGUCAUUUCAACGUGAAAACUUACACAAACCUAGAAGGGUCUCUUGUCUUUGAUGUGUAAAAAUCUCAAUUUUUCUAAAAUUUUGUUUAUAUUUUUUGUUUUCAAAAUUACUUUUCAUAUGGAAAUAAUGUUAACAGAAAAUUACUAUUCACCCAUAAUUACUAUUUAACCACAAACCUUUACAUUAUUAAUUAAUUGACACAAUCACUGUUCAGGGCAUUGUUCAUUGGCUGCCUUAUGUCAAACUACAUCAUUGAUGGCGCGCGUUGCAGUGCCCAUCUAUUUAGAAUUUUCUUAAAAAUAGAAAGACAUGACUCAUGAUCUUUAAUUACAUUUGUAAAGAUGACCCAUAUAUUUGUUAGCAAAAGAGAGGUGGUGAAUAUAAUUGUUUUGUAAAGAAAGUAUUGGGUAGUUUGGCACUACAUGUUUCUUUUUGUCUAAUGGGCUUCAUUGGUGAGAGCGAUUGCAUAACAUAACAACAUGUGAAGAGCUGGCCAAAAUGAAGUUACUCAACAACCCAUUUACAUCAAAAUUUGCAUAAAAAUCUACAUUCUAAGCCUGAGUAAUAAUACAACAAGAAGCUUCCCAAAAGCAUCCACACAUAGAAUUAUACAAUGUUAUCCGUCUAUCCAAAAGAACCAAAAGAAAGACCUUGUAGCCAAAAUGAUGAUUGCAUUCCGUAUCGUGUAGGGGUGCAACGGGCGUCCUGCUUUAUCCGCAAAAGUCAUCAAUUAGCUUAUCACGUAUUGGCUGUAAAAUUAACAUUACGUUUGUAUUGUGUUAUUGUCCGCGAACCUGGCCUGCUUGCAUCCGUAGGUUCAUGCACAUUAAAUAAAAUUCAAAAUGUAUAGUAUGGAUUGCAAUGUGUAAAGAUAAGAAGAAUAAAAUCUCUACUAUAAAUGCCACGUAACAGUAAAGCAGAUGCUACCAUUUCUUUCCCAAUUUAUAACCUUCUACAAAAACAUUCCAUUGUAUGUACCUUUCUUCUGUGUCCAUCUAAUCAUGCUAAGCAUAAAUUCAUACUAAGAUAUUAGUGCAUGAAUUUAUUCAAAAACUAUGGGCUAGUCGAUCCUGGUAAUAACCUGAUUUUUUGUGGCUUAGGUCUGGUUGCUUUUAGUGCCAAUGUACAGUGUACCGUGUUGUGUUUUGGGCUAGCCGAUCAGGAGAAGGAAUUUUUGUUCUUUAGGCCACGCAAAAAAUGAGUGAUAAGGAUUAAUGUCACGACCGGUUUUUCAAUAAAAUACUUAUUGAGAAACCGAUCUUUUUAAUUCCAGUAUAGGAAAAAUUCUCCUUACUGGUAGACAAAUAGUUGAUACAGAAGUCCAGUAGCAUUAAAUAUAAUACAAGGUUGAGCUGAGGUUGCUCAACGAUUUAUUACAAACACGCCAAUAUUGCACAUAAGGGCGGAUAUGACACAAGAGUGUGGUGCCAUACUACUGACUCGAAAAAAGUGGUGGUGGAUAUGUCACAGUGGAGUAGGUGACAUGACUCCUAAUCUGGCAGCUCAUCGAGCGUCGAAGUGAGGCUCGAUGCAUUUAUUCGGGUAGCGGAAGCGGAUAUAAUACAAGUGACUAAAUCCAGGAUCGCACGGGACUGACUGUGACUCCUCUAGACGUCGGACUCGCUAUCGUACUCUUCAUCCAUGAGAUCGCCGUCAUUAACAUCUGGCCAAAUCAACAAGCCAGGUGAGUACUUUGAAUGUACUCGCAAGACAGUUCGGACAUGAGAUAUAACAAAUACAAGCAUGAUGCGUCAUGAGUAAUAAGCAAAGCACAUUUAAAUGAUGAACUUGCACGAUAAUAUGAUUUAAGAAGGAAGUCAGGAGGUAGUCCUCCCGAAAUCCCAACGAAGAUACUGAAAACGAUCGGGUGUCUGAAGCAACGCCUCGAAAGGUCAACAAAUGAAUAUAACAUGCCGCAGUCGGGCGUCUAAGCGACACCACAGAAAGGGCUUAUAUUGGAAAGUAAAUGACAGUGCGUGCCAUAGUCGGACGUCUAUGCGACAUCUCGGAAAGGGCUUAUAAUGAAGGUAAAUAACAGUGAUGCCAUAGUCGGACAUCUGAGCGACAUCGCAGAAAGGGCUUAUUUUGAAAAUAAAUAAUAAGAGUGCCGCAGUCGGACGUCUGAGCGACAUCACAGAAAGGGCUUAUAUUGAAAGUAAAUAACAAGAGUGCCACAGUCGGACGUCUGAGCGACAUCACAGAAAGGGCUUAUAUUGAAAGUAAAUAGCAAGAGUGCCACAGUCGGACGUCUGAGCGACAUCACAGAAAGGGCUUGUAUUUCAUCAUUCAUAUCUAAUAAAUUCAUGAAGAUAUAUCACUCACAGGAAAUAUUCAGCACAUAGUAAUAAACGGGUUAGUGCAUCCACAUGAAUAAUCAUUUAGCCGGACUUAACACUCAUGUGAUUCACCGGAGUUUUGUUACUAAGACUGAUACUGACAAGGAUAAGUUGAGCACAGUACUUGGCCAUGGAUAGGACUAUUCGAAUGAUUUUGACUCUGCAGAGUUUGUACUAAUCAACCACAGCCAACGGAUUUCCGUAGUCACGAAGGACUAGUUCCGUUUACGAUAUUUCGGUAGAAACACAUCUAACCAUUACACACCCAUCCCACCUCACGAUGCCAGGAAUCACCCUAGGCAACGUUCAAGAAAAACUUUGAGACGGGGAGGCCACAACCUCGAAUAGCAUGGGAUUAAAUUUAUAUUCGCGCGCUCUAAGGGGUGCCCCCCUCUCGGUCCCAACCGGAAACACCCAUGCCCUUGACCGGAUGACUGGCUUUAAUCCAGGGCCAUGGAACCCUCAUCACGACCUCUCUAUUUGGUGUGUACCAGGAAAGAUGUUUGCAACUUACUAAGCCACAUUCCUUGCAGAAAACAUGUGGUGGUACAGGAAGGGAAACGAAUGGUAACGUGACUUGAUUCACAUUGAUACUGGAAUCAAAUGGUUUGGCAUAAGACUGGCAUGCUUCAACACUGCCAUCUUACCCCCUCUCAUGUCAUCCCAUGAUCAUGCAAACUCACAUCAACAACAUAUGGAGUUUCGAAGCCCACCUGCCUCAGCUUUGUAUGCAAUAUCACACUGACCGAAAGGCUUAUAAACAUGCCAUGAAACAACUCAAUGCAAACAUGCAAAAACACUCAUCAUAUCAAAGGUUCAAACACGCUUGCCUGGUUCGGAGUAGUCGGAGUCUAGCUCGGUGAAGUUCGCGGUUCCGUCACCUCCUCCGGUAUACGGUAUAAGAAAAUACGUACUAACGUAAAUACCGUGUGUGCACAAGAAAUUGUUCCAAAUACUUUUCAAAUAAAUAUGAUAAAAAACUAGACAGAAAAAUAAAGGUGACAGAAAAAGAAUCAAUCAAAAAUAAUUUUCUGUUUAAAAGUUAUUAAAGAUUUAGCCCAAGGACUUGUCUGUAAUGAAACAGAAAGUUUCCAGGGGGCAGAACAGAAAAAGGACAGAAAACGUUUCAGAUUGAAAGCGUAUUUGCCCGAAGGCGUUUUCAGAAAACUUUUCAAAAAGAAUAAAAAGCUGACGUGGGGGUCCCACUUGUCGGGUUUAAACUCUAAAACAGAGUCACCAGCGCCCGAGAGCUGCGGUGGUCGCCGACGGCGAUCUAGGGCGAGUUAGGAGGAGCGGGUGGUACCUACGGGUCCCUUGGGUCCUUCCGCACCUGUCGGUGGUGGGGUUGGUCGACGGCGGUCACCACGUCGACGGCAGCCUCAACUCGGGCGGGUGUUGGCUCGGGCGUUGGUGGAUCUCGUCAGGGAGGGCUACAUAGCACGAAUUGAGGCUCGGGUUAGAACACUGGGUACACCAGAGGGCUGUUGACGUGGUUUGGGGGUCGGAGGUGGCCUCACUUGACCGGAGCCCGAAGCGGACCGGGGCGGCCGGAGUCGGGGAAGGAGACCUCCUCGAGGUCCUCCUGGUGGCUUGGCAGGGCUCUGGUGAGAAGGAGUGGUGGUGCGGCCUCGAGAACGAGCUCGAGACCUCCUCUUAUAGGUUAUCCGAGGCGGUGGCCGCGAAUGGGAAAUCUCCAGCGACGGUUACGGUGGUGCAGUGGUUGGUAGGGUGGUUUAGGGGGUUGGGUAUCAACAUGGAGAUCCACUGGUUUCAUUCAGAUGCUAACCUUGGUUGGAUUUGGCUUGCUUGGUGGUUUCGACGGAACGGAGCUUCGCGGGCCCGUCGGCGGCAGAGGGCGCGCACUGUGCUUGCCGGGCCACGGCGACGGUGCUGCGGCGUGCGCUGGCAAGCAGACGGCCAUGCGGAGGCCUCGGUUGCAUUGGGCGGUGCUGGACGGCGCAGCAAGCUGGCGCUGGCUCCCGCUGGCCACCACGGGUGGCUCUGCCACCGCAGAAGCUGCCGGCGUCAGCGAGGCACGCCACCACCGACACCUGCGCCCGUUCAAGAGCGCGUCGGUGCUCUGGAUAAGGAGGAGAAGCCGUGUGCAACGCGCCAGAGCGUGUACUGGUGAGAUCGAUGACAAGUCUCUGAAGAAAACGACACUGACUAUCGAACUGCAACUCUAAAUUUCUGGACAUGUACAGUAACAGUGUAGGCCAAGUGUUCGAUGAAAUGAUCUAGGCAUGUGGAGAAUUUAUCUGGGGCUGAUCUUUGGUGAGGUAGCUUCUCAAUGCACCUGGGGGCUGCCUGAUUUUUGGUAGAAUUUUUGGAGAAGAGGAAAUAUGAAUUUCACCAAAAAUGAUGAAUCUGGUCCAAACUUGCAGUGAUUGAAACUUGAAAAUUUUGAAUUGUGGAAGAGUGGAUCUUGAUGGAUCUAGGUUGGGGGUGCUAGGGACUAUCCAGAGGAGUUGGUUUGAGAUCAAAAUUCAAAGAGAAUCAGGUACUUCCCUUGUAAAUCAUCUAGGCUUAAAAUAAAAGACAGAAUUGUUUUUGGGGAUAAAUUAAAUGAAAUAAAAUUCAAAAAUGGGUUGAACUUGUUGGAACAGAAUGUUUGGGUUGCCCCAAAGUGGAGGGAGGGGUUUUGGGAGAACUUUUAACAUGAGGCAUGGUAAAAACAAUGGGUGGUUUCAAAACAAAAGAAAAGCCCCAAAACCCAUAGGGUUUCUUUUUAAUAGGAAUGAAAUUCCAAAAUUUUAUUGAGAUGAGUCAAAAUCAGAAGGAAGGUUUUUAAUAACCAAACACCAAGGUUGAGGAAGAUACAAAAUAAAAUCCUUGUCAUGGGGGGAAAUUUUUGAGAAGGAGGGGUUUUUGGAAAGAUUUUAAAUGGCCUCCUUCAAAUCAAACAAAGGAUUUGCUGAAAACAAAAAUUAAAAUUUUGGAGUGUCACAACACCUACCCCCUUAGGAAAAAUCUCAUCCCCGAGAUUUCAGUUGAUCCUCAAAUAGGUGUGGGUGCUCUGUCCAAAGAAAAUCAUCUCUUUCCCAAGUUGCUUCAUUCUCGGUGUGAUUGCUCCACUGAACUCUGAAAAACUUGAUUGUUUUCUGACGGGUCCUCCUUUCAGACUCCUCCAAUAUUUUUAUUGGACGUUCCCUGUAGGUGAGGUCUGGUUGUACGUCAAUGUCUUCAUGGGAUACUUGCUUCUCUGGGUUGCUCACACAUUUCCUCAACUGCGAGACGUGGAACACGUCGUGGACGUCGGACAGCUCUUCGGGUAGGUCUAGCUGGUAGGCUACCGUGCCUCUUCAUGCAACUAUACAGAAGGGUCUGAUGAAUCUUGGUGCUAGCUUUCCUUUAACCUUGAAUCGUUGCAGGCCUCUCAUAGGAGAUACUCGUAGGUACACAUACUCACCGGGUUCAAAGUUGACUCCUUUUUUUUUUGAUCGUAAUAACUCUUCUGUCGACUUUGAGCUGUCUUGAGUCUGUCCCUGAUUAGCCUAACUUUCUCCUCAGCUACCUUGAGCAUAUCAGGGCCAAAGAUACGGCUGUCUCCGGUCUCUGACCAAUUCAAUGGAGUACGACAUCUCCGUCCAUACAAGGCUUCGAAGGGUGCCAUUUGCAGGCUGGCUUGGUAACUGUUGUUGUAUGCGAACUCGGCAUAUGGCAAGCUUUCUUCCCAAUUGGUUCCAUAGGUGAGGACACAUGCUCUCAGCAUGUCUUCCAGAAUUUGGUUUACGCAUUCAGUCUGUCCAUCAGUCUGGGGGUGGUAUGCGGUACUAAACGCCAGUUGAGUUCCCGAAGCUUGUUGUAAUUGAUCCCAAAAUCUAGAGACGAAUUGAGUGCCUCUGUCCGAUAUUAUAGUCUUUGGAACUCCAUGCAGGCAGACGAUACGGGAAAGAUAAAGCCUGGCAAGCUUUUGAGUGGUGUGGGUUGUCUUCACGGGGAUGAAGUGUGCCACCUUAGUCAGUCUAUCUGUGAUGACCCAUAUGGCAUCAUUCCCGUGUCGUGACCGAGGUAGUCCAACAAUAAAAUCCAUUCCAAUCUCGUCCCAUUUCCACUCGGGUAUCUUGUUUGGCUGUAAUAGUCCAGCUGGUUUCUGGUGCUCGGCCUUGAUGUGUUGACAUGAAUCACAACAGGCAAUGAACGUGGCUAUGUCCCUUUUCAUACCGUACCACCAAAAAUUUUCCUGAAGGUCCUUGUACAUUUUUGUUCCUCCAGGGUGGAUUGAAUACGGAGCGGUGUGGCCUUCAGCUAGAAUUUGCUAUUUAAGGUCCUCGAUAUUUGGUACGCAAAGCCUAUCUCCGUACCACAAUAUUCCUUGCUCGUCUAUGACGAAUUCUGAGGCCUUGCCCAAACUCACUUUUCUUUUUAUGCCUUCGAUGCUGGGGUGCCCAUGAUGAGCCUCCUUAAUCUUUUCUAUUAGGGUAGGCUGUAUUUCCAAAUUCGACACACUGCCUUCGGUGACCAUUAUCAAGUUGAGUUUAGCAAACUCCUGUCGAAAUUCAGGUCUCAAAUUUGGUAGGCUGUCGUUGUCCGAGCUGGGGUUCCAACUAAGAGCAUCCGCCACUACGUUUGCUUUUCCUGGACGGUAGUGGAUACCAACAUCAUAAUCCUUCACUAAUUCCAACCAGCGUCGUUGCCGUAAAUUGAGUUCCGGUUGUGUGAAAAUAUACUUGAGGCUUUUAUGGUCUGUGUAUAUUUCACAACGAUUUCUAAGUAAAAAGUGUCUCCACUCUUUGAGUGCAUGGAUGACUGCUGCCAACUCCAAGUCAUGAGUAGGGUAAUUUUCUUCAUGCUUGCAAAGUUGCCUGGAAGCAUACGUGACUACCUUGCCUUCUUGCAUUAAUACGCAUCUGAGGCCCUUCCGGGAUGCGUCACAAUACACCUCAAAACUUUUGUGUAUGUCUGGCACAAUCAAUACUGGUGAUGUCGUUAAUUUCCUUUUUAGUUCUUGGAAACUUUUCUCGCAAGCUUUGGUCCAUUCAAACUUCUUAUCCUUCUUAAGUAACUGCGUCAUUGGCUUUGCUAUGGUGGAGAAUCCUUGAAUGAACCUUCCUUAAUAUCCUGCCAUUCCUAAGAAGCUUCGUACGUCUGUUACGCUGGCUGGUGGUUUCCAGCCAAGUACGGCCUUGACCUUUUCCGGGUCUACAGCAACACCUUCUUGGGUCAGUACGUGGCCUAGAAAACCCACCUGUCUAGCCAAAAUUCACAUUUGCUGAAUUUGGCGUACAAUUGAUGUUUCCUUAGUUCUCCUAGUACUAUGUUGAGAUGUUCAGCGUGCUCUUCUGGUGUCUUGGAGUAUACCAGAAUAUCGUCGAUGAAUACCACAACAAACUUGUCCAUAAACUUCAUAAAUACUUCGUUCAUGAGGUGAACAAAACAUGCGGGGGAGUUUGUUAGUCCAAACUGCAUUACUUUGAACUCAUACAGCCCGUAUCUGGAGGUGAAGGCUGUUUUGGGGAUAUCUUCUCUUCGUACUUUUAAUUGAUGGUAUCCCGACCUUAAGUCAAUUUUUGAGAAAACCUUGGCUUGAGCGAGCUGGUCAAAUAAAUCAUUUAUCCGUGGCAUCCGGUAUUUUUUCUUGAUUGUGACCAUGUUAAGUGCUCGAUAGUCUAUACACAAUCUCAGUGUCCCAUCCUUUUUCUUGGCAAAUAAAACUGGUGAACCCCAAGGUGAGCAGCUGGCUCGUAUAUAUCCUUUGUCCAGUAAUUCUUUUAUUUGCUUCUUUAAUUCUACCAACUCGGAUGGUGCCAUCUAUAUGGUUUCUUGUAAAUGGGGGUGGUUCCAGGUGCUAGUUCAAUGCUGAAUUCUAUUUCCCGGUCUGGUGGCAUGCCUGGUAAUUCUUCGGGAAAUACGUCUAGAAACUCACAUACCACUGGAACUCUGUUCAGCUCUGAAACGUCCACCUUGUUCAACCUUGGUUGUCGUGAUAUUUGUCUUUCUUGAGCUGAAACUUUUAUUUGCUUCCCGUGAUGAUGGGUAAGGAUUACCGUCCGGUUGAAGCAGUCAAUAAAUCCUUUGUUGGUGGUUAACCAGUCCAUUCCUAGGAUAACAUCCAGUCCCUUAUUUUCCAAUACAAUGAGGUUUGCAUGAAAUUUCAAUCGUUCAAGAUCAAUAACUACACCUUGGCAGUAAUUCUGCGUAACUUGCUUAAUUCCAGGGGACUUGAUGAUCAUGGAUUUUUCCAAGGGAAGUAUCGAAAAAUCAUUUUGCAAAGCAAAUCUCUUCGAAAUGAACGAGUGAGAAGCUCCAGAAUCAAACAAAACCGUGGCAGGUAUUGUGUUGACAGGGAACGUACCGAGUAUGAUAUCCGGGGCAUUCUGUGCUUCCUCUCUGGUCACGUGGUUCAAGUGACCCUUCUUGUGGUUGUUAUUGGGGUUGAAGUUGUUUCGCUUGGGCGUUGAAUUAUUGCCACCGUUGUUCGGCUUUGGGGUCGAGUUCCUUGGCUUGGGGCACUGCUUGGCAUAGUGUCCUUCUUCUCCACAGGCGUAGCAAGUAACGCCUGGGCGAUAUGUGAAUUCUUUGUCCCUUGCAUGGAAAUUCUUGAUUGGGCGUGAAACAGUUGUCGUGGGUUUGUGUGUCCCACCUUUCUGAGAAUCCGUCUUGCUCCUGUGGUUGCGAGCAAGAGUAGUCUGGUCCCUUUUACGCUUGCGGAAAUCCUCCAAGCUGCAUCGCUCAUUUUCCAAGGUAAUAGCCUUAUCCACCAGUGUUUUGAAAUUUGUGAAGGUGUGUAUGACCAGCUGGCAUUUAAGCGCUGGUGCCAGACUGUCCAGGAAUUUUUCCAGUCAUAUGCUCUUCGUUGGCGUAGCGAGACAAUAGAGUAAACUGACUGUUGUAUUCAGUCACUGUCAUGGUUCUCUGUUUGAGGUCAUCAAACUCCCUCUUCUUGAUCUUCAUAAUACUUCUAGGAAUGUGCGCCCCACAAAAACCUUCUUUGAGUUCCUCCCAGGUUAUAUCAUUUUUGUUGGGGUGCAUGUGUAGGAAAUUUUCCCACCAUGAUGCAGCCGCUCCAGUGAGAUAGUGCGGUGCAUAUAAUACUUUCUCACGGUCUGAACACUGUGCAAUAAUUAAUUUCCUUUCCAUGUCCCGAAGCCAAUCAUCGGCCUCAAUAGGCUUGUCCGUAUGAGAAAAUGUUGGGGGACGCGUCUUUUGUAGCUCAGACAGUUUGGAUUGUUGCUGAUAUGGUCCACGGUGAUUUCCCAUAUUGAUGAUUUGGUUCAUCAUUUCCUGAUGUUGUUGCUGACUCUGUUCAUAAAGGCGGCAUACUUGAGAAAAUGCGGUGUCACUGCCCUGCUGACUUGACUGCCCUUGCGUGAAAUUGUUGCUUGUUUGGGUACCAUGAUACUCUUCUAGCGGAUUUGGCAUGGAACGAGUCCAAGGACGAGACAUCUUCCACUCUGGGGAUAUAUUUUGUAAGACUCAUAAGAAAAAGAAAUCGAGUCGCAAAAAUAAAUAAAUUUUUAAAGACGGAUUUUUCAAGAGAAUAAUCGAUUGCGCAUGGAGAAGGACUGCUCAGUACAUAUCUUACACGCAAGCAGUAAUUAUACAAUACAUCACUCAGGAUGCGCGUACACAUUCCUGACAUGUUAUUUAGGCUAGUGCACUUCUCCCAGUUCCUACAUGAUGCGUAUACAAACUACUUCUCACAACCUAUGUACAUAUAAACAUAUCGUACAAGCCGGUACAUCGCGUGACAGCUAAGCGCACUCAGUCGGAGAUGGUAAGGAUCUCCCUUGGCCUGCCAAGGGUGAGGCCCAGUGAGGCUGGGGACUCAACCUCCUCCUCGCUAAUAGGCUCCAGACGUGAAGUGCUGCGCUGAAUCGUUGGAGCGGGCACCAUAGGUGGAGCAACAUGGACUGGUGUGGGCGCAAUAGGUGGUGCAGUACGGACUGAAGUGGGCGCGAUGACUUGGUCAAACUCGUCAGUGGUAGGCAGGCGACGAGCGGUGGCGAGGAUAGUAGGUGAAUAAGAUGCUGAGGACGAGACGAAAGUCAGUGGUGGUGAUGUGUGGAGGAGCUCCCUCCUGUUGGCGGAACAUCCAUGAAUUGAAUCCAUACGAGCAGCCACAAGGUCGUCCACAAGGUUAUCAAAAGCUGCCUCAAGCGCCUGGAGAUACUCGACAAGCAUCUCAAUAGCCUCAUCUCAUUCUCCCCUAGGGCAAGCGAAUGCAUAGUGACAGGUGUAUGGCACGUGGCAGGGGAGGUAGCGGUAGCGACGGGUCUUCAUCGAAGGAAGAACAUCUCGGAGACGAGCUAUCGCCUCACGGGCAGCCAUCUGCAUAGCAUGCCUCUCCGUAGGCAUGGCUCUUCCCACAAACCGGAAGCGGCGUAACUCGACACGCCCUCCCUUGAAUUGCACCACGGCCUGUUGCAUGGACAGACUGUCAUUGAUCUUGUGCUGGUAGAGUGUGAACACCGGACGAGUUGAUGGCCCGAUCGCGAUUUUGACAAUGGAGGUGAGCAGCUUGACGAACCCCUCAGGCACGUUGGCGAACACCUGCGACUCACAGUCGUUGCCAGCCAUCUACAAAAGUAGGCAAAAAUUCUGAAUGGUCAGAUCAUAAAUUUUUGCUAACUGUCAGAAAAUGACUACAUUUGCAAAAUAUUAAAAAAAACACUAUUACGCUAAUAACCGAUUAGCGAUCACACCUAGUGGCUUCCUACAGUCAGCCUGGAUCUGGUACCAAGUUUGUCACGACUGGUUUUUCAAUGAAAUACUUGUUGAGAAACCGAUCUUUUUAAUUCCAGUAUAGGAAAAAUUCUCCUUACUGGUAGACAAAUACUUGAUACAGAAGUCCAGUAGUAUUAAAUAUAAUACAGGGUUGAGCUGAGGUUGCUCAACGAUUUAUUACAAACACGCCAAUAUUGCACACAAGGGCGGAUAUGACACAAGAGUGUGGUGGCAUACUACUGACUCAAAAAUAAAGUGGUGGUGGAUAUGCCACAGUGGAGUGGGUGACAUGACUCCUAAUCUGGCAGCUCAUCGAGCGUCGAAGUGAGGCUCGAUGCAUUUAUUCGGGUAGCGGAAGCGGAUACAAUACAAGUGACCAAAUCCAGGAUCGCACGGGACUGACUGGGACUCCUAUAGACGUCGGACUCGCUAUCGUACUCUUCAUCCAUGAGAUCGCCUUUGUCAACAUCUGGCCAAAUCAACAAGCCAGGUGAGCACUUUGAAUGUACUCGCAAGAAAGUUCGGACAUGAGAUAUAACAAAUACAAGCAUGAUGUGUCAUGAGUAAUUAGCAAAGCACAUUUAAAUGAUGAACUUGCAUGAUAAUAUGAUUUAAGAAGGAAGUCAGGCGGUAGUCCUCCCGAUAUCCCAACGAAGAUACUGAAAACCGAUCGGGUGUCUGAAGCGACGCCUCAAAAGGUGAACAAAUGAAUAUAACAUGCAGCAGUCGGGCGUCUAAGCGACACCAUAGAAAGGGCUUAUAUUGGAAAGUAAAUGACAGUGCGUGCCACAGUCGGACGUCUAUGCGACAUCUCGGAAAGGGCUUAUAAUGAAGGUAAAUAACAGUGAUGCCACAGUCGAACGUCUGAGCGACAUCGCAGAAAGGGCUUAUUUUGAAAAUAAAUAAUAAGAGUGCCACAGUCGGACGUCUGAGCAACAUCACAGAAAGGGCUUAUAUUGAAAGUAAAUAACAAGAGUGCCACAGUCGGACGUCUGAGCGACAUCACAAAAAGGGCUUAUAUUGAAAGAAAAUAACAAGAGUGCCACAGUCGGACGUCUGAGCGACAUCACAGAAAGGGCUUAUAUUGAAAGUAAACAACAAGAGUGCCACAGUCGGACAUCUGAGCGACAUCACAGAAAGGGCUUGUAUUUCAUCAUUCAUAUCUGAUAAAUUCAUGAAGAUAUAUCACUCACAGGAAAUAUUCAGCACAUAGUAAUAAACGGGUUAGUGCAUCCACAGGAAUAAUCAUUUAGCCGGACUUAACACUCAUCUGGUUCACUGGAGUUUUGUCACUGAGACUGAUACUGACAAGGAUAAGUUGAACACAGUACUUGGCAAUGGAUAGGACUAUUCGAAUGAUUUUGACUCUGCAGAGUUUGUACUAAUCAACCACAGCCAACGGAUUUCCGUAGUCACGAAGGACUAGUUCCGUUUACGGUAUUUCAGUAGAAACACAUCUAACCAGUACACACCCAUCCCACCUCACGAUGCCAGGAAUCACCCUAGGCAACGUUCAAGAAAAACUUUGAGACGGGGAGGUCACAACCUCGAAUAGCAUGGGAUCAAAUUUAUAUUCGCGCGCUCUAAGGGGUGCCCCCCUCUCGGUCCCAACCGGAAACACCCAUGCCCCCUGACCGGAUGACUGGCUUUAAUCCAGGGCCAUGGAACCCUCAUCGCGGCCUCUCUAUUUGGUGUGUACCAGGAAAGAGGUUUGCAACUUACUAAGCCACAUUCCUUGCGGAAAACAUGUGGUGGUACAAGAAGGGAAACGAAUGGUAACGUGACUUGAUUCAUGUUGAUACUGGAAUCAAAUGGUUUGGCAUAAGACUGGCAUGCUUCAACACUGCCAUCUUACCCCCUCUCAUGUCAUCUCAGGAUCAUGCAAACUCACAUCAACAACAUAUGGAGUUUCGAAGCCCACCUGCCUCAGCUUUGUAUGCAAUAUCACACUUACCGAAAUACUUAUAAACAUGCCAUGAAACUACUCAAUGCAAACAUGCAAAAACACUCAUCAUAUCAAAUGUUCAAACAUGCUUGCCUGGUUCGGAGUAGGCGGAGUCUAGCUCGGUGAAGUUUGCGGUUCCGUCACCUCCUCCGGUAUCUACGGUAUAAGAUAAUACGUACUAACGUAAAUACCGUGUGUGCACAAGAAAGUGUUCCAAAUAUUUUUCAAAUAAAUAUGAUAAAAAACUAGACAAAAAAAUAAAGGUGAUAGAAAAAGAAUCAAUCAAAAAUAAAUUUCUGUUUAAAAGCUAUUAAAGAUUUAGCCCAGGGACUUGUCUGUAAUGAAAUAGAAAGUUUGCAGGGGCAGAACAAAAAAAGGACAGAAAACGUUUCAGAUUAAAAACGUAUUUGCCCGAAGGCGUUUUCAAAAAACGUUUCAAAAAGAAUAAAAAGCUGACGGGGGGUCCCACUUGUCGGGUUUAAACUCUGAAACAGAGUCACCGGCGCCCGAGAGCUGCGGUGGUCGCCGGCGGCGAUCCACGGCGAGUUAGGAGGAGCGGGUGGUACCUACGGGUUCCUUGGGUCCUUCCGCACCUGUGGGUGGUGGGGUUGGUCGACGGCGAUCACCACGUCGACGGCAGCCUCAACUCCGGCGGGUGUUGGCUCGGGCGUUGGUGGAUCUCGUCGGGGAGGGCUACAUAGCACGAAUUGAGGCUCGGGCUAGAACACUGGGUGCACCAGAGGGCUGUUCACGUGGUUUGGGGGUCGGAGGUGGCCUCACCUAAGUGGAUCAAGCCGGAGCCCGAAGCAGACCGGGGCGGCCGGAGUCGGGGAAGGAGACCUCCUCGAUGUCCUCCUGGUGGCUUGGCGGGGCUCUGGUGAGAAGGAGUGGUGGUGCGGGCUCGAGAACGAGCUCGGGACCUCCUCUUAUAGGCGAUCCGAGGCGGUGGCCGCGAACAGGAAAUCUCCGGCGACGGUUACGGCGGUGCAGUGGUUGGUCGGGUGGUUUAGGGGGUUGGGCAUCAACGUGGAGAUCCACUGGUUUCAUUCAGAUGCUAACCGUGGUUGGAUUAGGCUUGCUUGGUGGUUUCGACGGAACGGAGCUUCGUGGGCCCGUCGGCGGCAGAGGGCGCGCCCUGUGCUUGCCGGGCCACGACGACGGUGCUGCGGCGUGUGCUGGCAAGGAGACGGCCACGCGGAGGCCUUGGUUGCAUUGGGCGGUGUUGGACGGCCCAGAAAAGCUGGCGCUGGCUCCCGCUGGCCGCCACGGGUGGCUCUGCCACCGCAGAAGCUGCCGGCGUCGGCGAGGCACGCUGCCACCGACACCUGCGCCCGUCCAAGAGCGUGUCAGUGCUCUGGAUAAGGAGGAGAAGCCGUGUGCAACGCGCCAGAGCGUGUACUGGUGAGAUCGAUGACAAGUCUCUGAAGAAAACGACACUGACUGUCGAGCUGCAACUCUGAAUUUCUGAACAUGUACAGUAACAGUGUAGGCCAAGUGUUCGAUGAAAUAAUUUAGGCAUGUGUAGAAAUUAUCUGGGGCUGAUCUUUGGUGAGGUAGCUUCUCAAUGCACCUGGGGGCUGCCUGAUUUUUGGUAGAAUUUUUGGAGAAGAGGAAAUAUGAAUUUCACCAAAAAUGAUGAAUCUGGUCCAAACUUGCAGUGAUUGAAACUUGAAAAUUUUGAAUUGUGGAAGAGUGGAUCUUGAUGGAUCUAGGUUGGGGCUGCUAGGGACUAUCCAGAGGAGUUGGUUUGAGAUCAAAAUUCAAAGAGAAUCAGGUACUUCCCUUGUAAAUCAUCUAGGCUUAAAAUAAAAGACAGAAUUGUUUUUGGGGAUAAAAUAAAUGAAAUAAAAUUCAAAAAUGGGUUGAACUUGUUGGAACAGAAUGUUUGGGUUGCCCCAAAGUGGAGGGAGGGGUUUUGGGAGAACUUUUAACAUGAGGCAUGGUAAAAACAAUGGGUGGUUUCAAAACAAAAGAAAAGCCCCAAAACCCAUAGGGUUUCUUUUUAAUAGAAAUUAAAUUCCAAAAUUUUAUUGAGAUGAGUCAAAAUCAGAAGGAAGGUUUUUAAUAACCAAACACCAAGGUUGAGGAAGAUACAAAAUAAAAUCCUUGUCGUGGGGGGAAAUUUUUUGAGAAGGAGGGGUUUUUGGAAAGAUUUUAAAUGGCCUCCUUCAAAUCAAACAAAGGAUUUGCUGAAAACAAAAAUUAAAAUUUUGGAGUGUCACAAUUAAUAUGGAAUUUGUUUCAAAGGAAGAGCAUAGAGCACAUCAUAAGGUUAGGAAGUGCUGCCAUGAUCACGUUCAAACACAUCGACAACGUUUUCUACCCAGAUAGUGACGCAAUGUAUUAGCUGAAAAAAAAGGGCAACCUGGUGCAUGUAGCUCCCGCUUGCACAGGGUCCAGGGAAGGGUCCGACCACUUUGGGUCUAUAGUACGCAGCCUUUCCCUACAUUUCUGUAAGAGGCUGUUUCCAGGACUUGAACCCAUGACCUCAUGGUCACAAGGCAGCAGCUUUACCACUGCGCCAUGGUCACGCAAUGUAUUAGCUGAAAUAAAUAAAUAAUUAAAAGCAUUAUUCCAUAGUCCAAGGAGUAUCUCUAUAAAAAAAAAGCAACCAGACCUAGGCCACAGAAAAUCAGGUUAUGAACAGGAUCUCUGAAUUUUAUAUAUGCUAGAUUUGUUGAAGCAAGACAUACAGAUUAUACGUGAGGGUGAAUGAUCUGAUUUGCCAACAUUUCAGUCCAAAUCAGAUUCAAUCAUGAAGCAUCAGAGCAAAUUGUAGUAAAGAGCAGUGGUGCGCGAGAGAUUUUGUCCAAUAAUAUUAUGUAGAGGCAGAUAACAAGGCAUAUGAUAUUAGGUCAUGACAAAUGAGAGGAGAGUACCUGGAUGUCUUUGAUGGUCGCACAGAGAUCAAUGUAGUCCUUUUGGUUGCACCAGCCACUUCAAGUUGUUCAACUAUGAAGUUAUCGAUGUGAAAAUGCUCAGUUGAAUCCAUAAACAUAGCUCAUAGUAAUUAAGCAAGUUAUCGUUUAUUUUAGCGCGGUGUUAAAAUUAAAGUUAAAGUCUAUGUUAGCACAGUGUGAAAAUUAAACUUAAAAGUAUACUUUUUAACUCGAAAACUAAAUUACGUUACAUACCUUUCCAAUCAGUGUUGGCCAACAAUACUAUUUACAUUGUUUAGAGCGUAGCAAAAAGAGAGAUUGCUCCUUAGUUACUUGGGUUAUCCAAACAGUAAAGGGCACACAUACAUGUUGGAUGUUAAUAGAAAAACAUCAAGACACAAAUAGUCCUAAGAAAUUUCCGAUGGUACUUGAGGCAAUAAAUUUGUACCUGAAACAUAUAAUCUACUGUAAGCUUCACAAGAACACCAGUUGCAACGAUGGACUAUGCAGGUUAAUGACACCUACUAUAGUAAGUCCAUGCUAUGCUCCUCACUGACAGGAAAAAAAUGCUGAUUGUUGAGUACAAUGAUUCUUCUUGUCAACUGCAAAUGACUCCUACAGAAUGUUAAACGGUGUGUUCUUUAUCUCCGAGGUCCUAGUAAUAUGAGAAAAACGAGGGUGAGAGUGACUCCAUAGUAAUUACAUUAGAAUACAAAAAAAAACAGAAAAACAUUUUCAUUGCACAAUACAAACAGCAAAUUCGUGUACACACAUGCAAUGUGGACUUACACGUUCAGCAAACAAACUCUCGGUCUUACUAAUAUUGAAAAGCGCCAGCCGGAAUUCUUCCUGCACCAUGCCAACGCACAAGCAUCAUAACUCAGGUUAUUCAUAAGCCACCAUAUACACAAAAAUGUACCUACAGAGCAACAAUAUUUUUUCAGUUUUAAAUAAGGAGAUGGGUGUUUAUCCACUAACCUUGUUAACCAUCCCUCCAUGUAUCACAACAUUGUUGAUUUCUUCAAUAGCUCGUACAAUGCUUACCGUGAGCAUCUGCAUAAAAGCUAAUACGUAAGAGGAUUUAACAGAAAUGAUAAAGCCCACUAGUUUAGAUCCUGUCAGUGUGGAGACAAUUGAAUAGCCAGCAUGCACAGUUCCUACAAACCAAGCAUCAAAAUUCGUACAUGCCAAUGCAUCUUCAUGCCCAAAUCCACUACCACCAAACAACAGAACAUGGUGAUGUAGAUGGCAGUAGCUGUACCGACCAUGAAUCUGCCGCCGACCCAACUAUUGGUUGCUGGUAUCGAUGCCAUUGACAGGGAAAAAGGUGGUCAAGGCUUGUGUUAGAAUGGUGAUGGUCCCAUCUUGGAUAUAAAUACAUGCAGCUUCAGGUCAGAGGCGAAACAACAACGGCGGUGGUAAUUAACAAUUCCUGCACCAAAAAAUGACUAUGAAGAGGCGAAAAUGUGACAUCCUAAAAAUAGCUGCAUAAUGAGUUUAUUUACGCAUAUCAUCCAAUGUAUACUAAAUAUAUAGCUUGUAAUUAACUACAGGCCUUGACGAAAAGCAUAAAUAAUUGAAAAGUGGUAUAUGUUGGCAGACAUGAGAGUACACUUUUAUGCAGGAGCAAAUGACUGAAACACAUUGAUUGGAAUUACUUCUUCGUGACUAAAAUCAAGCCAUACAAAAAUACCAUGAGCGUAUCACAUAACAAGACCUUGACAAAAUAGCAUAUCGAGUUGGAUAAUAAAUCCAAUCCACAAACAGACUGGGUAGGCUGUGUUACCUGUGUUAGCUUUUGCAUCGAGUGCUAUAAGAUCAGAGGUGUGGACGCCCAGCUCGUAGUAGCUAGACCUUUCACAACCUGUAAGGCCGCCGUUUACAAACCAGGUGAAGGGUAGUAGGGUAAUGAAAGAAAAUUAAUGAAGGAGAUCAACCACGAUCUCUUAUUAUUUCUAGCUAUCGAGUAUCUCAACCUCCGAAUCCUGAAUGAGAUCCCAUAGUUCCUUCUUCGACAGCGACGCAGGCUGGGUAGGUUGCGGGAGGCCGACGGCUGUAGUCAGGGGAGGACGUGGUGGCUUUCCUUCUUACUGAAUCACUUCUCACAGAGGAGCUGGCGUACGGGAGGCCUCUCCGGUCUUGCAGGAGCGAGUCCACGAAGGAGGAGGGUGUGUGCGCCGCUGUGGCGCUGACCCGCAUCGACGCGAAGGGACUAAGCCGGGGUGUCGUUCCUCCUUGUCGCCGCUGCCGCCGUCUGGCAAUGGUAUGGAGGGGUUGCGCUCGACAGGGGAGGCGGCGUGAAACGCAGUAGGCUGGGGAUUUACCUCUCUACCCGAUGGGCCGUCCUUCCCCUGACCGCUCGCUAGAAGGGCUUCCUAGCCCAAUCAACCAGAGAAGUCCAGAAAGGCCACCCGAGUAGCUGCCCCCAGGACAGCAGGCCCAGGUUGCGGCAACAUUGCCCUAAAGUAGCGUUCCAUGUGCAUCAAACGGACAGAAAGAACCAGAUCAUGGAAACGGACGGUCAAGAACGCAAAUCGCUGAGAGAGCUCGGUUUAGGUGCGGUUAUACUGUCCUUAAUUGGUAGAGCCCUUGAAAAAAAUUCAAAAAAAGAAAGGAGGUCCUAGCUUAUCCGGUUUAAUAUAGUAGUAUAUAUGCAGUGUUUGGUAAAGCCCAAAAGAUCAAAGCACGGAAGACAAACUCAAUGGAAGAACCGUCGACGUCCGCCCGAGGGCCACACCUGCUAGGAUAAAAAAAUCGUGACCUAAACUACUAGCCGGAGUGAAGACACAUCGAUUAUCCUCUCUGCCACCGGCCGCCGAAGCGGCAGCCAGAGGGAAGGCAAAUUCACGGGUUCACUAGUGAAGUAUGAAAGAAAAAGUUUGCCCUAGCCGCCUAAGAUUAGGGGAGGAAACGAGAGUUAGUCCCAAUCUGGGAGACAGCUCACGAUUAUGACUGAUGCAAGUACUAUGCAAUGAUCAAAUACGAGCAAAUAAUAUGUAUUUUCCGUUUCAGUUUCUCCUCUAGUUUGUUAAUGCAACGACCAUUGGGGAUUCCCCCUCCUCCUUCAUUCUCAGGAAAAUAUGUAUUACUGUAAUUUUAUAAAUAUGUAGAGAACAUAUACAUGUGUAUGAGGGAUUAUUAUUUUCAGAUUUCUCUAUUCUGAAUAAUUCCGGUCUCCAUGAAUCCCGGGGUGCCCACCAUGAAAAUUUUACUUGAUCAACAGAAGGCCAUAGAGCAACUCGCCAAACUGUCUCACUACGACGAAAAUUUUACCCUUACGUAAGUCUCUUCUACCUUCCGUAUUGCCUACAUACAUUAGCGCAGACUAGCUAGCUUUGCAAAUCCUGAAACAACAGUAGGCAGUUCAUGAAGAAAUAUGCCCUAGAGGCAAUAAUAAAGUCAUUAUUUAUUUCCUUAUUUCAUGAUAAAUGUUUAUUAUUCAUUAUUAGGAGAAUGAUGUGAUUGACUUGACCCAUUCCGUUAGCACUUGAUCGUAUAGUAUGUUGCUAUUGCUUUCUUCAUGACUUAUACAUGUUCCUAUGACUAUGAGAUUAUGCAACUCCCGUUUACCGGAGGAACACUUUGUGUGCUACCAAACGUCACAACCUAACUGGGUGAUUAUAAAGGUGCUCUACAGGUGUCUCCGAAGGUACUUGUUGGGUUGGCGUAUUUCGAGAUUAGGAUUUCUCACUCCGAUUGUCGGAGAGGUAUCUCUGGGCCCACUCGGUAAUGCACAUCACUUAAGCCUUGCAAGCAUUGCAACUAAUUAGUUAGUUGCAGGAUGAUGUAUUAUGUAACGAGUAAAGAGACUUGGCGGUAACGAGAUUGAACUAGGUAUUGAGAUACCGACAAUCGUGAAGAUGUACGACUACAUCAACCGCGUUGUGCUAACGCUUCCGCUUUCGGUCUAUGAGGGUGCGUGGACAACACUCUCCCCUCUCGUUGCUAUGCAUCACCAUGAUCUUGCGUGUGCGUAGGAAAAUUUUGAAAUUACUACGUUCCCCAACAGUGGCAUCCGAGCCUAGGUUUUAUGUGUUGAUGUUAUAUGCAUGAGUAGAACACAAGUGAGUUGUGGGCGAUACAAGUCAUACUUCUUACCAGCAUGUCAUACUUUGGUUCGGCGGUAUUGUUGGAUGAAGCGGCCCGGACCGACAUUACACGUACGCUUACGCGAGACUAGUUCUACUGAUGUGCUUUGCACAAAGGUGGCUGGCGGGUGUCUGUUUCUCCAACUUUAGUUGAACCGAGUGUGGCUAUGUCCGGUCCUUGAGAAGGUUAAAACAUCACUAACUUGACGAACUAUCGUUGUGGUUUUGAUGCGUAGGUAAGAACGGUUCUUGCUCAGCCCAUAGCAGCCACGUAAAAUUUGCAACAACAAAGUAGAGGACGUCUAACUAGUUUUUGCAGGGCAUGUUGUGAUGUGAUAUGGUCAAGACGUGAUGAGAUAUAAGUUGUUGUAUGAGAUGAUCAUGUUUUGUUGAAGUUAUCGACAACUGGCAGAAGCCCUAUGGUUGUCUCUUUGUUGCAUAAGAUGCAACUGCCAAAUAAUUGCUUUACUUUGUCGCUAUGCGAUAGCAAUAGUUGCAAGAGCAAUAGUUGGCGAGACGACCAUGUGACGACACAUUGAUAUAGAUCAAGAUGAUGAAGAUCAUGGUGUCAUGCCGGUGACGAUAGAGAUCAUGACAGUACUUUGGAGAUGGAGAUCAAAGGCGCAAGAUGAUCAUGGCCAUAUCAUGUCACAUAUUUUGAUUGCAUAUGAUGUUUAUUUGUUAUAUAUCUUAUUCUAUUUUGUUUGACGGUAGCAUUUUAAGAUGAUCUCUCACUAAUUAUCAAGAAGUGUUCUCCCUGAGUAUGCACCGUUGCGAAAGUUCUUCGUGCUGAGACACCACGUGAUGACCGGGUGUGAUAGGCUCUACGUUCAAAUACAACGGGUGCAAAACAGUUGCACACGCGGAAUACUCAGGUUAAACUUGACGAGCCUAGCAUAUACAGAUAUGGCCUCGGAACACGGAGACCGAAAGGUCGAACGUGAAUCAUAUAGUAGAUAUGAUCAACAUAGUGAUGUUCACCAUUGAAAACUACUCCAUCUCCCGUGAUGAUCGGACAUGGUUUAGUUGAUUUGGAUCACGUGAUCACUUAGAUGACUAGAGAGAUGUCUGUCUAAGUGGGAGUUCUUAAGUAAUAUGAUUAAUUGAACUUUAAUUUGUCAUGAACUUAGUCCUGGUAGUAUUUUGCAAAUUAUGUUGUAGAUCAAUAGCUCGCGUUGUUGCUUCCCUAUGUUUUUGCUUCCCUAUGUUUUUAUAUAUGUUCCUAGAGAAAAAUUAUGUUGAAAAAUGUUAGUAGCAAUGAUGCGGAUUGGAUCCGUGAUCUGAGGUUUAUCCUCAUUGCUGCACAGAAUAAUAUGUCCUUGAUGCACCGCUAGGUGACAGACCUAUUGCAGGAGCAGAUGCAGACGUUAUGAACGUUUGGCUAGCUCAAUAUGAUGACUACUUGAUAGUUUAGUGCACCAUGCUUAACGGCUUAGAAUCGGGACUUCAAAGACGUUUUGAACGUCAUGGGCCAUAUGAGAUGUUCCAGGAAUUGAAGUUAAUAUUUCAAGCAAAUACCUGAGUUGAGAGAUAUGAAGUCUCCAACAAGUUCUAAAGCUAAAAGAUGGAGGAGAAUCGCUCAACUAGUGAGCAUGUGUUCAGAUUGUCUGGGUACUUCAAUCGCUUGAAUCAAGUGGGAGUUAAUCUUCCAGAUAAGAUAGUGAUUGACAGAAUUCUCUAGUCACCAUCACCAAGUUAGUAGAACUUCCUGAUGAACUAUAAUAUGCAAGGGAUGACGAAAGUAAUUCCCAAGCUCUUCGUGAUGCUGAAAUCGACGAAGGUAGAAAUCAAGAAAAACAUCAAGUGUUGAUAGUUAACAAGACCACUAGUUUCAAGAAAAGGGCAAAGGGAAAAUGGGGAACUUCAAGAAGAACGGCAAGCAAGUUGCUGCUCAAGUGAAGAAGCCCAAAAUUUGGACCUAAGCCUGAGACUGAGUGCUUCUACUGCAAAGUAACUGGUCACUGGAAGCGGAACUGCCCCAAGUAUUUGGCGGAUAAGAAGGAUGGCAAAGUGAACAAAGGUAUAUUUGAUAUACAUGUUAUUGAUGUGUACUUUACUAGUGUUUAUAGUAGUCCCUGACUAUUUGAUACUUGUUCGGUUGCUAAGAUUAGUAACUCAAAACAAGAGUUACAGAAUAAACGGAGACUAGUUGAGGGUGAAGUAACGAUGUGUGUUGGAAGUGGUUCCAAAAUUGAUAUGAUCAUCAUCGUACACUCCCUAUAUUUUCGAGAUUAGUGUUGAACCUAAAUAAUUGUUAUUUGGUGUUUGCGUUGAGCAUAAAUAUGAUUAGAUCAUGUUUAUUGCGAUACGAUUAUUCAUCUAAAACAGAGAAUAAAUUGUUAUUCUGUUUACAUGAAUAAAACCUUCAAACGGUCAUGCACCCAAUGAAAAUAGUUUGUUGGAUCUCGAUCGUAGUGAUACACAUAUUCAUAAUAUUGAUGCCAAAAGAUGCAAAGUUAAUAAUGAUAGUGCAACUUAUUUGUGGCACUGCCGUUUGGGUCAUAUCGGUGUAAAGCGCAUGAAGAAACUCCAUAAAGAUGGACUUUUGGAAUCACUUGGUUAUGAAUCAUUUGAUGCUUGCAAACCGUGCCUUUUGGGCAAGAUGACUAAAACUCCGUUCUCCGGAACAAUGUAACGAGCUACUGACUUGUUGGAAAUAAUACAUACUGAUGUAUGAGGUCCAAUGAGUGUUGAUGCUCGUGGCGUGUAUCAUUAUUUUCUGACCUUCACAGAUGAUUUAAGCAGAUAUGGGUAUAUCUACUUGAUGAAACAUAAGUCUGAAACAUUUGGAAAGUUCAAAGAAUUUCAGAGUGAAGUGGAAAAUCAUCGUAACAAGAAAAAUAAAGUUUCUACGAUCUGAUCGUGGAGAUGAAUAUUUGAGUUAUGAGUUUGGUCUUUAUUUGAAACAAUGUGAAAUAGUUUCGCAACUCACGCCACCUGGAACACCACAAUGUAAUGGUGUGUCUGAAUGUUGUAAUCGUACUUUACUAGAUAUGGUGCGACCUAUGAUGUCUCUUAUUGGUUUACCACUAUCGUUUUGGGGUUAUGCAUUAGAGACAGCUGCAUUCACGUUAAAUAGGGCACCACCUAAAUCCGUUGAGACAACACCGUAUGAACUAUGGUUUAGCAAUAAACCUAAGCUGUCAUUUCUUAAAGUUUGGAGUUGCGAUGCUUAUAUGAAAAAGGUUUUCAACUUGAUAAGCUCGAAUCCAAAUCGGAGAAGUGCGUCUUCAUAAAAUACCCAAAGGAAACUGUUGGGUACACCUUCUAUCACAGAUCUGAAGUCAAAACAUUCGUUGCUAAGAAUGGAUCCUUUCUAGAGAAGGAGUUUCUCUCAAAAGAAGUGAGUGGGAGGAAAGUAGAACUUGAUAAGGUAAUUGUACCUUCUCCCUUAUUGGAAUGUAGUUCAUCACAGAAAUCUAUUCCUGUGACUACUACACCAAUUAGUGAGGAAGCUAAUGAUGAUGAUCAUGUAACUUUAGAUCAAGUUACUACCGAAUCUCGUAGGUAAACUAGAGUGAGAUCCGCACCAGAGUGGUACAGUAAUCCUGUUCUGGAGGUCAUGCUACUUAACCAUGACGAACCUAUGAACUAUGAGGAAGCGAUGAUGAGCCCAGCUUCCGCAAAAUGGCUUGAGUCCAUGAAAUCUGAGAUGGGAUCCAUGCAUGAGAACAAAGUAUGGACUUUGGUUGACUUGCCCGAUGAUCGGCAAAGCCAUAGAAAAUAAAUGGAUCUUCAAGAGGAAGACGGACGCUGAUAGUAGUGUUACUAUCUACAGAGCUAGAAUUGUCGCAAAAAGGUUUUCGACAAGUUCAAGGUGUUGACUACGAUGAGAUUUUCUCACUCGUAUCUAUGCUUUAGUCUGUCCGAAUCAUGUUAGCAAUUGUCGCAUUUCAUGAAAUCUGGCAAAUGGAUAAACAAAACUGCAUUCCUUAAUGGAUUUUUUAAAGGAGAGUUGUAUAUGAUGCAACCAGAAGGUUUUGUCAAUCCUAAAGGUGCUAACAAAAUAUGCAAGCUCCAGCGAUCCAUCUAUGGACUGGUGCAAGCAUCUCGGAGUUGGAAUAUACGCUUUGAUUAGUUGAUCAAAGCAUAUAGUUUUAUACAGACUUGCGGUGAAGCCUGUAUUUACUAGAAAGUGAGUGGGAGCACUACAACAUUUCUGAUAAGUAUAUGUGAAUGACAUAUUGUUGAUCGGAAAUAAAGUAGAAUUAUUCUGCAAAGCAUAAAGGAGAGUUUGAAAGGAGUUUUUUCAAAGAAAGACCUCGGUGAAGCUGCUUACAUAUUGAGCAUCAAGAUCUAUAGAGAUAGAUCAAGACGCUUGAUAAGUUUUUCAAUGAGUACAUACCUUGACAAGAUUGUGAAGUAAUUCAAAAUAGAACAGUCAAGGAAAGAAGUUCUUGCCUGUGUUACAAGGUAUGAAAUUGAGUAAGACUCAAAAGCCGACCACGGCAGAAGAUAGAAAUAGAAUGAAAGUCAUUCCCUAUGAUUUGGCCAUAGGUUCUAUAAAGCAUGCCAUGUUGUGUACCAAAUCUAUUGUAUACCCCACCACUGAGUUUGGCAAGGGACUACAAUAGUGAUCUAGGAGUAGAUCACUGGACAGCGGUCAAAAUUAUCCUUAGUGGAAUAAGAAUAUGUUUCUUGAUUAUGGAAGUGACAAAAGGUUCGUCGUAAAGGGUUACGUUGAUGAAAGUUUUGACACUGAUCCAGAUGACUCUAAGUCUCAAUCUGGAUACAUAUUGAAAGUGGGAGCAAUUAGCUAGAGUAGCUCCAUGCAAAGCAUUGUUGACAUAGAAAUUUGCAAAAUACAUACGCCUCUGAAUGUGACAGACCCGUUGACUAGGCUUCUCUCACGAGCAAAACAUGAUCAUACCUUAGUACUCUUUGGGUGUUAAUCACAUAGCGAUGUGAACUAGAUUAUUGACUCUAGUAAACCUUUUGGGUGUUGGUCACAUGACGAUGUGAACUAUGGAUGUUAAUCACAUACAGAUGUGAAUAUUGGUGUUAAAUCACAUGAUGAUGUGAACUAGAUUAUUGACUCUAGUGCAAGUGGGAGACUGAAGGAAAUAUGCCCUAGAGGCAAUAAUAAAGUUAUUAUUUAUUUCCUUAUUUCAUGAUAAAUGUUUAUUAUUCAUGCUAGAAUUGUAUUAACCGGAAACUUGAUACAUGUGUGGAUACAUAGACAAACAAAGUGUCACUAGUAUGCCUCUACUUGACUAGCUCGUUGAAUCAAAGAUGGUUAAGUUUCCUAGCCAUAGACAUGAGUUGUAAUUUGAUUAACGGGAUCACAUCAUUAGGAGAAUGAUGUGAUUGACUUGACCCAUUCCGUUAGCUUAGCACUUGAUCGUAUAGUAUGUUGCUAUUCCUUUCUUCAUGACUUAUACAUGUUCCUAUGACUAUGAGAUUAUGCAACUCCCGUUUACCGGAGGAACACUUUGUGUGCUACCAAACAUCACAACGUAACUGGGUGACUAUAAAGGUGCUCUAUAGGUGUCUCCGAAGGUACUUGUUGGGUUGGCGUAUUUCGAGAUUAGGAUUUCUCACUCCAAUUGUCGGAGAGGUAUCUCUGAGCCCACUCGGUAAUGAACAUCCCUUAAGCCCUGCAAGCAUUGCAACUAGUUAGUUAUUUGCGGGAUGAUGUAUUAUGGAACGAGUAAAGAGACUUGCCGGUAACGAGAUUGAACUAGGUAUUGAGAUACCGACGAUCAAAUCUCGGGCAAGUAACAUACCGAUGACAAAGGGAACAACGUAUGUUGUUAUGCGGUCUGACCGAUAAAGAUAUUCGUAGAAUAUGUGGGAGCCAAUAUGAGCAUCCAGGUUCCGCUAUUGGUAAUUGACCGAAGACGUGUCUCGGUCAUGUCUACAUUGUUCUCGAACCCGUAGGGUCCGCACGCUUACGGUUUUGAUGGCAGUUAUAUUAUGAGUUUAUGAGUUUUGAUCUACCGAAGGAGUUCGGAGUCCCGGAUGAGAUCGGGGACAUGACGAGGAGUCUCGAAAUGGUCGAGACGUAAAGAUCGAUAUAUUGGACGACUAUAUUCGGACAUCGGAAAGGUUCCAAGUGAUUCGGGUAUUUUUCGAAGUACCGGAGAGUUACGGGAAUUCGUAUUGGGCCUUAAUGAUAUGGAUGGCAAUGGGGCCCCAUACCCGCCAAACCCAUGGGGAUUUCAUCUAUUAGGGGGUGGGGAUGGGCGAAAAACAUCCCCAUGGGGAUAUUUACAAAACUAAUUUAUUCCCCAUAGGGUACAAUGGGGAUGGGGACGAUAUCCUAUUCCCCAGACCCAAUACUCAUCGGGGACUCGGUUAGUAACUGUGACACAGCGGUCAACCUUAAAAUAUUCACAAAAAAAACUUGCAAAAACAAAAAAAGCUCUGAAAAAACCUUAAACCUAUCUCACAUCCUCACCUCAGCUGCCACCAUGACCAAGAAGUAAGUACGACCUAGAUAGGCAUUAGCAGGACAAGGACAACACCAUUUAUGUAUGUUGAUUAUAGGGUGUCAUAUUAUGUAUAUGAGUAUUUGUUUAUGGGGAUGGGGACCCUAAUGGGGCCCCGUUCCCCGGUGGGGCAUGGGUAUGGGAAAAUUUCAACCCCAAACAUGUAAACGGGGAUGGGGAUGGGAUGAUAGGGAAUAGAUGGGGAUGGGGAUGUUGUAGGUGUCCCAUAGGGGAUUGUCCCCAUUGCCAUCCCUACUUAAUGAGCCAUACGGGAAAGGAGAGAAAGGCCCCAAAGGGUGGCCACACCCCUCCCCACGGACUAGUCCGAAUUGGACUAGGGAGGGGGGGCGCCCCCUUCCUUCCUUCUCCUUCUCCCUUUCCUUUCCUUCUCUCCUACUCCUUCUACUUGGAAGGGCUCCUAGUUCUACUAGGAAAGGGGGAAUCCUACUCCCAGUGGGAGUAGGACUCCCUUGGGGCGCGCCAUAGAGAGAGGGCCGGCCUUCCCCCUCCUCCACUCCUUUAUAUACGGGGAGGGGGGCACCCCUUGUAGACACAACAAUUGAUCCACGAGAUCUCUUAGCCGCGUGCGGUGCCCCCCUCCACCAUAGUCCUCGAUAAUAUUGUAGCGGUGCUUAGGCGAAGCCCUGCGACAGUAGAACAUCAAGAUCGUCACCUCGCCGUCUUGCUGACGGAACUCUUCCCCGACACUUUGCUGGAUCGGAGUCCGGGGAUCGUCAUCGAGCUGAACGUGUGCUAGAACUCAGAGGUGCCGUAGUUUCGGUGCUUGAUCGGUCGGAUCGUGAAGACGUACGACUACAUCAACCGCGUUGUGCUAACGCUUCCGCUUUCGGUCUACGAGGGUACGUGGACAACACUCUCCCCUCUCGUUGCUAUGCAUCACCAUGAUCUUGCGUGUGCGUAGGAAAAUUUUGAAAUUACUACGUUCCCCAACAGUGGCAUCCGAGCCUAGGUUUUAUGUGUUGAUGUUAUAUGCACGAGUAGAACACAAGUGAGUUGUGGGCGAUACAAGUCAUACUACUUACCAGCAUGUCAUACUUUGGUUCGGCAGUAUUGUUGGAUGAAGCGGCCCAGACCGACAUUACGCGUACGCUUACGCGAGACUGGUUCUAUCGACGUGCUUUGCACACAGGUGGCUGGCGGGUGUCUGUUUCUCCAGCUUUAGUUGAACCGAGUGUGGCUACGCCCGGUCCUUGAGAAGGUUAAAACAGCACUAACUUGAUGAACUAUCGUUGUGGUUUUGAUGCGUAGGUAAGAACGGUUCUUGCUCAGCCCAUAGCAGCCACGUAAAAUUUGCAACAACAAAGUAAAGGACGUCAAACUUGUUUUUGCAGGGCAUGUUGUGAUGUGAUAUGGUCAAGACAUGACGAGAUAUAAGUUGUUGUAUGAGAUGAUCAUGUUUUGUUGAAGUUAUUGGCAACUGGCAGAAGCCCUAUGGUUGUCUUGUUGUUGCAUAAGAUGCAACUGCCAAAUAAUUGCUUUACUUUGUCGCUAUGUGAUAGCAAUAGUUCCAAGAGCAAUAGUUGGCGAGACGACCAUGUGACGACACAUUGAUAUAGAUCAAGAUGAUGAAGAUCAUGGUGUCAUGCCGGUGACGAUAGAGAUCAUGACAGUACUUUGGAGAUGGAGAUCAAAGGCGCAAGAUGAUCAUGGCCAUAUCAUGUCACAUAUUUUGAUUGCAUAUGAUGUUUAUUUGUUAUACAUCUUAUUCUAUUUUGUUUGACGGUAGCAUUUUAAGAUGAUCUCUCACUAAUUAUCAAGAAGUGUUCUCCCUGAGUAUGCACCGUUGCGAAAGUUCUUCGUGCUGAGACACCACGUGAUGACCGGGUGUGAUAGGCUCUACGUUCAAAUACAACGGGUGCAAAACAGUUACACACGCAGAAUACUCAGGUUAAACUUGACGAGCCUAGCAUAUAAAGAUAUGGCCUCGGAACACGGAGACCGAAAGGUCGAACGUGAAUCAUAUAGUAGAUAUGAUCAACAUAGUGAUAUUCACCAUUGAAAACUACUCCAUCUCACGUGAUGAUCGGACAUGGUUUAGUUGAUUUGGAUCACGUGAUCACUUAGAUGACUAGAGAGAUGUCUGUCUAAGUGGCAGUUCUUAAGUAAUAUGAUUAAUUGAACUUUAAUUUAUCAUGAACUUAGUCCUGGUAGUAUUUUGCAAAUUAUGUUGUAGAUCAAUAGCUCGCGUUGUUGCUUCCCUAUGUUUUUGCUUCCCUAUGUUUUUAUAUAUGUUCCUAGAGAAAAAUUAUGUUGAAAAAUGUUAGUAGCAAUGAUUCGGAUUGGAUCCGUGAUCUGAGGUUUAUCCUCAUUGCUGCACAGAAGAAUAUGUGCUUGAUGCACCGCUAGGUGACAGACCUAUUGCAGGAGCAGAUGCAGACAUUAUGAACGUUUGGCUAGCUCAAUAUGAUGACUACUUGAUAGUUUAGUGCACCAUGCUUAACGGCUUAGAAUCGGGACUUCAAAGGCGUUUUGAACAUCAUGGGCCAUGUGAGAUGUUCCAGGAAUUGAAGUUAAUAUUUCAAGCAAAUACCCGAGUUGAGAGAUAUGAAGUCUCCAACAAGUUCUAAAGCUAAAAGAUGGAGGAGAAUCGCUCAACUAGUGAGCAUGUGUUCAGAUUGUCUGGGUACUUCAAUCGCUUGAAUCAAGUGGGAGUUAAUCUUCCAGGUAAGAUAGUGAUUGACAGAAUUCUCUAGUCACCAUCACCAAGUUAGUAGAACUUCGUGAUGAACUAUAAUAUGCAAGGGAUGACGAAAGUAAUUCCCAAGCUCUUCGUGAUGCUGAAAUCGACGAAGGUAGAAAUCAAGAAAAACAUCAAGUGUUGAUAGUUAACACGACCACUAGUUUCAAGAAAAGGGCAAAGGAAAGAAGGGGAACUUCAAGAAGAACAACAAGCAAGUUGCUGCUCAAGUGAAGAAGCCCAAAAUCUGGACCUAAGCCUGCGACUGAGUGCUUCUACUGCAAAGGAACUGGUCACUGGAAGCAGAACUGCCCCAAGUAUUUGGCGGAUAAGAAGGAUGGCAAAGUGAACAAAGGUAUAUUUGAUAUACAUGUUAUUGAUGUGUACUUUACUAGUGUUUAUAGUAGUCCCUGAGUAUUUGAUACUUGUUCGGUUGCUAAGAUUAGUAACUCAAAACAGGAGUUACAGAAUAAACGAAGACUAGUUGAGGGUGAAGUAACGAUGUGUGUUGGAAGUGGUUCCAAAAUUGAUAUGAUCAUCAUCGUACACUCCCUAUAUUUUCGAGAUUAGUGUUGAACCUAAAUAAUUGUUAUUUGGUGUUUGCAUUGAGCAUAAAUAUGAUUAGAUCAUGUUUAUUGCGAUACAAUUAUUCAUCUAAAACAGAGAAUAAAUUGUUAUUCUGUUUACAUGAAUAAAACCUUCAAACGGUCAUGCACCCAAUGAAAAUAGUUUGUUGGAUCUCGAUCGUAGUGAUACACAUAUUCAUAAUAUUGAUGCCAAAAGAUGCAAAGUUAAUAAUGAUAGUGCAACUUAUUUGUGGCACUGCCGUUUGGGUCAUAUCGGUGUAAAGCGCAUGAAGAAACUCCAUAAAGAUGGACUUUUGGAAUCACUUGGUUAUGAAUCAUUUGAUGCUUGCAAACCGUGCCUUUUGGGCAAGAUGACUAAAACUCCGUUCUCCGGAACAAUGGAACGAGCUACUGACUUGUUGGAAAUAAUACAUACUAAUGUAUGCGGUCCAAUGAGUGUUGAUGCUCGUGGCAUGUAUCGUUAUUUUCUGACCUUCACAGAUGAUUUAAGCAGAUAUGGGUAUAUCUACUUGAUGAAACAUAAGUCUGAAACAUUUGAAAAGUUCAAAGAAUUUCAGAGUGAAGUGGAAAAUCAUCGUAACAAGAAAAAUAAAGUUUCUACGAUCUGAUCGUGGAGAUGAAUAUUUGAGUUACGAGUUUGGUCUUUAUUUGAAACAAUGUGAAAUAGUUUCGCAACUCACGCCACCUGGAACACCACAAUGUAAUGGUGUGUCUGAACAUCGUAAUCGUACUUUACUAGAUAUGGUGCGACCUAUGAUGUCUAUUAUUGGUUUACCACUAUCGUUUUGGGGUUAUGCAUUAGAGACAGCUGCAUUCACGUUAAAUAGGGCACCACCUAAAUCCGUUGAGACAACACCGUAUGAACUAUGGUUUAGCAAUAAACCUAAGCUGUCAUUUCUUAAAGUUUGGAGUUGCGAUGCUUAUAUGAAAAAGGUUUUCAACUUGAUAAGCUCGAAUCCAAAUCGGAGAAGUGCGUCUUCAUAAAAUACCCAAAGGAAACUGUUGGGUACACCUUCUAUCAUAGAUCUGAAGGCAAAACAUUCGUUGCUAAGAAUGGAUCCUUUCUAGAGAAGGAGUUUCUCUCGAAAGAAGUGAGUGGGAGGAAAGUAGAACUUGAUAAGGUAAUUGUACCUUCUCCCUUAUUGGAAUGUAGUUCAUCACAGAAAUCUGUUCCUGUGACUACUACAACAAUUAGUGAGGAAGCUAAUGAUGAUGAUCAUGUAACUUUAGAUCAAGUUACUACCGAAUCUCGUAGGUAAACCAGAGUGAGAUCCGCACCAGAGUGGUACAGUAAUCCUGUUCUGGAGGUCAUGCUACUUAACCAUGACGAACCUAUGAACUAUGAGGAAGCGAUGAUGAGCCCAGCUUCCGCAAAAUGGCUUGAGUCCAUGAAAUCUGAGAUGGGAUCCAUGCAUGAGAACAAAGUAUGGACUUUGGUUGACUUGCCCGAUGAUCGGCAAAGCCAUAGAAAAUAAAUGGAUCUUCAAGAGGAAGACGGAUGCUGAUAGUAGUGUUACUAUCUACAGAGCUAGAAUUGUCGCAAAAAGGUUUUCGACAAGUUCAAGGUGUUGACUACGAUGAGAUUUUCUCACUCGUAUCUAUGCUUUAGUCUGUCUGAAUCAUGUUAGCAUUUGUCGCAUUUUAUGAAAUCUGGCAAAUGGAUAAACAAAACUGCAUUCCUUAAUGGAUUUAUUAAUGGAGAGUUGUAUAUGAUGCAACCAGAAGGUUUUGUCAAUCCUAAAGGUGCUAACAAAAUAUGCAAGCUCCAGCGAUCCAUAUAUGGACUGGUGCAAGCAUCUCGGAGUUGGAAUAUACGCUUCGAUUAGUUGAUAUAAGCAUAUAGUUUUAUACAGACUUGCGGUGAAGCCUGUAUUUACUAGAAAGUGAGUGGGAGCACUACAACAUUUCUGAUAAGUAUAUGUGAAUGACAUAUUGUUGAUCGGAAAUAAAGUAGAAUUAUUCUGCAAAGCAUAAAGGAGAGUUUGAAAGGAGUUUUUUCAAAGAAAGACCUCGGUGAAGCUGCUUACAUAUUGAGCAUCAAGAUCUAUAGAGAUAGAUCAAGACGCUUGAUAAGUUUUUCAAUGAGUACAUACCUUGACAAGAUUGUGAAGUAAUUCAAAAUAGAACAGUCAAGGAAAGAAGUUCUUGCCUAUGUUACAAGGUAUGAAAUUGAGUAAGACUCAAAACCCGACCACGGCAGAAGAUAGAAAUAGAAUGAAAGUCAUUCCCUAUGAUUUGGCCAUAGGUUCUAUAAAGCAUGCCAUGCUGUGUACCAGAUCAAUUGUAUACCCCACCACUGAGUUUGGCAAGGAACUACCAUAGUGAUCUAGGAGUAGAUCACUGGACAGCGGUCAAAAUUAUCCUUAGUGGAAUAAGGAUAUGUUUCUUGAUUAUGGAAGUGACAAAAGGUUCGUCGUAAAGCGUUACGUUGAUGAAAGUUUUGACACUGAUCCAGAUGACUCUAAGUCUCAAUCUGGAUACAUAUUGAAAGUGGGAGCAAUUAGCUAGAGUAGCUCCAUGCAAAGCAUUGUUGACAUAGAAAUUUGCAAAAUACAUACGCCUCUGAAUGUGACAAACCCGUUGACUAGGCUUCUCUCACGAGCAAAACAUGAUCAUACCUUAGUACUCUUUGGGUGUUAAUCACAUAACGAUGUGAACUAGAUUAUUGACUCUAGUAAACCUUUUGGGUGUUGGUCACAUGACGAUGUGAACUAUGGAUGUUAAUCACAUACAGAUGUAAAUAUUGGUGUUAAAUCACAUGAUGAUGUGAACUAGAUUAUUGACUCUAGUGCAAGUGGGAGACCGAAGGAAAUAUGCCCUAGAGGCAAUAAUAAAGUUAUUAUUUAUUUCCUUAUUUCAUGAUAAAUGUUUAUUAUUCAUGCUAGAAUUGUAUUAACCGGAAACUUGAUACAUGUGUGGAUACAUAGACAAACAAAGUGUCACUAGUAUGCCUCUACUUGACUAGCCAAUAUGAGCAUCCAGGUUCCGCUAUUGGUUAUUGACCGGAGACAUGUCUCGGUCAUGUCUACAUUGUUCUCGAACCCAUAGGGUCCGCACGCUUAAGGUUUUGAUGACAGUUAUAUUAUGAGUUUAUGAGUUUUGAUGUACUGAAGGAGUUCGGAGUCCCAGAUGAGAUCGGGGACAUGACAAGGAGUCUUGAAAUGGUCGAGACGUAAAGAUCGAUAUAUUGGACGACUAUAUUCGGACAUCGGAAAGAUUCCGAGUGAUUCGGGUAUUUUUCGUAGUACCGGAGAGUUACGAGAAUUCGUAUUGGGCCUUAAUGGGCCAUACGGGAAAGGAGAGAAAGGCCCCAAAGGGUGGCCGCACCCCUCCCCACGGACUAGCCCGAAUUGGACUAGGGAGGGGGGGCGCCCCCUUCCUUCCUUCUCCUUCUCCCUUCCCUUUCCUUCUCUCCUACUCCUUCUACUUGGAAGGGCUCCUAGUUCUACUAGGAAAGGGGGAAUCCUACUCCCAGUGGGAGUAGGACUCCCCUAGGGCGCGCCAUAGAGAGAGGGCCGGCCCUCCCCCUCAUCCACUCCUCUAUAUACGGGGAGGGGGGCACCCCUUGUAGACACAACAAUUGAUCCUCGAGAUCUCUUAGCCGUGUGCGGUGCCCCCCUUCACCAUAGUCCUCGAUAAUAUUGUAGCGGUGCUUAAGCGAAGCCCUACGAUAGUAGAACAUCAAGAUCGUCACCUCGCCGUCUUGAUGACGGAACUCUUCCCCGACACUUUGCUGGAUCGGAGUCCGGGGAUCGUCAUCGAGCUGAACAUGUGCUAGAACUCGGAGUUGCCGUAGUUUUGGUGUUUGAUCGGUCGGAUCGUGAAGAUGUACGACUACAUCAACCGCGUUGUGCUAACGCUUCCGCUUUUGGUCUACGAGGGUACGUGGACAACACUCUCCCCUCUCGUUGCUAUGCAUCACCAUGAUCUUGCGUGUGCGUAGGAAAAUUUUGAAAUUACUACGUUCCCCAAUAGUGGCAUCCGAGCCUAGGUUUUAUGUGUUGAUGUUAUAUGCACGAGUAGAACACAAGUGAGUUGUGGGCAAUACAAGUCAUACUGCUUACCAGCAUGUCAUACUUUGGUUCGGCGGUAUUGUUGGAUGAAGCGGCUCGGACCGACAUUACACGUAAGCUUACGCGAGACUGGUUCCACCGACGUGCUUUGCACAUAGGUGGCUGGCGGGUGUCUGUUUCUCCAACUUUAGUUGAACCGAGUGUGGGUACGCCCGGUUCUUGAGAAGGUUAAAACAGCACUAACUUGACGAACUAUCGUUGUGGUUUUGAUGCGUAGGUAAGAACGGUUCUUGAUCAGCCCAUAGCAGCCACGUAAAAUUUGCAACAACAAAGUAGAGGACGUCUAACUUGUUUUUGCAGGGCAUGUUGUGAUGUGAUAUGGUCAAGACGUGAUGAGAUAUAAGUUGUUGUAUGAGAUGAUCAUGUUUUGUUGAAGUUAUCGGCAACUGGCAGAAGCCCUAUGGUUGUCUCUUUGUUGCAUAAGAUGCAAGUGCCAAAUAAUUGCUUUACUUUGUCGCUAUCCGAUAGCAAUAGUUGCAAGAGCAAUAGUUGGCGAGACGACCAUGUGACGACACAUUGAUAUAGAUCAAGAUGAUGAAGAUCAUGGUGUCAUGCCGGUGACGAUAGAGAUCAUGACAGUACUUUGGAGAUGCAGCUCAAAGGCGCAAGAUGAUCAUGGCCAUAUCAUGUCACAUAUUUUGAUUGCAUAUGAUGUUUAUUUGUUAUACAUCUUAUUCUAUUUUGUUUGAUGGUAGCAUUUUAAGAUGAUCUCUCAUUAAUUAUCAAGAAGUGUUCUCCCUGAGUAUGCACCGUUGCGUAAGUUCUUCGUGCUGAGACACCACGUGAUGAUCGGGUGUGAUAGGCUCUACGUUCAAAUACAACGGGUGCAAAACAGUUGCACACGCGGAAUACUCAGGUUAAACUUGACGAGCCUAGCAUAUACAGAUAUGGCCUCGGAACACGGAGACCGAAAGGUCAAACGUGAAUCAUAUAGUAGAUAUGAUCAACAUAGUGAUGUUCACCAUUGAAAACUACUCCAUCUCACGUGAUGAUCGGACAUUGUUUAGUUGAUUUGGAUCACGUGAUCACUUAGAUGACUAGAGAGAUGUCUGUCUAAGUGGGAGUUCUUAAGUAAUAUGAUUAAUUGAACUUUAAUUUAUCAUGAACUUAGUCCUGGUAGUAUUUAGCAAAUUGUGUUGUAGAUCAAUAGCUCGCGUUGUUGCUUCCCUAUGUUUUUGCAAAUUAUGUUGUAGAUCAAUAGCUCACGUUGUUGCUUCCCUAUGUUUUUGCAAAUUUAUCAUGAACUUAGUCCUGGAAGUAUUUUGCAAAUUAUAUUGUAGCGGUGCUUAGGCGAAGCCCUGCGACAGUAGUCAAGAUCGUCACCAUGCCGUCGUGCUGACGGAACUCUUCCCCGACACUUUGCUGGAUCGGAGUCCGGGGAUCGUCAUCGAGCUGAACAUGUGCUAGAACUCGGAGGUGCCGUAGUUUCGGUGCUUGAUCGGUCGGAUCAUGAAGAUGUACAACUACAUCAACCGUGUUGUGCUAACGCUUCUGCUUUCGGUCUACGAGGGUAUGUGGAUAACACUCUCCCCUCUCGUUGCUAUGCAUCACCAUGAUCUUGCAUGUGCGUAGGAAAAUUUUGAAAUUACUACGUUCCCCAACAGUUCACUGAAACAUCUUAACAAAAUACAGGCAUUCAGAGGGCAAACUAGUUCUUCAGGCUGCACCCCGAGUUUAGGAAAUGAGCAUAUGGCGACCCUUGAACAUGUCCUGACUAAAUCCAAGGCAACAACAACUAUCAGUACAUGAAAAGCAGCAACCACAUGGACCAUGGCCAUAAAGACUGAACAACGAAGUACAACAUAGACUAGCUGAACUGAACACCUCCAGCUCAAAAAGGAACCUUGCAUAAACAGCAAAGGACACAGUGAGCAUGGGGAAAUGGGAAGAAAUGCAGGGAAUAUUAAAAUUCAGCUGGUUGGUCUAUCUAUCAGAGGAUGUGCUAUAAACAAGCUGGAACGGUCAGUUGGUUGAUCUAGAUAUUUGAUAGGCGUCACCUUGAGUAGCACUUGCAUGAAACAACUUGUCAUAACUGUCACAUUACAGGAAAAAUAAUGUACACUUAAGUUCUCUACCUUCAGAACUCCCUACAUUAGCACAGACUAGGUAGCUUUGCUAAUAAGGCAUAAAGUUCAGGAACUUAAUACUUUCUGUUGUAGUGCUAACUGCCAAGCUUCCUGCCCUUGCUCGUUGCCACCAUAUGAAUGCUGCUGCCUGUAGCUACAAAGCACUUGUUGCAGCUCUAGCUGUUUCCCCAGUGUUGUUGUUGGGUGUCAUUUGCACCUAUCGUGAUGAUAAGCAGCAUCAAUGGUGCCAUUUAAGGCAAUGUUCUGGGGCCAGGUAUUGGGCGGUGUUAUGGUGGGCUGGAAGAAUGUAAAAAGUUGUGCACAAGGAUAUACCAUGCUAUUCUGCUUGGGUCUAAGCUUAUGUUUUUUAUCCAAGCAUGUUAUGUAUAGGUCGACUACUGAAAGAUAAUAAUCAUGAAGAAUGAUAACAAAUGCUUACAGGCGAGCAGAAGAUCUAUUGUACAUCGAUCCGCUCAGUGGGUACUCCAUGGUUACAUAGGAUGUUUAAAAUAUGGUUAACUACUUCCUAUGCAUAUUUCAAACAAUAAACAUAUAUGAGGAUUAUUUCAUAUGUGAACAAACUACCAUCCUAUGCAUAGGAUAAAUAUUCACAUGUGUCACCAUACUUCCUAUGCUAAUUACAAACGAACAAACUACUUCCUAUGCAUUACUUCAUAUGUGUUCAUCUAAAUAAUCUUCGAUAGGUACUAGAAAGCUUUAUAAAAAAUUGACAUUGGUUUGACAAAUAUUUGUCAUGUACUUGAAUGAAAAUCUACCAUGUGAAAAGAAGGUGUUUUAUCACCUUUAUAUACAUGAUUAUUAAUUCAUAUGUACAUACAAAUUCCUAUGCAUGUGAUUUACAAUACAAAUCAACAACAAUAAUGUUUCCAAUGUUUACAACUAAUCUACAUAGGCUAAAUCAACUCACAUCCAUUCUAUUUCCCAUAGAAAUUUCAAAUCAAUCAUAAGUUAGGGUUUCACCACAAACAUGAAGAAUGGGGAAGGUUUUUCGGAUAGAAAGAAAGGGGUCAGAGGAGAUUACCUUCUAGGAUGGAUUGGGCAACAAAUCCAUGGACGAAAUCUUCAAAUCGGAAGGAAUUGGGAGAGAGGAUUGAGAGGGAGAGAGGAGAGAGCGGCCACCAUUGCCGCUCUCUGUUUCAUCCAUUGGACGAAUGGGUGGGUGGGAUGGGGAAGGCCCAGCGCGCUGUAGUUACUAAGGGCGUGUUCGGUAGUUACCCACAGCCACAAAAUCCUCAACUCCAGCGCCCAACUCCACCAGCCAUCUUCCCACGUAAACUCCUGGAGCUAGCGAUCUGUUCGGUGCAGCAGCUCCUGGGAGCCAGCGAUCGGCCAGGCCAAAAGGCCAGAAACUGCAUAUUCACCCCGUUUUGGUUGGCCAGGCCUGGGCAGUAGUGGGCUGUUGUGUAUGAGUUUUUUUUCUUUAGAUUGUGUACAAGGAUGGUUGGCAUGUUCGUUGGUGAUGUGUACUGUCCCUUUUCUUUGUAUUCCAAUUUCGCUAUAUACAGAAGCAGUUUCAGCAUGCAUAGAGAGCAAGGUAACAAAAAGUAGUACUUUUUUUUACUAGUAGCAAUUUUCCUAGUAACAGAGGCUAAACCGAGAGCAAGUACAUAGAGAGAAAAUCCAUAUUUUAAACACAGAAUGAAUGUGCAGAUUUUGAAACAAUGUAUACCAUGGCAUGAGCAUCAGGUUGCACACAUGUUUCAUAGUACUUAAGCCUCACAUUUUGCAUAGGUUUGCAAAUCAAAAGGGGCACAUACAUGUCUCUAACAUCAACGCUUCACCUCGUAGUUUUGCAUAAGUUUGCAAAUCAAAAGGGACACAUACAUGUAUCUAUCAACAAUGCCUCACCAACUUAGAGCAAUGGCUGUAGCUAGUUCUUGCCUAAACACAUCCAUGUCUUCACCAUUUUCCGCUGUAGUUGAUGUAUCUGAUGCAUGAGAUGGACCAGCAAAUCUCUUGUAUCGUUCCGGAAUUGUUGGCACAUAGUCCGGGUCCCUGUCACAUCGAUCAAAGGGAAUAUCUUCUUCAUCAUGGAAGUGAACAUAGUUGUGCAAAGUCAUAGUAGCGGCAACAAUCAUCUUUUGAGUUUCAAUGGAGUAGCUUGGCAUCUUCAAAAGAAUCUGCCAUUUCAUCUUCCACACUCCAAAGGCUCUCUCUAUGCAAUUGCGUUUGGACGAGUGGAGCCUAUUGA